rnacentral:lncRNA from 1 species
UUGGGUCUUUCUAAUACAAGAAUUUCAGUUUAUUUAGAAAACGACUUAAUCAGUAAUCUAAAGUCAUUAGAAUAUAUGUCUCUUCGUAAUUGUAACAUUAUAAGGUCAGAUCUGGCUCUGCUUGGUAAUCUCACACAGCUCACCUAUUUAGAUCUCUCAAGUAACAAUUUUAUAGGUGAGAUCCCAUCAUCAAUUGGAAACAAUACCUUUUCAAAUUUAAAAUAUCUAUUAUUAUUUGAUAACUUGUUCAAUGGAACAAUACCAUCCUUUUUGUUUGCUCUUCCCUCUUUACAAUUUCUUAACCUUCAUAACAAUAAUCUCAUAGGCAAUAUAAGUGAAUUCCAACACCAUUCAUUGGUAAACCUUGAUUUGAGCAGUAACCACUUGCAUGGUACAAUCCCAAGUUCAAUUUUCAAACAAUAUCAAUGUGAAAUUUCAUUCUAUAAGAGAAGCUGAGAAAAAUCUGCUUAUAAAGCUACACUAUUGUCCAACAGAUGUUCAACUGAGGUCCUAGACUUGUCCGACAACAGCUUGAGUGGUUCUAUACCAUUAUGUUUGGGGAACUUCAGCAGCAAGCUCUCAGUAGUGUUAGAAUUAUGAGAUUCUGCCUUGAGUAAGAUAGAGUUAAGUGCAGUUAUGUUAUUUGAAUUUUAUGUAAUCGUUUUUCUUCUUCAGGAUUUGCAGCAGGAACUUUCUGCUAAGUUUGUUAUUUCAAUUCCAAUAAUCUCUCAAGUUUGUUGAGAGUUUCAAUCCAUUACAAGUUCUAUGUAAGUCUAUAUAUAGACAUUUGAAAUUAAUGAUAUUAUUGAUCUUUCUACUCAACUCUGCUAUCUUGAAUCUGUUUUUCUUAUACUUAAACUACAGUUUCCAGAACUAAAUAUUUCUAACAAGUAUUGCAUCUAGGCAUGAACAAUCUUCAAGGCACUAUCCCUUCAACAUUUUCAAAGGGUAAUAGCUUGGAAUAUCUCGACCUCAAUGGAAAUGAAUUAGAAGGGGAAAUAUCACCAUCUAUCAUCAACUGCACAAUGUUGGAAGUUCUUGAUCUUGGCAACAAUAAGAUUGAGGAUACAUUUCCUUAUUUUCUAGAAACGCUUCCGGAGCUGCAAAUUCUAAUUCUAAAAUCCAAUAACCUCCAAGGUUUUGUGAAGGGUCCGACUGCAGAUAAUUCCUUCUUUAAAUUAUGGAUUUUUGACAUCUCUGACAAUAAUUUUAGUGGGCCGUUGCCAACAGGGUAUUUUAAUACUCUUGAAGCAAUGAUGAUCUCAGAUCAAAACAUGAUUUACCUUAACACGACAAAUGACAUUGUCUGUGUUCAUUCCAUAGAAAUGACAUGGAAAGGUGUAGAAAUUGAGUUUCCGAAGAUCCGAAGUACCAUCAGAGUACUAGAUUUGUCAAAUAACAGUUUUACUGGAGAGAUUCCAAAGGUGAUCGGAAAGCUUAAAGCACUACAACAACUCAACCUCUCUCAUAAUUUCCUUACAGGUCAUAUCCAAUCAUCAGUGGGAAAUUUGACCAAUUUGGAAUCAUUAGACCUAUCUUCAAAUUUGCUUACCGGAAGGAUUCCAAUGCAGAUGGCACAUCUAACAUUUCUUGCAACCCUAAACCUUUCACAUAACCAGCUGGAGGGGCCCAUACCAAGUGGAGAGCAAUUCAACACCUUUGAUGCAAGAUCAUUUGAAGGAAACUCGGGUUUAUGUGGCUUUCAAGUACUAAAAGAAUGCUACGGUGACGAGGCACCAUCAUUGCCGCCAUCAAGCUUUAAUGAAGGAGAUGAUUCAACAUUGUUUGGAGAAGGAUUUGGAUGGAAAGCUGUGACAAUAGGGUAUGGAUGCGGGUUUCUGUUUGGAGUUGCAACGGGAUACGUUGUGUUUAGAACAAAUAAACCUUCAUGGUUACUUAGGAUGGUUGAAGAUAUAUGGAAUCUCAAGAGCAAAAACACGAAGAAGAAUUUCCGCAGAUAUGGUGCUAGAAGAAACUAAAUAAUUCAAUUGAUAUUUUCAAGUAAGUUUUGCAAGCAUUUGAGUUUUCAAAUUUUAUGUUCACAAUUUAUGUUAGGCUAACUUUUCUCUACUCUUUCAUUUGAUCAGUCUUACCUUUCUAAUUUUGCAGUACAAACAAGAUAUCAAGUGGAUUUGACAUUGAAACAACACCAGGGUGGCAUAUUCCCUUUACUUUUUUCUCUCUUUUUUUAGUUUCAAGGUUAAUUGGGUGUUUCUUUUAUGAAAACGAAUCCAUGUAUGUAACACAGGUUUGUGUUAACUAUAAAAUCAUUUAUGUUUUGGGUCCUAUUUUUAUGUGUCCACUUCCUUAUUCUUUAUAACUUCAAUUAAUCUUUGUUUCUGGGAGUGUUCUGAAAGUUACAGAGUUAUGAACAGAUAGAAGCAAUUCUUGUAAAUUUAAAAGAACACUUGACUGAUAGAUUCUGUUAUCACAACAGCAGCAAUAUUUGCAAGCAAAAUAGAGUAAUUCUGAUAACUUGGAAGUCAUAAAUGACUAUUAAAAAGUGUAACAAACCCAUCUCAAAAGGUACAAACAAUGUUCGACAACUCUUACACAGAUCCAAAAUCAGUCAACAUUGGUGAUUGGCAAGUUUAUAUCUAAAGCAAAAGAAAGCAAGAUAGGUAUUAAUACCACGUUAAGAGCUCUAUGCUACAAUAAAUCUACAAUUCUGAGUCGCCUAAAAACAACAUAUUCUACUUAGAACAUUUCAGAAUUGGAAAAAAAAUUAAAAUAAUUUAAAAUACAAUUUCUCUUGGCCUCAUAUUAAGAAAAAAACAGAUGAAUAUUUCAAGGGUCCUGAUUAUCCAACUGAAGAUUCAAGAUUUGAGAUACUACGAGUUUAGAGAGUUCAUUAGUUGUGGAUUCAACCUGAUAGUCAUCUGACUGCCUUGGCCACCCAGGUGAAUGAGAGCUUGACCUAGUCUUGGUUGGUGUGCCAUGAACUCUCUGCAAGUCUGACUGGGACAAUGGCAUUGGAUAGAGCACAACAGGCAACAAUUACCAAAACUUUUCCAUGACACCCUCAGGCAUGCAUGGGAUUUCUAUGCAAAUAUUACAAAUCAAUAAAAAUACCUUGAAAAAUUAGCUGGGAAUAUAACAAAUCACAGAUGAGAACUAUAUUGUUCAAUAUACUAUAAAAUAACUGAUGGAAGCAUGGAACAACACGAUGAUAAAUAUAUACUUACACUAGAUUUUUCCCCUUUGUUCACCUCAUCCAAUAGGUCCCUAAUAGGAAAAUAAGCUACUUUCUUGCAAGGUUCAAGAAGAUCUGAACCAGUGUAGCCCUUACACAAAAUUGCUAUACAGUCAAAGUCAAUUUUGCUUUUGAUUUUCUCCUCUUUCAAAACAACCUUCAAGAUCUCAGCCCUCUCUCUUUGAUCAGGUAUCCCAAUUUCAAAGGCCUGAGGAAGCCUCCGGAGGAUUGCUUCAUCGAGUUCUUAAGGUCAGUUGGUUGCAGCAAGUAACAUCUCUUGUGCGUUCUCUUCAAAACAGCCUUCAAGAUCUCAGCCCUCUCUCUUUGAUCAGGUAUCCAAAUUUCAAAGGCCUGAGGAAGCCGCCAGAGGAUUGCUUCAUCGAUUUCUUAAGGUCAGUUGGUUGCAGCAAGUAACAUCUCUUGUGCGUUCUCUUAAGAAUAGUAUCACCAUAAAAUAAAUAAUAAUCAAAAUAAUAAAGAUAAAAUCUAAAAAAUAAAAAAAUAAAAGAUGAAGAAAUUAAAAUAAUAAUAAUUAAUAUUUCAUAAAUUAUUUCAAAUAAAAUAAGUAAUAAUCAAAAGAAUGAAGAUCAAAUUUGAUACAUAAAAAAUUUCAAUAAAAAAAUGAUAAGAGAAAAACAAAUAACAAUUAUAAAAAUAAGGACCAAAGUUAAUAUAAAAAUUAAAUUUUAAGAGAUGAAAUUGAAAAAUAAAUAUUCAAAACAAAAUAUAUAUAGAAAUCAAAAGUUUGAGGACCAAAUUUGAUAUAAUCAGCAAAUAAUAUGACAUUUCUAAAUUUUUCACAAUUUCCGGAAAGUGUUUUCUGCCCAAAUUUUUCAGGAAAACAAUUUCCUGAAAACCAAGUUAAAUUUUCCUUUAACUGUAAAGUAUUUUCCAUUGAUCAACUUUUCUAAUAAUAAACAAACACAAAAAAAUUUAAAAAAUAAUUUUUUAAAAAUAAUUUUUCAGGAAACAAACAUAGCCUUCAUAAAAACACAUUCUAGCAAGUCACUGCAUAAAAAGACUACACAAAUGCAGCACUUGUUUCAAGAGUAAGAACUCACGAUCUGUAGUAAACCCAUCCCAUAAUGCUAUGAACUCAGUCUUCAUAGUGGUUAAUGCCUCAUGAUCUGUAGUACGAUACUGCCAUAUUCAAUAGUGUUUAGAGGAUAGGCUUGAUUGUUACAGAGCAUUUGCAAUUAAGGUUUCAUAAUUGAAAAGUUGGUUUUCGAAUCCUAAUUUCAUCAUAAAACCCAAUUACAAUCGAUUUGAUGUAUUCAAAGUAAUUUAAUGAUAUUUUUUAAUAUUAAUCUCAAAAUUUUAAUAUAUUAAACAACUUUAUUAGUUUGUUUUCCAUUUGUCAGAAAACACAUCAAGAACNNNNNNNNNNNNNNNNNNNNNNNNNNNNNNNNNNNNNNNNNNNNNNNNNNNNNNNNNNNNNNNNNNNNNNNNNNNNNNNNNNNNNNNNNNNNNNNNNNNNCGAUCUCUUAGUUUGCAUUUUAGAAUGAACAAUCGCAUGAAAAACAAUCCCUGAAAAUAAUUAUCCUUUUUCUGAGCACAACUGAUUUCAGCUGAAAAGAGGGGAAAGGAAAAUAAUUAUCCUUUUUCUUCCAACAACCUAUCCCCAGAAAAGAUAUUUAAUCCAUUCAGAAAAUCAAUAUUGUCAUGCAUGUUCCUAUUCUUAUUCUCAUUAAUUAAUGAAAUGUUUUUUUGACACUAUGGUAGCUUUUGUUUUUUUUAUAAAAACAUAUUGCCUAAAAAAGCAUUAAAUUAAAUAUUUUGUGUUUUUUAAUGUUUUUGAUGUGUUUAUAUAUAUUAAAAUUAAAAAGAAUUAAAUAUAUUUUCAAUUAAAAAAUACAUUCAAAAAAUAUAUUGCACAACAUUAUGAAUCACACAGAAAGACUUUUAGGUAAUGAGAAAUGAUAUAUGUGCAAAGUCAUUAGUGCUCCAUUGCUUGGAUUGGAUUGGACAUAAGGAGGUGAACAUGACUUUGCUUAUCAAUUUUUUUUUAUUUCAGUUACGUAUGCAUAAUCCCAUAGUUUAAUUAUUUUUUAUUUAAAAUAGAAAAAGGAAAAAUCAAAGUAUAUCAAUUGAAGGAAUGAUAAGCCUGAAAAGUAUUUUAAAAAAAACAAAAUAUUACUAAUCAAGAUUUGUCAAAUAACUAUUUAGUUAUUUUUAAUACUAAAAGGAUUAAUUAAUUUAAGAAAUAUUAGCAACCUCUAAAACACUAUCUAAUCCUUUUAAGAAAUCAAUAUUUAUUUUUUUAUGUUUUUUUAUGAUUUUAAUAUAUUUAUAUUAAACAUUAAAAAUAAAUUUUAAAAAUGCCAUAUUAAUAUAUUUUCAAAUAAAGAAUACAUUUGGAAAAUAAUUAAACUGCCGUACAUUACCGAGCGCAUACAAAAAGUAUGAUCCAUAAGUGCAAAGUCGUUAGUGCCCCCAUUGCUUUGCGUAAUUAUUUCUUUGCCAAUAGACAACAAUUUAGUUUGCGCAAUUUGAAAGGAACCUUACAUAUUUCCAAGGUUUUUAUUCUUACUUUAUUUUUUUAAUUAUUAAAUCCUAAAAAAUAUUCAAAUAUAUCGAAAUAACAUGUUUUUAAAAACAUUGAAAACCAUAUAAAAAAAUAUUAAUUUGAUACUCUUACGAUUACCACUAGAUAAGCUAAAAAUAAAGUUCUAAUUAGUAUUAUAAGCCAUAUGUUGAGCUACAAGUUUUUAUUUAUUUAUUCUUAUGAAUUUUAAUAUAAAAGGGUAUGAUAUUGUGUAAGUGAUAUUUUAUCCUUAGAUGUAUAAAAUUCUUCCUAAAUAUUUGACACAGUCUCAUGUUUGAUAAAUUUCAAAUCAUUGAUAAUUUAGAUUUGAAAUAUCAACUUUUUGAUGCCAACAUCAUGAUCAUCUUGUUCUAUAAUUGGGAUUAAUUCAUUAGUUUCAAGUAACAUUUUUCUAUAUUCCUAGUAGUAUAAAAAUCUUUUAAGGACCUAAUAUAUUUCUAUCACUAUUAAUAUUUUAUAACGAAUAUUUAUCUCUCAUUAAUAUUUUGCAAGAAAUAUUUGUUUCUCAUUUAUUAUUGCUAAAAGAAGGAAAUGACUCUUAAUAACUUAGUUUUUGAAAUAUUAAUUUGAAACAAAAAAAAAAUUCAAUUGUUUUAAAAAGCGUUUUUGAAACGAAAAACAAACAAAACCCACUAAUGUGCAAUUUAAUCACUUAGCUUUAAAGUACUUCAUGUGGAAGUAACUUAGUAGUAGGUGACUUAGAGGAAGAGUCUAAUGAUGCUAUUUAUCCUCUCUAUUAAUCAAUAGUUCUUUCUUAUUCAUCCUAUCUAGUUUCAAACCAUUUUUAUUUUAUUAAUUAAUAGUUUAUUUUUUUAAUUAACAUGAAUAUCCGGCAACUCAAUUUAUUAACAUCUAGUAACUUAGUACUAGUGAAUUAAGGGACUUCUCCUCGCGUGAAAUAUUCACUGACUUUGAUUAUCAAUUUUUUUUCAAUUAUGUAUACAUAAUUCCAUAGUUUAAAUUAUUUUUUUUUAGAAUAGAAAAAGGAAAAAUCAAAGUAUAUCAAUUCAAGGAAUGAAAAGACUUUGGAUCAUGAGAAACAAGUUAUAUAUAUAUAUAUUAGUGCGAAGUCAUUGGUGCCAAGAAACCACAAUUCAGUUUGCACAAUUUGAAGUCAACAGGGAAUCAAGUUGAUAGGAACCUUAAAUAUUGAUGAUGUUGUUCGGGUUUACGUAGUUUUGUGGUUUUUAAAUUUAUAUUUUUAAAUUGCCUUGUAAUAAACUUAUUGAUAGAAUUCGGAUUCAGGAUUCUAUAGGUUGCAAGCUUUUUAAGAUUUGACCAUGUUUAUGAUGUUAUUCGGGUUUACGUAGUUUUUACAGAUGUUUACAAUUUCACCACCUAUGAUUUUUCUUAAUUUUUAUAAUUUUUUCCGAUCUCAUCCUUUAAAAUUAAAUUGGUUGAAAAUUAUGCUUCUUGAUUGAAUCUAGGUAAAAAAAUUCAAUAGAUGCUGCUUUUAGAUAUUAAAUCAGGUUUAAGAGAUUUAUCCUAUUUUUUUUAUUUUUCUAAAUUGAUGUUGUCUUAUUUUUUAUCCUUUUUUUUUUACUUUUUUUAUAUUUUUUUGUUUAAUUCUCUAUUUUUAUUUUAUUUUUUAUUUGAUUAUAUUGGGUUAGCCGUCGACAAUUUUUUUAUAUUUCAUGCCCACCAUUUUGAAAUCUAUAAAUAUUCUAUCAUAUUACAAAUGAUUUUUAAUUUCACCCCCUAUGAUUUUUUAAUCUUCAAGUUUGGUACUAAUUUUUUUUAAUUGAAAUUUUUUUUGUUUUGAAUAAUUGCGAUAUUUCUAGCAUAUGUUUGCUUGAUUUUUUUUAUCCCUUUUUUUAAGCCAAUAUUUUUUGUUAUUUGUUUUUUUUUUUAAGAUUGACUCUUUUUUUUUCUUUGUUUUUUUUUCCAGUUAGGUUAACAUUGAGUUGUGUGAUAAUCUAAAUAGGUUCAGAUGUGGGUUUUUUUUGUCAGUUUAUUUGUUGUUGUUGUUGGAUUUUUUUUAACUUAUCAUUUUUUUAUAUUAAAGUAAUUGUUUGACUUGCAAGAACACGCGGACAACAUAUCUAGUUAUAAACCAAAUGAGAUAUAAUCCACACUCUUUAACAUAUUGAUACGAAAUAUAGAGGUUUGAAAUGUAUAGUUAUAUUUAUUCAGUCAAUGCAUGAUUCACUCUAUUUUUUUUUGUUAAAACAAGUAUGGUAUAGCAAAUUAAUCAUGAUUUUUUUAAAAGCAGGGCAUGUAAUUAAUGCUUUUAACAUGAAAGAAAUCACCAAUUUUUAUCACUAAUCCACAAUAUAAUUGAUUCUGCAAUUUUGAAGUUGGAAACCACAAUAAAUAGCUUACUCACCAGAUGCAUUAACCUAAUUUUAAAUGCAAAGGCCUUCAGCUUCAAGUGGCAUAUAUGUCAAUUCAUAUCAACUCUAACUCGACGCAACCAUUCUUUUUUUUUUUUAUUUAAAGAAAAGGCUUAUAAUAUAUAUUUUUUAAAGCUGCUAAGUGCUAAUCAAUGUUUCUUAAGUAAAACAUGAAAUCAUGCUCUUAACAUGAAACUAAUUAUGAGUUGGAAUCCACAUAAUUAGCUUAUAAUGCGUUAAUUUCAUUUUAAACGACAUGAUCUUCAACCUCAAGAGGCAAAUAAUUUGUCAACAUAGAUAGCUAUUCGUGCAAAGUAAACUCUCACAAGCUUAGUUUUGUUGUAAAAUAUUAAGUAUCCUCCAUUUUUUUAUAUAAAUAAUUAAUUUCUUGAAAAAUAUAUAAGUCUGAACAUGGAUGUAAUUUUUUUAGUGCAAUCAAAAGCACUUAGCAGCUUUGAAGAUAUUGAUCCAAACAUCCUAUUGUACAAAAAAAUGUUAUAUGAACAUCACUAAUGUUGAUUUGAAGAUAUUGAUCAUGUUAUUAUUUCUUUUAACAAAGCAAUCCAAUCGAGCCCACCUAGAAUUAAAACUAAAACUCACCGUCCCUUUCAAUAUUGAGUUCCAAUAAAAGGUAAAAAUAAAGUGCAAUAUUGGACGAAAAGAAAGUGCAAAAUUGAAACUCACCGUCCCUUUCAAUAUUGAGUUCUUACUCCCAAAAAAAUAAGUAAAUGUAAAUUGAUGUAAUUUAUUUGUAACAAGCUAUUAAACUCGAUUAGUUCAUGUUGAUUUUCUUAAAAAUUAAGUGGAAGUUGAACUAAUAUAAUUUAAAUGACCUAAUCAUGAUUUAGUUGAUACUAUCAAAAUCUAAGACAAUUUUAAAAAAAAUUAAAAUAAUAUUAUUUUAAUUAAUAGAGCUUAACCUGUGAUCUAGAUUUUUUAUCUGAGUUUUAAUAAUCAAAGAGUUGGAUUUUACCAUCUAGAUGUAAUUUUAACAUCUUCUCUGCUUCAUAUCCACAAAACUUGGGUUAGAGAAAAACAAAUAUCAUAAACAUUUCUUACCCAUAAUAAAGUAACUUUUUUUCUCUCUAAAAAAUGCAAAAGAACUCUCUUCAUUUUAUUUAUGUCAAGUAGUUAAUCAAAUCAAAUUAACCACACUUUGAUGCAUGCUCAUAGCUUAAUGUACAAAUAAUGCGCACAUAAUUUUCCACUGAAUUAAGGUGAUUUAAACGGAGAUAUUUAUUGCCCUAUUCCUUUCAGCAAAAUGGUUUCCUUCUUGGAGGGUGUAUAUAUGUGGUGUUUGUUUUGGAAUCAUUUUUGAUUCCUAGGACGAUUGUGCUAUGACGAGAGGAUUCCCUUUGCACGAAGCAACCAAUUUUGAUUCUUAUCGCAUCAUCCUAUGAACCAGAAAUUAAUGGUCCAAAACAGCGGUCCCACCUAUAGUAUGAUAAGAUCAUCAAUCAUCAAAUACCAUCCCCACCAUUUCCUGGGCCCACCCCACCAUCCACAUGAUCUCUCUCUCUCUCUUACAUCAAUCAUUUUUUUUGACAUGAUAUUUCUAUACUAAUGGCCUUAAAACUUGCCUUUCUCCUCUGGUUAACUGAUCUUGACAUGUUUUGGCCACACGUCUUUUGCUAAUGUUGUCUUUUUUGAUCCUUCCACUAUACAUUAUAUCUUAAUUUGAUCCUUGUCCUAUUUGCUAAUGUUGACCAAUGCUAAAACCACUACUAUAAAAAUUCUAUUGACUAGUUGAAAAGAAACAUUCCUUCCUGCUUAAGGAAUCUUGAAUGGGUCUAAACUCCAUAUGAAUGGCUGUUCUUUUAGCAAAUUUUCAUUCCAAUGUAAUGUUUGAUGAUUUAUAAAUAAAUUAUUGUCUAUUCCUUGAUUUAUGAAUGUGAUUAUAAUUUAGUCUUUCAUGUUCAAAAAUCUACCACUAAGUAUGUGUUUGAUAAUACGGUGCAGAGAACUUUUUAAAAUAUUCUUUAAUUAAAAAUACAUUAAAAUAACAUGUCUUUUUAAAAAAAGACAUCGACAUAUUAAAAACAUUGAAAACCAUAUAAAAAUAUCAAUUUGAUGCUUUUACAGCUACCACUAAACGAGCUAAAAAGAAAUUCUAAUUAGCAUUAUAGGCCUCGUGUUGGACUACAAAGUUUUAUUUGUUUAUUCUUAUAAAUUUUAAUAUAAAAUGGUAUAGUAUUGUAAAAGUGAUAUUUGUCCCCGAGGGUAUAAAAGUCUUCCUAAAUAUUUGGCACAAUCUCAUGUUUGAUAAAUUUCAAAUCAUUGAUAAUUUAGAUUUGAAAAAUCAACUUUUGAUGUCAACAUCAUGAUCAUUUUGUUCAAUAGAUGAGAUUAAUUCAUCAGUUUCAAGUAUCAUCUUCCUAUAUUCCUAGGAGUAUAAAAGUCUUCUAAAGGCUUACAUGUUUCCAUCACCAUUAAUAUUUUAUAACAGAUAUUUAUCACUUAUUAAUAUCGUACAAGAGAUAUUUGUUCCUCAUUUAAUGUUACGUAAGAAUUAUUUAUCUUUUAUUAUUGAUAUAAGAAGAAAAUGACUUUUCAGGCCAUUCACUCCAGCAAAAUGAUAAGGUUCAAGAGCUAUAAAUACUCAUUAAAUCAUCAAGGUAAAAGGUUUACAAUCUUCAUUAUUUAUUGUAUACAUAUUUUUUAAUUAUUUGUUUACAUAAUCUAAUAGUUAAAUUAUUUUUUAUUUAAAAUAGAAUAAGAAAAAAUGAAAAAUCAAAGUAUAUAAAUUGAAAGAUUGAUAAGCAAGAAAAGUAUUUUUUUUUUAAAAAAAGUACUAUUGAAAUAAGCAUGGUUAAAAUUGGUCACAACUAUUUAAUUACUUUUAAUAUUAAAAGGAUUGGUUAAUUUGAUAAAAAUUAGCAAUCCCUAAAACACUAUUUAAUCCGUUUAGGAAAUCAAUAUCGACGUGUUUCUAUUCUUAAAACAUGUUAGUACGGUGGAGAUUGCUUUUAAAAAUAUUUUUUUAUUUGAAAAUAUAUCAAAAUAAUAUUUUUAUGUUUUUUAGAUUUAUUUUUGAAAAAAAUUAAUAUUUUUAUAUUUUUAAUAUAUUUUUAUAUUAUUUUGAUGUAUUGGAGUAAAUAACGCUCAGUUAACGCUGGACUAGCUACAAAGAAAGUUCUAAUUAACACAGACUUCAUCUCAACAAAAUGUUAAAGGAAAUAUUCUAAUUAAAUAAUUCAACCCUCAGUUCCAUAUCCAGCACCACAAGAAGAUCAGACAAUAUCUAUAUAUCCAAGUUCCGAAGACUUUUCUGGACCAUUGCCUAUUGCUUUCUGACCUUGAUAUAAAAUUGACACUUCACGAGGGUCCCAAUUUUACUGCAUGAUCGGUUAGUACACUACAACAGCUAAGCACUGCACUCCUUCAGAUUUUUCUUCGUUCUAACACAAAAAUCUCAUAGUUUAGAUUAUUUUUUAUUUAAAUAGAAAAAAGGAAAAAUCAAAGUAUAUAUCAAUUGAAAGAAAGAAAUUUUUUUUUAAUGCUUCUCCCAGUGACUUUGAUUUCGUCAGUAUACAAUCUAAGACUGUAGCGUUUGUCUAUAUAUACUACUAAUAAUGCCUUUCUUUACUUCUCAUCUUAAAUUCCCAGUUAUACUUUGAAUCCUGUAAGGCCAGCCAACAUGGGGUUUACACCACCGUGCCUCUCUCAAUCUCUCUUUUUCAUUCUGUUUCUCUUCCAUUUCCACUCAACAAUUUCAUCUCCACUCUCCUCGAAUUACCAAUCUCUUUCUCUCCUUCAAUUCAAACAAUCCUUCUCCAUUGAUAGUUCUGCUUCAUCAGAGUACUGUCAAUAUCCCUUGCCAAAAACAGAGUCAUGGAAAGAGGGUACAGACUGCUGCUUGUGGGAUGGGGUCACUUGUGACCUGAAAACCGGGCAUGUCACUGGACUGGACCUCUCUUGCAGCAUGCUUUACGGCACCCUCCUUCCCAAUAAUUCUCUCUUUUCUCUCCGUCAUCUUCAAAACCUCGACCUCUCUUUCAAUGAUUUCAACUCCUCUCAUAUUUCUUCUCGAUUUGGCCAGUUCUCCAGUCUAACACAUCUUAACCUCAGUGGUUCAAUUCUUGAAGGCCAAGUUCCAUCAGAAGUCGCUCACCUCUCCAAAUUGGUUUCUCUUGAUCUCUCUUUGAACUACGGUCUAAGUCUAGAACCAAUUUCUUUUGACAAGCUUGUUCGAAACCUAACCAAGCUUAGAGAACUCGAUUUGAGUUCGGUAGACAUGUCACUACUUGUUCCCGAUUCCUUGAUGAAUCUGUCUUCUUCUCUGUCAUCGCUCAAACUCAAUGACUGUGGAUUGCGAGGAAAAUUCCCAUCCUCAAUGGGGAAAUUUAAGCACCUUCAGUACUUGGAUCUUGGAGGGAACAAUCUUACUAGUCCAAUUCCAUAUGAUUUUGAGCAACUCACUGAGAUGGUUUCACUUGAUCUCUCUGGAAACGGCUAUCUAAGUCUAGAACCAAUUUCCUUUGACAAGCUUGUUCGAAACCUAACCAAGCUUAGAGAACUCGAUCUGAGUUCGGUAGACAUGUCACUACUUGUUCCCGAUUCCUUGAUGAAUCUGUCUUCUUCUCUGUCGUCACUCAAACUCAUUGACUGUAGAUUGCAAGGAAAACUCCCAUCCUUAAUGGGGAAAUUUAAGCACCUCCAGUACUUGCGUCUUCGAGGGAACAAUCUUACUGGUUCAAUUCCAUGUGAUUUUGAGCAACUCAUAGAGUUGGUUUCACUUGAUCUCUCUGAAAACUUCUAUCUAAGUCCAGAACCAAUUUGUUUUGACAAGCUUGUUCGAAACUUAACCAAGCUUAGAGAACUCAAUUUGGCUUCUGUAAAUAUGUCUUUGGUUGCACCUAAUUCCUUGACGAAUCUGUCCUCUUCUUUGUCAUCUCUCUCCCUCAGUAAGUGUGGAUUGCAGGGGAAAUUCCCGGGUAACAUCUUUCUCCUCCCAAACCUUGAAUUUCUCUAUUUGUCACAAAACAAAGGCCUCACUGGCUCUUUUCCUUCGUCCAAUUUGAGUAAUGUCCUCUUUCUGUUGGGUCUUUCUAAUACAAGAAUUUCAGUUUAUUUAGAAAACGACUUAAUCAGUAAUCUAAACUCAUUAGAAUAUAUGUCUCUUCGUAAUUGUAACAUUAUAAGGUCAGAUCUGGCUCUGCUUGGUAAUCUCACACAGCUCACCUAUUUAGAUCUCUCAAGUAACAAUUUUAUAGGUGAGAUCCCAUCAUCAAUUGGAAACAAUACCUUUUCAAAUUUAAAAUAUCUAUUAUUAUUUGAUAACUUGUUCAAUGGAACAAUACCAUCCUUUUUGUUUGCUCUUCCCUCUUUACAAUUUCUUAACCUUCAUAACAAUAAUCUCAUAGGCAAUAUAAGUGAAUUCCAACACCAUUCAUUGGUAAACCUUGAUUUGAGCAGUAACCACUUGCAUGGUACAAUCCCAAGUUCAAUUUUCAAACAAGAGAACUUGGAAGCCCUCAUUCUUGUGUCCAAUAGUAAAUUGACAGGUGAGAUUUCUUCUUCUAUUUGCAAGCUGAGAUCCCUUGAGGUCCUAGACUUGUCCGACAACAGCUUGAGUGGUUCUAUACCAUUAUGUUUGGGGAACUUCAGCAGCAAGCUCUCAGUAUUGCAUCUAGGCAUGAACAAUCUUCAAGGCACUAUCCCUUCAACAUUUUCAAAGGGUAAUAGCUUGGAAUAUCUCGACCUCAAUGGAAAUGAAUUAGAAGGGGAAAUAUCACCAUCUAUCAUCAACUGCACAAUGUUGGAAGUUCUUGAUCUUGGCAACAAUAAGAUUGAGGAUACAUUUCCUUAUUUUCUAGAAACGCUUCCGGAGCUGCAAAUUCUAAUUCUAAAAUCCAAUAACCUCCAAGGUUUUGUGAAGGGUCCGACUGCAGAUAAUUCCUUCUUUAAAUUAUGGAUUUUUGACAUCUCUGACAAUAAUUUUAGUGGGCCGUUGCCAACAGGGUAUUUUAAUACUCUUGAAGCAAUGAUGAUCUCAGAUCAAAACAUGAUUUACCUUAACACGACAAAUGACAUUGUCUGUGUUCAUUCCAUAGAAAUGACAUGGAAAGGUGUAGAAAUUGAGUUUCCGAAGAUCCGAAGUACCAUCAGAGUACUAGAUUUGUCAAAUAACAGUUUUACUGGAGAGAUUCCAAAGGUGAUCGGAAAGCUUAAAGCACUACAACAACUCAACCUCUCUCAUAAUUUCCUUACAGGUCAUAUCCAAUCAUCAUUGGGAAAUUUGACCAAUUUGGAAUCAUUAGACCUAUCUUCAAAUUUGCUUACCGGAAGGAUUCCAAUGCAGAUGGCACAUCUAACAUUUCUUGCAACCCUAAACCUUUCACAUAACCAGCUGGAGGGGCCCAUACCAAGUGGAGAGCAAUUCAACACCUUUGAUGCAAGAUCAUUUGAAGGAAACUCGGGUUUAUGUGGCUUUCAAGUACUAAAAGAAUGCUACGGUGACGAGGCACCAUCAUUGCCGCCAUCAAGCUUUAAUGAAGGAGAUGAUUCAACAUUGUUUGGAGAAGGAUUUGGAUGGAAAGCUGUGACAAUAGGGUAUGGAUGCGGGUUUCUGUUUGGAGUUGCAACGGGAUACGUUGUGUUUAGAACAAAUAAACCUUCAUGGUUACUUAGGAUGGUUGAAGAUAUAUGGAAUCUCAACAGCAAAAACACGAAGAAGAAUUUCCGCAGAUAUGGUGCUAGAAGAAACUAAAUAAUUCAAUUGAUAUUUUCAAGUAAGUUUUGCAAGCAUUUGAGUUUUCAAAUUUUAUGUUCACAAUUUAUGUUAGGCUAACUUUUCUCUACUCUUUCAUUUGAUCAGUCUUACCUUUCUAAUUUUGCAGUACAAACAAGAUAUCAAGUGGAUUUGGCAUUGAAACAACACCAGGGUGGCAUAUUCCCUUUACUUUUUUCUCUUUUUUUAGUUUCAAGGUUAAUUGGGUGUUUCUUUUAUGAAAACGAAUCCAUGUAUGUAACACAGGUUUGUGUUAACUAUAAAAUCAUUUAUGUUUUGGGUCCUAUUUUUAUGUGUCCAUUUCCUUAUUCUUUAUCACUUCAAUCAAUCUUUGUUUCUGGGAGUGUUCUGAAAGUUAAAGAGUUAUGAACAGAUAGAAGCAAUUCUUGUAAAUUCAAAAGAACACUUGACUGAUAGAUUCUGUUAUCACAACAGCAGCAAUAUUUGCAAGCAAAAUAGAGUAAUUCUGAUAACUUGUAAGUCAUAAAUAACUAUUAAAAAGUGUAACAAACCCAUCUCAAAAGGUACAAACAAUGUUCGACAACAACAAAUCAGUCAACAUUGGUGAUUGGCAAGUUUAUAUCUAAAGCAAAAGAAAGCAAGAUAGGUAUUAAUUAAUACCACGUUAAGAGCUCUAUGCUACAACAAAUCUACAAUUCUGAGUCGCCUACAAACAGCAUUUUCUACUUAGAACAUUUUAGAAUUGGAAAAAAAAAAUUAAAAUAAUUUAAAAUACAAUUUCUCUUGGCCUCAUAUUAAGAAAAAAACAGAUGAAUAUUUCAAGGGUCCUGAUUAUCCAACUGAAGAUUCAAGAUUUGAGAUACUACGAGUUUAGAGAGUUCAUUAGUUGUGGCUUCAACCUGAUAGUCAUCUGACUGCCUUGGCCACCCAGGUGAAUGAGAGCUUGACCUAGUCUUGGUUGGUGUGCCAUGAACUCUCUGCAAGUCUGAUUGGGACAAUGGCCUUGGAUAGAGCACAACAGGCAACAAUUACCAAAACUUUUCCAUGACACCCUCAGGCAUGCAUGGGAUUUCUAUGCAAAUAUUACAAAUCAAUAAAAAUACCUUGAAAAAUUAGCUGGGAAUAUAACAAAUCACAAAUGAGAACUAUAUUGUUCAAUAUACUAUAAAAUAACUGAUGGAAGCAUGGAACAACACGAUGAUAAAUAUAUACUUACACUAGAUUUUUCCCCUUUGUUCUCCUCAUCCAAUAGGUCCCUAAUAGGAAAAUAAGCUACUUUCUUGCAAGGUUCAAGAAGAUCUGAACCAGUGUAGCCCUUACACAAAAUUGCUAUACAGUCAAAGUCAAUUUUGCUUUUGAUUUUCUCCCCUUUCAAAACAACCUUCAAGAUCUCAGCCCUCUCUCUUUGAUCAGGUAUCCCAAUUUCAAAGGCCUGAGGAAGCCUCCGGAGGAUUGCUUCAUCGAGUUCUUAAGGUCAGUUGGUUGCAGCAAGUAACAUCUCUUGUGCGUUCUCUUCAAAACAGCCUUCAAGAUCUCAGCCCUCUCUCUUUGAUCAGGUAUCCAAAUUUCAAAGGCCUGAGGAAGCCGCCAGAGGAUUGCUUCAUCGAGUUCUUAAGGUCAGUUGGUUGCAGCAAGUAACAUCUCUUGUGCGUUCUCUUAAGAAUAGUAUCACCAUAAAAUAAAUAAUAAUCAAAAUAAUAAAGAUAAAAUCUAAAAAAUAAAAAAAUAAAAGAUGAAGAAAUUAAAAUAAUAAUAAUUAAUAUUUCAUAAAUUAUUUCAAAUAAAAUAAGUAAUAAUCAAAAGAAUGAAGAUCAAAUUUGAUACAUAAAAAAUUUCAAUAAAAAAAUGAUAAGAGAAAAACAAAUAACAAUUAUAAAAAUAAGGACCAAAGUUAAUAUAAAAAUUAAAUUUUAAGAGAUGAAAUUGAAAAAUAAAUAUUCAAAACAAAAUAUAUAUAGAAAUCAAAAGUUUGAGGACCAAAUUUGAUAUAAUCAGCAAAUAAUAUGACAUUUCUAAAUUUUUCACAAUUUCCGGAAAGUGUUUUCUGCCCAAAUUUUUCAGGAAAACAAUUUCCUGAAAACCAAGUUAAAUUUUCCUUUAACUGUAAAGUAUUUUCCAUUGAUCAACUUUUCUAAUAAUAAACAAACACAAAAAAAUUUAAAAAAUAAUUUUUUAAAAAUAAUUUUUCAGGAAACAAACAUAGCCUUCAUAAAAACACAUUCUAGCAAGUCACUGCAUAAAAAGACUACACAAAUGCAGCACUUGUUUCAAGAGUAAGAACUCACGAUCUGUAGUAAACCCAUCCCAUAAUGCUAUGAACUCAGUCUUCAUAUUGGUUAAUGCCUCAUGAUCUGUAGUACGAUACUGCCAUAUUCAAUAGUGUUUAGAGGAUAGGCUUGAUUGUUACAGAGCAUUUGCAAUUAAGGUUUCAUAAUUGAAAAGUUGGUUUUCGAAUCCUAAUUUCAUCAUAAAACCCAAUUACAAUCGAUUUGAUGUAUUCAAAGUAAUUUAAUGAUAUUUUUUAAUAUUAAUCUCAAAAUUUUAAUAUAUUAAACAACUUUAUUAGUUUGUUUUCCAUUUGUCAGAAAACACAUCAAGAACUUCAACACAUAAAAUACAAUGAGCAACCCCGUUGCAGGCGUCUGAACAAAGUCCACUGGCGUCUCCCACGCGCUAGCAGCCUCCCACGUUCUUAUAUAUGAUGACGCAUACAAUAACAUAUCUAAAAUCGCUAAGAAACUAUACCUUUCUAAUUAGCAUUGCCAAGGUGAUGUGUAGCUGCCACCUCACGUUCAGAGCUAUAGACUAUUGUGGGUUCAGUAUAAUGCAAUAACCUUCCAUUGACGUUGGCAAUAGUGGAGUCCAUAGAGUUGUCACUAACCUCCUUAAUCCAUCUCUGUCAAACUCCCUCUGGCGUUAAGAAACCUAACCUUAUACUUUUUCCUCCUAGAAACAAUUCCUAAUGAUACCUGAGAACCAUCCUGUUUCCCUCAUGUUUAUAUCAGAUAAUGCACUUUAUAUUCCAUCAUCUUGAGAAUGUUAAUUAAAAGGCAAGACGAAGCCCUUACAGAGCCCAAGAAGAAGCAGCAGCAGCUCUUGAUUUGAUGUUACUCGCUAUCAAUCAAUUAGCUGACGCGUCCUUAUCCAUCUGUCUUGUUAAUAGAAACCUCUUGAAAAACCCCAUUAUUUUCCUUCAGUUUCCAGCAAUCCAAACAUCCCUCAUAACCCACUUGUCCCAUUAUCAUCAACAGUUCCUACUACUUCACUAGCUUCUUCUUUGGUGAAUUCCAUAAAGACCCACUCCCCAUCAGUAUCCCUCAGAGUACUUGAUUACUAUGGCUUUGCCAAUAUUUAUGACGUGGAAAGGAUCGGAAUUUGAGUUUGUAAAAAUUCAAGGUAUCCUCACAGUACUUGAACUGUCGAGUAAUAGUUUCACCGGUGAGAUUCCAAAAUUGAUUGGAAAGCUUAAAGGACUCCAACAACUUAACCUCUCUCACAAUUACCUUACUUGUCAUAUCCAAUCAUCAUUAGGAAUUUUGAUCAGUCUAGAAUCAUUAGAUCUAUCUUUCAAUUUGUUCACUGGAAGGAUUCCUAUACAGUUGGUAGAUCUAACAUUUCUUCAAGUCUUAGACCUUUCACAUAACCAGCUUGAAGGACCCAUACCCAAAAGAAAGCAGUUCAACACGUUUGAUCAUCGCUCAUUCGAAGGAAACUCGGGUUUGUGUGGAUUGUCUGCAUGAGCUGUAUACGUGAGGUGUAAUAUAUUAGACUGAUUCUAGAAUCUGCAAUUAUUCCUAGAAAUCUGGUAGUGAUCGACAAUCUUGUAUAGGAAUAUUUAGUUUAGGAAUAUUUAGUUUUCCUUAGAAGAGGUUGUUUCCUUUCUUGGAAGGUAUAAUUGUAUAUAUAUAUAUGGCCUCCUAACGUUGAGAAGAAUAGAGAAGUAACGAAUUAUUCUCACAAUAAUACUCUGUUUUACAUGGAUUUCCAAUGCCAGACGAAUGUAGCAAUGGCGAGGCACCACCAUUACCGCCAUCAAACUUUAUUGCAGGAGAUGAUUCAACAUUGUUUGAAGAUGGGUUUGGAUGGAAACCUGUGGCAAUUGGGUAUGGAUGUGGGUUUAUGUUUGGAGUCAUAAUGGGAUUUGUUGUGUUUAAAACAAGAAGACCUGCAUGGUUUCUGAAAAUGGUUGAAGAUCAAUGGAGUCUUAAUGCAAGCAGAACAAAGAAGAAUGCUAGUAGAAAUGGUGCAAGAAGAAACUAAACAAUGCAGUCAGUAUCUUCAAAGUUCGUUCUGUAAGUUGUUUCCUUUCUGAUUUUAUAAGUAAUCAUAACUACAGAUAUAUAUUGUUUUUAUUGCAGUAUUAUUUCAAUAAAGGUUGUGCCUUUCAUAGUGUUGAAGAUUGGAGUUGACAUUGGAACAACACUAAAGUGGCAGAUUCAUAGUGUUGAAGAUAACAGUACUAAUAAUUAAAUACUACUAAUAAUGCCUUUCUUUAUUUCUAAUCUCUCCCAAUUAUACUUCGAAUCCUGUAAGGCCAGCCAACAUGGGGUUUUCACAACUGUGCCUCUCUCAAUCUCUCUCUUUCAUUCUGUUUCUCUUCCAUUUCCAUUCAACAAUUUCUUUCUCUUCUUCUUCUCAAAUCACUCCUCCUCCUCCUCUUCUUCUUCUCAUUUGUGUGCUCAUCACCAAUCUCUUUCUCUCCAAUUCAAACAAUCCUCUUUAGGUUUUUUCUAUCAAAUUUUAUUCUCAUUCUUUCUAUUUCUAUCAAAUUCAUUGGAGUGAGAUCCAUUAGAUAAGGAAGCUACAAUGCCCUGAUUUUUAAAGUAAAUAGAGCAUCCAACAAAAUCUUGCUGCUAAUAUUGUUUCCGCAGAUGAAGAAUCACCAGUUCAUACAAAGCUUGCUUGAUAGAUUCCAAUCCUCCAAUUGAUUCAAAUUCCACAUCUAUGUGAUCAGGAUUUCUAACAUCACAUGCUAUGACAUCCUGUUCAAAAAUAAAAAUACCUUAUAAAUGAUGCAUGCAAUAAUGCUUAACACACAUACAAUAACAUAGUUAAAAUUGCUUAGAAACUAUACCAUUCUAAUUAACAUUAGACCCACUCCAAAUACUUAGAAAUUUUACUUUCCAAGAAACAAAAAACUUCAAUAUCAUUGGAGCUAACAUACUUUUGUGCAGGCAGCCCCCCUUCUACAAAGACUGCCUAAAUCUCUGUAAUUCUAUGGUAGCAUCUGCUUAAGAUUAGAAUAAAACUCAUAACCUUGGGGCACCAGAGCAAGAACUCAGAGGGAGUCCAACCAUUCCUUCUAUAUAUUUCAUAUCAAUCUGCCUCCGAAUAUGUUCAGCAUCCAAACCAUCAUUAGUAUCUCUAUGAAUACCUAAAACCUUGCCAAGGUGAUGUGUAGCUGCCACCUCACGUUCAGAGCUAUAGACUAUUGUGGGUUCAGUAUAAUGCAAUAACCUUCCAUUGACGUUGGCAAUAGUGGAGUCCAUAGAGUUGUCACUAACCUCCUUAAUCCAUCUCUGUCAAACUCCCUCUGGCGUUAAGAAACCUAACCUUAUACUUUUUCCUCCUAGAAACAAUUCCUAAUGAUACCUGAGAACCAUCCUGUUUUCCACGCUUAUUUCUUCUCCCUCCUGCCAGAGAGUUGGUUUUUUUUCCAAAUUGCCGUAGAUUUCACUAGAAUUCAGAAAAUUUGUAGAAAAGGUGUCUCGCUCUUACUGCACACCUGACACUUUCUUUCGUGUGAUUAGGAUUAAACUACCCUGCAUCUAACUUUAUCUAUAGCUCAGAGCUGACAACAUGGUUUAAGAUUGUGCAAAAACUCAAGAACUCAUGAGAAUACUACAUAUUAUAUUAAAGAUAAAGGAUAAUAUAGAGUAUUAAAAAGACAUAAAAUAUUUUGAUGUAAGAUUAGGGAUGAAUAGAAUUCCACUUUGUAUAUAUUGAGUUGCGUCUAAUUAAUAAAUAAAGAUUCGCUGAUUUUUUUUUCCAAAAAAUUAGGUCUGAUAUUUUCUUAAAUUUAUAUACUCUUAAACCUAGAGCGAAGCUAGGGAAGCAUUUUGCUAUACUUUCCUAGAUUGACUUCUUUUGAGUUUUUGUGUGCAUAGUUUUUUUUUUUUUUCCCCGAGCCCAUAUAUCAUUGGGCCUUUCAUGUGAGUUGAUUUAACCAUACUAUGAUGGAACCAUCAAUACUAAACUUUAGAAUUUCUAUAUUUUGAUGGAGGUUACAUGACUUACGUAAUAUUUAAUUGUGCAAAGUCAUUAGUGCUGCUCCAUUGCUUGGCGUAAUUAUUACUUUGCCUUGGUUUCCAUCCGUCUAGAAACAACAAUUAAUUAGUGGGACAUUAUUCUGCACAAUUUUAUUUUUACUUUAUUUUUUAUUAUUCAUAUUAUGUUUCUGUUGCAUUUUUAAUACUAAUUAACAAUUAUGUGCAUGCUCAUGAACAAAUUAAUUAGUCUUUCUUUGCUCCUAUUAAAAGGCACAUCGGAGAAGAUCAAACUUAAUUUCAUUAAUUAAGGCUUUAUCUGAAAAUUUGAUUCUCUAACUUCAUAGUCUAUAUAUUGUCUGGAUAGGUCAUUUUAUUUAAUUAAUAUAGAAAGCUCAUCCGAUAAAUGGAUGUCAACUAUUUUCAUAACAAAGUAGGAAAUAACAUGCUUUUUAAAAUUAUUUUUCUCCUUAAAAAACCUAUCCAGACACAAUUGUGUUGGAUAAACGGUUUUAUUUUAUAUGAUUUUUUUUUCUAAAGUUUCUCUAGUUAAUAUUAAAACUUAAAAGAAAAAAAGAAAAGAAAGUAAACACCCGAGGAAUAAACAUUUCGAGCUUUCUUAAUUUGGAGUGAAAAAAAAAAUUCCCCCCCUGUUUUGCAACUAUGAAAUCUUCUAGCCUAAUUAGUAGCGCUGAAUCCUGGAGCUUAAUUUACAACUUGAUGUGUGCCUUUAUUGUCUCCACACUCGCCAUUUUUUAAAUUUAUUUAAAAAAAAACACCAGAGUAGAUAAGUAGAUAUGUUGAAGGAUUGAUAGGGGAUCGAAAAAAGUAUUUUCAAAACAAAAUAUUAUGAAAUUAAACAUGAUUAACACUUAUCAAAUGACUGUUUAAUUAGUUUUAAUAAUAUAAAGAUCAAUGAUUUUUUUGCAUAAUAAGAAAAAUUACCAAUUAACUAACAAUACUGUAGUGUUCCCAUUCGUAGUCUCAAGAGUGAGGAAAUAAUUAAAGACAUUCUUAAUCAUUGUUAAGAAGAUAGAAAGAGGAGAGUUCUUCAAAAUCAUUCUUUCUUAAACAAUUGUAGACAGAAUCAAAUACAGUUCCUUCACAAAUGCAACAAACAUCAGGCAAGAAGAUAAGAUGAAUAGCCAACCAGAUUUAUAUAAUAAUAAUAAUAUUUGGUAGCAGAUACCUAUUGAUAGAGGAACAGGGAUCAAAUGCCAAGAAAGGGUAGUGUUUCAAGAAUAUUGAGUCUGUCUGAUCCAUCUACAUGGCCAUUCAAGGAGAACAGGAAACUGAUUUCCGACAAUGGGAGGUAGUUCAGUUCCCGAAUCCCCUGAACUUUCCUUUCUUUGUUCCCAGGGGAUAAGCACAAAUCAAAUAGCAUUCCCAGUAUUUUUAAGAGCAUUCCCUCCAAGUCCAGAGGUUGGCGUCAUCAGUUUACGGAGAAUGGCUGCUUCUAAGACUCAAAUGUCAUCUGAUCUUGUGCUUCUUGGAAUCUAAUAAAAUAAAACCAAUGCGCUCCCAUUGAUGAAGUGAGUUGUCCAAACUUUUGAAGUGGUGUUACAAGUAACUUGAAGGGAGUGGAAAUCAUUCUGAAUUGCAUUUAACAAUUAAGAACUUCGUUUUCCCGGGAAGUUUCAUUUGUCAAUGAAUCGUUUUUGCAGCUGCCUGAAUUCUGGCCCGGAGUGCCCAACGCAUUACUAUCCUUUAAACUAUAAAAUGCUCCUUUUUUCUUAGAAACAUAUAAAUUGUUUAACCCGUCAAGUAAGCAGCCGCUUGUUCUUGUUCACAAUAACAAGCAUAAUUUAUCAGUGCAUGCAAAGGAAGAUCUUAUUAGUAUUAAGAUUAUAAGCCAACAAGGCAGAGAAGGGUAAAAGUCCCCAAGAACAUACAGUUCCUAUAGACGAGCUGCAAAGGAAUAGCACAGAAUUUAACUUGUUUCCAGGCUCAAUGUCCUUGUAGGUGAUUAAAAGCAAAGUCCAAGUGAAUAUAUUUCUGGAAAGCUGUCAUUUUACGUACUGUUUAUACAAAUUAUAAUCUUUUCACAAAUUCAUUAAUUUGUUUAUAUAUAUCCAUCUUUCCACAAAUUACAGUACUCUUGCAUUUGAGAUUUGGUCCGUCAGCACCGCACCCAGCCAAGAAAUCUGUUUAAUGCUUCUCCCAGUGACAAAAGAUCAAACCAGUUCAUUUUAAUAUAUUUAUAAUAAACAAAUAUUUUAAGAAAAAUACACUGAUCAUACACAUUACCAACCAAGUACACAGGAAAAGUUGAUAGGAACUUUUGGAUAAUUAAAAACGACUUUUGGGUCGUGAAAAACGAUACAUGUGUGCUGCCGUAAUUAUUACUUUGCCUUGGUUUCCAUCCGUCUAGAAAGUAGAAACAACAAUUUAGUGGGACAUUAUUUUGCACAAUUUUACUUUACUUUACUUUUUAUUUUUACUUUAUUAUUCAUAUUAUGUUUCUGUUGCAUUUUUAAUACUAACAAUUAUGUGCAUGCUCAUGAACAAAUUAGUCUUUCUUUGCUCCGAUUAAAAGGUACAUCGGAGAAGAUCUAACUUAAUUUCAUUAAUUAAGGCUUUAUCUGAAAUUUUUGAUUCUCUAACUUCAUUAAAUUUUGAACACAGAGGUUAGCAAAUAAGCAGAAAGAAAAAGGAUAAUUCAAUGCGUGUCUGCUAUAGCAAUCUUUAACUUCCUAACAGCUUUCAGAGGAGCACGCUGUCGGAUGCAGUUCUAAACCACAAGUCCAAACAAACAGAAAGAAAAAGGAUAACAGUGUCAACUUAGCCAUAACAAUGUCAAACAAAGAAUACUGAAAACUAAAUCAGCUACUCUACUUAGUGGAGAAUGGUGAGGUCAAAGGCAGUACAGUGAUGCCAUUAAAAUGCCAUAACCACUUAUUCCAGUAAAAAGAACCUAUGGAUAAUUUACUUUCAUAAGAGAUCAUAAUUUAUAAGAUCCUAUGUUGAUUCUCUAACUUCAUAGUCUAUAUAUAUCCAUGUUUUCCAUAAAUUAAUUAAUAUUGCCGCGUUUCCAACACUCACUCACUCUUGUAUUUGGAAUUUGGUACUGAAAGAUUGUUAGCGUCUGCAUCUUUUGGAAAAGAUUUAUCAAUAAAUGGAUGUAUCUAACCUAUGAUUGCUUCCAGAGGCAAAAAUAGUCUUGAUAUUCUGUUUAUUUUUGUAUUUUAAAAAUAUUUUAAAAAAAAAUAUUUUUUUUGUUUUUUUUUAUUUCAAAUUAAUAUUUUGUGUUUUCAGAUCAUUUUUAUGUGCUGAUAUCAAAAAUAAUUUUUUUAAAAUAAAAAAAUAUUAUUUUAUUACAUUUCCGAAUAAAACACAUUUUAAAAAAUAACUCCAACCACAAUUCCAAAAACACUUUUACACAAAGAAGUAGCCAACCAGCAAACGCCAACUAAUUAGGAAAGCCAAAUAGAUCAUUGUAUUUGUUGAUCAUGUUCUAUCAGGCAAAGGCCCGAAAAUGGACACCCCAUCAAGGUUUUCCACAACAUAAGGCUUUUAAGUUUAGAAAAUAAAAAAAUUGAAAAGAAAGUAAAAUUUCUUCUUUUAUGAAAUGCCUCUAGAAACAUAGAACAAAUCUCGAAAUCAUAGAGGCAAAUCAGAUAUAUAAACGUGUCGAUACACGACGUCGGGCGGCGGCUCCCGCUUUUUUUGUUUAUUUAACAAAAAGGGUUUUUUUCUUUGAUUAGGGGGAAACAAAGAUUUUAUUGGAGUCGCCAUCUAGUAAUUUGAGGGAACUAGAAAUCCCAAAUUAGACACUGGUCCCAGAGAUUUGGAUACGGGGUUAGUUAUGAUUAAGGGAAGGUAGACACCACCCUUAAAACUUCCUUUCAAAAGAAAGGUUACCCUUACUUGUGUGUUUUUAUUUGAUUCAAAUGCGAUUAUAUUUUGGGCUUAUUUGUAAAAAUUUUUAAUGAUUAACGUCGGUCCCUAAAAAUAGGAGACACGUUAAAAAUGACAUCAGUCCCUAAAAAUUAGGAGACUCGUCUGAGUUACCAAAAGAAAUAAUGGAUAUAAUCCAUUAUAUUUUGGGUUUAUUGGUAAUUUGUUUUUUUUAAAAUGGUUAACGUCGGUCCCUAAAAAUAGGAGGCACGUUAAAAAUGACAUCAGUCCCUAAAAAUUAGAAGACUUGUCUAAAAUAUGACGUUUUAACCCUAAAAAGAAGAGUUACGUCUGGGUUACCAAAAGAAAUAAUGGACAUAAUCCAUAUUUGGUAUUUACAUUUUUGACAUCGGUCCUUUUAAAAAAAGAGACGUGUCGACUUUGGUUUUUGUAUUUUUUUACAACAUGCAAGAAAAUUUACAAGCAUUUAUAUAUGAAAACAAAUAUCAAAAAUACCAGCAAAACGAUGGUAGGAGUAAAUUCCUUAUAAAUCACGCAGUAUUUGGCAAAAGACAUCAUCAACUUCUUGCAUUUUCAAUACUCUCAAAGUUCUCAACUUUUGAAGCUUUAACCAUGUCUUCCUCUUCUUCCAAUGCUAACCCAAACCCUGUUCCUGCAGUAGAGCCUGCAGUUUGGCGUACUACCUUUGAAGUGAAUGGUCGUCCAGUUACAAUAGAGGAUACUGUAAUGGACAAUGAAGAUAUUGUUGUAGCUGUGGCUAGAGACAUGAUCCUUCCUCGUGAUGAAAUAAUGUUGGCAGCCAGGACCGAUAUUGAAGCAGUGAAUCAGUCACUUGCUCUCAGUAUCAGAGCUACCUCGUCUUUGGUGAACGUUGAAGAGCGUCUUCAUGCUAGAAGACUUGAGUUGAAUACUCAGGUUCUUGAUCUCCAUCAUCAGAUUGAGAAUUUAAAGAAUAGACUCCAUGAUGAGAGACGUCACAGAAACAACUUGGAGAGGAGAAAUCAAGAGCUGAAUACACGUGUGGACUUUUGGCGGGACUAUGUUAACACACGACACCUCGAGUUCGAGGAAGAGAUGGAGCGUAUGCAUAAGCAAUUUGAGGAAUUCCGAGGCAUGAUUAAUCAUCAAGAUGAAAAUAUCCCUGAUCGUCCUCGCACUGUUUAACAUUUGUAUUUGUAAACCCCUUUUUCCAUGAAUAAAAAUCUAUCUUUCUUGUCUUCAUUUAUGAAUUUGGCUUUUGUGGAAUUGCCAUAUUUGAUGUGAUUUACAAGAACUUCAAUUCAUGUGAGUCUCGUUGGAUCCUAGAGGGAAUUUUGUUUCUUGAAAUAUCUGCAAAACAAAUAUGCAAUGCCCGUGAAGUUAGAUGAUAUGCAAUGCAUCUUACCUGUUUUUGAAAUAUAGGUUCCCCCCUCUUUGAUGUUUCAUCGUCAUAGGGUGGCUUUGUUUGCAUUCCAAAGCCUUCUUUGUUCUUUCGAUGCAUUGGCUCAUUCAUGUGCUAGCCAUCCGCUCAGCUGUAAAUGCAAUGCCCAUCUUGGGCUGUCCGCGAUAAUUACUGCUCUCACUGUUUAUCAAGCUUGACAAUGCCUCCAGGUGUAAUGUUGCUUGAUUUAUCAUUAAGAAGUUUAACAAAUCAUUCAUCUCUUGGAUUCUUUCAAGAAUUGUUCUUUGAUUGAUUGUGCGCAUCGUGCCAACACCUAUCAAGAUUGUCAAUCAGUUAUGAACUCACCUCCAGUUGAAACAUACCCUUCAAGUAUAUGCGGUCAUCCACUUUAAUGGAACUGUCAUGUCAUUCAGACCUGCAUUUCAUACUUUGCAGUAAAAAGCUCAUCGUUGUAUGCUCAGUUUCUUUCUCAAUAAGUUCUUCUCAACUCAUCUAACCAGAUUGUGAAAAGAAGUGUCUCGGCCUCAUCAAUGAUGUUGCUUUUAUCACCCAUACUCAUGUGGUGCAGUGCGCAUUUGAGCUUCAAAUCAGAUGGUCCCACGGUCAGUCUAGGCGGGUGCGGUGCAUCCUCCCAACAUUCAUUCAAAGCAAUCUUGUGAUAACAUCUUUCAAUAGUCAUAGCUAUAUUGGAGAUGAUAAACCAAGAUGAAGAUAUGAAGAUGUCCUUCAGGUACAUCUUUGCUCUCAAUUGUUGUCGGGGUUUACUGGAUCAUAAACUGUUCUUGAACAUCAUUGCCCUUAAUUGAUUUGAAUGUGCUCAUUCACUGAUUAUCUUUCUUUGAACCAUAUUGUCCUCAGUUUAUUGAUUCAUCAUUUGAUCAUCUCUAUCCCCCAGCUGAUUUAAACACUGUUUGUUUUCCUUCUCAGAGGUCCAUUGUAUUGCCCCCAGGAGUGUCGAGGAGAAUUGAUGUCAUUUCUGUCAGGAAUUUGCAAACUUGGUCGAUGUUUUUCUUGUUUGAAAAUCUUUCUUAUUUUGGAAUCAAAUCUCACAUUUCAAAGGUCAUGUCUAUUCAAGUCUGAUUGUUGAAAUGAAAUCAGAGAGAUGUCAAUUUUUGAAAGUAUUUUUGGAAAUCAAGCUUUAUUGGUCAAAGAUCCAACACACGCUAUUCAAUAUAGUCUUUUGAUUGUCUUGUAUUUUGAGAGAAAAGAAAUUGACUCGUUGUAAGAUUAAAAUGGUUUUUCCAUGGUUCUUUGUAUCCAUUUUAAACUCUAAUUUUGGGUAUAUCUUUUGAUUGUCUGUAAUGAGGUGACCUUUUAUGAAUUUGUGGAAAAACAAGGUACCCGAGUCAAAACUUGAGGCUUUAUCAAGAAAGAUUGUUUCUUUUUCUUAGCAACAAUUUUAUCAGCAUGCAUAAUAAUCAGUAGCUUGAUUCAUGAAGUCACGACCUGUAUGAACAACUCUUCAAUUUUUGAGAUCGCCAUUUAUCGGUUCAGAUUGCUUACUUGAUUAAAAAGGACUUUCUAAAGCACGUAAUGUAAGCUAUGGUUCAUGGCUAUGAAAGAAAGGAAUUUCACAAGCUCAAAAGGUGUUUGAGGGUUUCAAGAACCUAGGAUCACCAUCAAUUACUCAUCAAUCUCUUUUCCUCACGUUGUCUUUGUAGAGACAGUGACAUAUAACCUUGUUAAUCUUAAAAAUCAAAAUUUGUUUAACAUAGGUCAUAACGCAAAUCCAACUUUUCUUUGAUGAAUAGCCAAUCUAAUCUUUUGAAGAUCAUAAAGGCUUUAUCAUAGACACACCAAAAGACAUCACACUUGAUUUUUCGGGUUAACUUUUGGCAUUUGUUGUGUCUUUAUCAAUCUUUGGCUUUCUUCUUCUAGCCCUUUCUCAAUCAUUGGACUUUUGUUCUAAGCCUUCCCUUUAUCCAUCGACUCUAACAUUGUCUUUGUCUUUUCUAGGAAAAGAUUCUCAUUGCCCCCAGUGUGGGGUGUGAUCCUAGUCAGGGUUUUUUAUGAAAGAAAUAUUCUAUCAGCUCAAAAUGGGACUGCAAGGGAUAUAUAUUUCAAGAAUUGUGAAAGGAUGAAACAAAAAUGGCCUUUUCUCAUUUCAAGCAAGGUCGGUUAGAACCGAUAAAUUUUGACCUCAUCCAAUGUAAUGAUUUAGACUUGUACGAAUCAUAAUUCAUGAGUCCAUAACUAAUGAAUCCACUACGUGUCAUUAUGCAUACUGCUAAAACGUAGCUACAUGGUGUGUGGUUCAAUUUCAUGUGUGAGCUCAAAAGUUUCUUGGUCACCUCAUGUCAUUUCAGUAAGCAUUGAGUCAUUCAAGCAACAUAAUUUUGAUCUUCAGGAUUGACUAAUCUUAAACGCAUGUUGGAGCUUGAUCAAAAUAUUUUGUCAAAAUAACCUUUGAAAGAAACAUCUCAUGCUUUCAAAACAACAAAGGGACAAAGAAAAGACACAUUUCGUUAAAAGAUGAGAUGUGAUCCCAAAAUAUAAUGCAGAAUGACAAAACUCAUAACAAAAAGGAUCGACAGUUUAACACUCUUCUUGGAUCAGCUUUUCUGGCAAUAUCUGUGUUUUGCCAAGCAUUUCGAUCACUUGUCAAUCUGAGGAUGUUGAGGUGACAAUAUGGUCGAUGACGUCAUUUUGCACAAACUCAACUUGAUUCUUGAAAUUCUUGCAACCGUUCAACUGAAUGGCACAAAAUCCCCCAAUGAUGUUCAAAUAUCUUUUACUAAGGGAUGAGGGCUCAAAGGCGCACUCAAAAGGAGUUGAGGGCUCAAAGGCGCACUCAGAAUGGAGGUAGGGUUAGAAAACGCACUACCUAAGGGAUGAGGGCUCAAAGGCAUACUCAAAAUGGAGGUGAGGGCUCAAAAGCGCACUUAAAAGGAGUUGAGGGCUCAAAGGCGCACUUAAAAGGAGGUAGGGUUAGAAAACGCACUACCUAAGGGAUGAGGGCUCAAAGGCGCAUUCAAUAUGGAGGUGAGGGCUCAAAGGCGCACUCAAAAGGAGGUAGGGUUAGAAAACGCACUACCAAAGGGAUGAGGGCUCAAAGGCGCACCCAAAAUGGAGGUGAGGGCUCAAAGGCGCACUCAAAAGGAGGUAGAGUUAGAAAACGCACUACCAAAGGGAUGAGGGCUCAAAGGCGCACCCAAAAUGGAGGUGAGGGCUCAAAGGCGCACUCAAAAGGAGGUAGGGUUAGAAAACGCACUACCAAAGGGAUGAGGGCUCAAAGGCGCACCCAAAAUGGAGGUGAGGGCUCAAAGGCGCACUCAAAAGGAGGUAGGGUUAGAAAACGCACUACCAAAGGGAUGAGGGCUCAAAGGCGCACCCAAAAUGGAGGUGAGGGCUCAAAGGCGCACUCAAAAGGAGGUAGGGUUAGAAAACGCACUACCAAAGGGAUGAGGGCUCAAAGGCGCACUCAGAAUGAGGUAAAUUGGCGGAGUCAGGGCAAUAAGUCCAGAGUCUAACAGAUGCUGGUAGACAAACUCGAGUGGUUGAGGUAUGUCAAUCGUGGCAAAGACAUUUGAGCAAUUGAUGCUACAGUGAGAUCUGGUUGGACCACAUAAUUAAGGCUUCCCAUCGUCAGAGUCAUCCUUUGAUUCAUCUCUCAUUAUUGUUCUAGAAUUAUUGGUAGAAUCUUCAAUCAUUCCCCUCUUCAUAGCUUGUUCAAAUCUUUCGACAAUCCUCACAACAUCAUAUCAAUCUUUCCAAUGUUGUUGUGGUUAAUUGUGGAUUGGUAGAAACUUUCCAACAGCCAGGCAAUCUUGGUAGCGCAUAGAAACAUGCAGCACCACCACUGCCGACGUGUGGAAUCAUGCGUUGUCUCAACUGGAAGAGAAACUGAUGAAUAUGAAAACCCUUUUGUCUCCUCUUUGAUUCCUCACUGGCAGUGCAACAAACAAACACCUAUAGUGGGAAUUCUGCUUUGUUAAAGUUGCAAUGUCUGCUCUUGUUUUUUCUCAGAGCAGCAUCCGAUACUACUGGACCGGAAUGGUGUUCACAAUAGAGAUGUCUGAAAAGAAGGCCAAUGCACCAGGAACAGAAAGCUAGCAGCUAUUAUGUGCUCUUGGAAUAUGUGAAGGCUUUGAACGACUAUCAGUGCAGUUGAAUGAGAACAAGGGUUGUCGUCAUUAAUUGUGACUGAAGGCAUUGUUGUCAUUGUUCAUGAUGAAAAAGGAGAGGUGCAACUUCAAUGGAACGUGGACAAGUAGUGUUCCACGCAAGAGACUGUGCAGACGUUCCCUUUCCAUUCUUGAAGCUCAACACUUAUUCAAAUAAAUUUAUGAGUCGAGUAGACCUCAGCAGGUGGGGGAACUUAUGUUUCAACCCUUCAAGUAAAUGCAAAAAUGGAUGCAAAAUGUCAUAUGUUUUAUGCAUGCUUGUUAUUUGUUUCAAGUUUUCCUUUAGCUUAUGACGAGGAACAGACCAGAUCAGAUUCUCUUAAGAAAGUUCUCACUGAGGACUCCAAACUACAGGAACUUGAACCGAUUUAGGGGAGAAAUUUGAUGCCAUAAAUCAGAAUCAAAAUAAACAUUUCUCAUGAGACUCAAAUUAUGAUGGCAAACAAAUCCCUUCAUCAUGUUGGCUCAAUUCUGAUCUGGUCAAAAAAUUCUCAAUAGUAAUGGGUUUUUCCAUCUCACACUUCCUAUAAGGAUCGGUGGAGACUUAAUGAGCAUAUGAAAUGUAUAUGAACAUGUAUGUUCAUGCAUUGACAUUUGUUCGUGUCCUAAUGGGUAUAUCCUACUUGAUAGGAUCUAGCUCAUAAGGUUUGGCUCAGUUUAGUCUAUCCUUAAAGAUAUUUUUUGGUUCUUAGAUUGCCCGAAUUACUCGUGAAGUAAUCGGCCUCUUAACCUUAUACAACAUGAGUAGGGGAGAAAAACUCCACAAUACUAGUUGCAUAGGGUGAGUUACAAUCCAAGCGAAAGUCCAAAUGAGCAUCAGUGGACAUAAGUCACACUUGCCACUUGAAUCUCUCUUUUCUAACCUUAAACAGGACGAGCUCGGGUCCAGAGCUUUUAUGGGUUCACCGUGAAGUGUGUGAAUACACAAAUAAAUAACAUGUAUGCAUGUGACGAUAUGAAAAAUUGAAAAGAAUCACAGUAGAUAUUGCAUAAAAUAAAUAAUGCAAAUAAAAUAAAUGCCCAAAAAUAAAUAGCAAUAAGAAAGAGCAAAUGAAAAGCAAACACAAGCAGUUGGCUCAACCCUAAAGUCCCCAGUGGAGUCGCCAUUCUGUCGAUACACGACGUCGGGCGGCGGCUCCCGCUUUUUUUGUUUAUUUAACAAAAAGGGUUUUUUUCUUUGAUUAGGGGGAAACAAAGAUUUUAUUGGAGUCGCCAUCUAGUAAUUUGAGGGAACUAGAAAUCUCAAAUUAGACACUGGUCCUAGAGAUUUGGAUACGGGGUUAGUUAUGAUUAAGGGAAGGUAGACACCACCCUUAAAACUUCCUUUCAAAAGAAAGGUUACCCUUACUUGUGUGUUUUUAUUUGAUUCAAAUGCGAUUAUAUUUUGGGCUUAUUUGUAAAUUUUUUUAAUGAUUAACGUCGGUCCCUAAAAAUAGGAGACACGUUAAAAAUGACAUCAGUCCCUAAAAAUUAGGAGACUCGUCUGAGUUACCAAAAGAAAUAAUGGAUAUAAUCCAUUAUAUUUUGGGUUUAUUGGUAAUUUGUUUUUUUUUAAAUGGUUAACGUCGGUCCCUAAAAAUAGGAGGCACGUUAAAAAUGACAUCAGUCCCUAAAAAUUAGAAGACUUGUCUAAAAUAUGACGUUUUAACCCUAAAAAGAAGAGUUACGUCUGGGUUACCAAAAGAAAUAAUGGACAUAAUCCAUAUUUGGUAUUUACAUUUUUGACAUCGGUCCUUUUAAAAAAAGAGACGUGUCGACUUUGGUUUUUGUAUUUUUUUACAACAUGCAAGAAAAUUUACAAGCAUUUAUAUAUGAAAACAAAUAUCAAAAAUACCAGUAGAAAACCCAAAAAAUUACUUGAGUGUCACUGUAUAGGUAAAAUGCUGAAAUACCCUCGAAUUUCUCUGAAAAUUACGAAAAUGCCACUGGCGGCGCGUGUGGCACACGCGCGGCUACUGUUGGCGGCGGGGAGAUUUUCCGGCGCGCUUUCUGGCCAACCGAUGGUCGAUCCUGGUAGAUCUGAUGUCAAGGAUUCUUAUGGUGGUGGUCUUGACGGUCGUUGAUGGCUGAUGAGCGAGAAUCGACGACUUGAAGCUUCGGUGGCAGCCGACGAUCGCGGCCCUUUUCCGGCUAAAUGGGGCGGCGAAAAAGCUGAAACCAGCCGGGGUUUCGCUUUAUAUGAGGAUAGCGACCUUUAUGUGGUGGUUUGGAAGCGUGAUAUAGCCGGAGAUGGGAGAUCGGAAGAGAGAGAGGGAGUCGCCGGCGAGAGGAGAGAGAUGCUCUGGGUUACGCUACGGUGAGAACGCUAGAACGGUACACCGGUGCAGCUGAGGGCUGUGAUCCGUUGGAUCUCUGAUGGAAAGAUCAUGCGGCUGUGAUUGGCCCGAUCUGCAGGUUGAUCGGACGGUCCGGAUGAACGGAGGUUUGAUCGGGUGUGACGUGGUACACCGUGAGCUUGGUACACGGGGUGACGUGGCGCCACUGGAUCUAAGGGAAAAUUGUUUUAAGGGCUGAGAUUGAUUUGGGUUUUAAUUGGGUGUGGUAAGCCCUAUUGUAUCCUAUUAAAUCAACGGUUCAGAUCUAAACACUAUUAGAUCUAAUGGUUAGGAUAUAUUUUGUAUUUUCCAUAUUGUUUUUAAUAAAAAUCAAUAUCUUACCCGAAUGAAGAAAUAGUAAAAAAACGUGAGUAGUGUUUGCAAUUCUUUUCUUUCUUUUUUUUUCCUUCUUCCCCCUCCCCUCCUGGCGAACUAUCACUGGCUAUUUAUAGACAGGGGACAUGCAAAUCUUAAAUUUCCACAAAUCUUAUUUUUAAAUCACCGUUUGCUUUCGGCGCAACUGCCCGUUUGACAAAAUUUUUUAUUUUAUUUUUUAUUAUGUAUAAUAAUAUAUAUUUAUAUAGGUAAAAUUAAAAACUCAAUUCAGUGUUAGAAAAACCUCGUUUCAACCGCUAAAAAUUAAUUUUAAUGACCGAAAAUAAUAGUUUUGACCUAAAAUGACCUGAAACUCAUUUUUUACCCCGGUCGACAUGGUUGGACCCGUAUUGACUCGGUGGACUCGGUUUUGACCCGAAAACGGCCUGAAACUCAUUUUUUACCCUGGUCGACAUGGUUUGACCCGUAUUGACUCGGUGGACUCGGUUUUGACCGAAAAUGACGGUUUUGACCCGAAACGGCUUGAAACUCAUUUUUUACCCUGGUCGACAUGUUUUGACCCGUAUUGACUCGGUGGACUCGGUUUUGACCGAAAAUGACGGUUUUGACCCGAAACGGCUUGAAACUCAUUUUUUACCCUGGUCGACAUGUUUUGACCCGUAUUGACUCGGUGGAAUCGGUUCUUAUGGAAAGAUGCGGUUGACUCGAGAAAAAUAUAUUUUUGAAUUUUCCUUUUUCUUAAUUUUUUUGGAUUUUUAUAAAUAAUAAUAGAAAUAAAAUAACAUUUGAGAAAAUAAUAAUAGAAAUAAAAUAAUAGGCAAUAUCUUUACCAUAUUAACAUCAAGCUGUUUUAUAGAGGAAGCAGGUGCGACGUUAGAAUCAAUUACAAGACAGGAGUAUAAAUAAAUCCAUGUAUAACAAAACCUAAAUCAAUUAUUUUCACCAUUCUUUAUAAUUUGAUGAAAUGAACUCUACUCCUCAUAUCACAAUGUUUUGCAUCCUCAGAGAUCAUCCUCAGAUUGAACUUUCACUAAAUAUUUUCUUUAAUUUGCAAGCUGAAAUUCCUUCAAGUCUAACUUGUAAAAUAAUAGUUUGAGCGGUUCUACACCACCAUGCAUGUUUAGGAAACUUCAGCGACAGACUCUUAGUUUUGCAUUUUAGAAUGAACAAUCGCAUGAAAAACAAUUCCAGGCAAAAUUCUCCAUAGUAAUAAAAAUGAGAAAGAUAAAAUUGAUGUCUGAAAAGGAAUAAUUCCCCUUUCAAUGUUUAAUGCAUCAAUCAUGCUCCCUUGAUUCCAUUUAGGACUCAACAGUUAGGAAAUCAAAUAGUACUGUCGUGUUCUUAUACUUAGUCUCGUCAAUGAAGACUUUUGGUUCAUGUUAUUAGCUACAUGGAGAGUUUAGGGUUCUAUUCCAUGUCGUCUCUCCUCUCUCGUUUUCUCAUCUCUUGGCCAGUCGCAACCUACCACGAUGUUUUUUUGUAACUUGGCUGUUUGGCUACUUUCUGUUCUUGCCUGCCACGAUGAGAAAAGUAAAAUGGUUAUGACAUUUAAUCUCUAUAAUUUUAAUUGUAUUUGUGACUUAAUUAUAUAUUCUCGAUCAUUUGAUUAAUUAAUCAACACUUGUCAAAUGACUAUAUAUAUAAUUAUUAUUUAUAUGAUUAAUUAAUUUUCUUCAUGAUAAGAAACACCAAUUAACUAUGAUGCAAAUCAAUACUGUGGUGUUCCCAUUCCUAGUCUCGUCAAUGAAGACUUUUGGAUCAUGAAAAUAUAGAUAUAAUAGGCAAAGUCAUUAGUGCUGCAUUAUUUUAUAUUUAUAUAUAUAUAUAUAUAUAUAUAUAUAUAUAUAUAUAUAUAAAUUUGUGGUCUUGCUGAAUUUUGAGUCAAGAAAGCUAAUAGUGGGUUUAGGAGUAUAGUUGUGAUUGUUUUUUAAAGUGUUUUUUACUAAAAAAAUGUAUUAAAAUAAUAUUUUUUAUUUUUUAAAAAUUAAUUUUAACAUUAGUUCAUCAAAAUAAUUUAAAAAUACCAAAAAAUAUUAAUUUGAAGUAAAGAAAAAAAUAAAAAAAAUUAAUUUUUUCAAAAACAUUUUUAAAAUACAAAAACAAAUAGUUGUACAAACUACUUUAUUUUUUAUUCAUUAUCCCUCACUCAAUUUCUCAUUUCCAUUUUGUUUCCCUUGCACUUCAAUACAUUAAUUUAAUCAUCGGUCCUUCUCGGCUCCAAUUCAAACGUCGAGGAAAAGGCUGUUUUCUUUAAAUAUUCUUUUGACCAAAUUACAGCCGGUCAUUAUACGAAAACUAAAGUUCAAUUAUUGGAGCUUUUUUGUUUUUUGACACAUUAAAAUAAAGGGUAAAGUAACACGGCUAAAAAAAUAAUUAAAAAACUAGAAUAUUUUCACAAAUUACAGAUGCUAUUUGGGACUUAUUUUGAAUAAAACAUGAGGUAUUAUUCAUUAUGUUUUUGUUGCAUUUUUAAUACUAACUACUAACAAUUUCAACUCUCAAUUAUGUGCUCAUGAAAAAAUUAGUCCUUCAUUGCUCGGACUCAAAAGUUGAGGAAAAGGCACAUUCAGGUGUUUAUGAAAUUCUAUUAAUAAUAAUGGUUCAAAGUGAUUUUUAUUUAAAAAUAUAUUAAAAUAAAAUUAUUUUAUUUUAGAAAAAUUAUUUUAAAUAUCACACGCUAAAACGAUUUAAAAACAUUAAAAAAAUUAUUUUAAGCAAAAAUAAAAUUUUAAAAAAUAUAGUUUGCACCGCAUUUUCAAACACACCCGAAAAAAAAUUCAAUCGGUAGCUACACCUUGGAGAAGAUGUAACUUAAUUUCAUUAAUUAAGGUUUUAUCUGAAGAAUUGAUUCUAUAACUUCAUUUUCUUUAUAUAUAUAUAAUUUCCAUUAAUUAAUUAAUAUUGCCGCGUUUCCAACACUGACUCACCCUAGCUUGUUUUAGUCAACGAAGGGACCUAGCUACUUGAUGAGUUGAUGGUCUUGUAUUUGAAAUUUGGUCGGUCAGCCAGCUAAGGAAACUUGUUUAAUGCUUCUCCCAGUGAUAAAGAUCAAACAUAUACUAACAAUACUAGUAGACAAUAUCAAAACAAUAUACUCCUAAUUCUCACAUCACAAAAUUAAUGUCUUCUCUCAUAAAAAAAACAAAAUUCAUCAAAUUGAUAUAAAUUUAACGCAUACUAGUUUCGAUCACCAAAAAAAUCCAUAACUUAAAUUUGUGUUGAGGAAAUACCUUGAUGACGGUAAAUAUGUAAUUUUUUACAUGAUGAUUUUCAAAUAUAUUUUUAUGAUAUUUUUUAUUUUAUGUGCUCAAAAUUUUCUAUUUUUUACAUAAAAAUUAUUUUUUAUAAGUUUUUUUUUUAAAAAAAAAAGAUAAAAAAAUUAUCUAAAAAGAAUAAUGAUUUUGAAAAGAUAAAAAAAAUCCACCAUAAAUAAUAAUAAAAUAAUCUUUUUGAAAAUAAAGUAGAAAUAACUUUCCAAAGUAAAUAAAAGAAACCAAUAUUUUAAAAAUAAAACAACAAGUUAGUUUUAGUGAAAAUAAAAAAAUAGAAAAAAUAUAUUUAAUAUCAUGUAGUUAGGUCAUUUUUUUCACUUACCCGCUAUACUUUAAAAAAUUACUAUUUACAUUUUGGAUCAACACAAAUUUUCAAAUAUAAUGAAAAGACUAAAUGACCUUUAUACAUUAAAUAAGAAAACUAACUUAAAUUAAUUGUUCUUGUUUUUCUUGAAACCUUAAAAAAAACUCAAAUCUAUUGAUUUUGCUUCAUAAUAUAUUCUCCAUCUUAACCCCCAUUUAAUUUUGCCACCAGAAUAGAGGUUUGCUAAAACUUAAUUUUUAUUUUUAUUUUGACAUGCUUAUAUUAAAAAUAAAUCUUAGAAAUAUAUUAUUUAAUAUAUUUAAAAAAAAGAAGCUAAAACACUACAACAUUUAACAGUUUUACCGACAGAAUUUUUCCAUCGACGUAAGAUACAUAUUUCAUCGGUAAUUAAUUUACCAACGAAAUCACCGACGAAAAUGCUCUGUCGGUGAAUCUUUCAUCGGUAAUUAAUUUACCAACGAAAUCACCGACGAAAAUGCUCUAUCGGUGAAUCUUUCAUCGGUAAUUAAUUUUCCGUCGGUAAAAAAAAAUAUUAUUACCGACGGAACAGACGCGUCAAUAAUAAUAAUUUUUUUAUUACCAACGGAUUUACCGAUGGAUAUACCGAUGGAAUUUCCAUUGGUAAUUCCAUCGGUAAUUAUUUAAAAACAUUUUUUAAAAAAAUUCAUUUUAUAAAAUUAUAAAAUAAUAAAAUUAACAUAAAUCAACACUCUAUAAUAUACUCAAAAUGCUUGGAAAAAAGAAUAAGAAAAUCAACUCAAAACAAUUUGCAACAAAUAAAUAAAAUGAAAAAAUAAAUUCAACUAAAAAAUUCAUAUGAAAAAAAUAAAGUUGCAAUUGCUAAAAAUUUAAAAAUCCUAUAAAUAAAUCAACAAAAAAUUGAUCUCAUAUGGAAAAAAAAAUCUCACAACAACAUUUAUACAAUUAUUAAGAACAAAAACAAUUAAAAAUAAAAUAAAAAAAUAAAUAUAGUGAAAAAAAUCAUGAAAAAGAAGAAAAAAGAAAAAUCUUACCUUAAUGUAGUUGCAAGUGAAGCCAAGGAGAGAAAAAAAUUUCGUAAAGCAUAUUAAUUAAAAAAAACUAAGAGGAUAAAAGAAGAAAGAAGAAGAAGACAUACCCGAGCAUGGAGGAAAAGAGAAGUAGAUGAGGAGAGAAAAGAAGAGAAAGAAAUAGAUAUUGAUGUUUUUUACAUAUAGUGAAGAAGAAGAAGAAGAAAUGAGUCUGUCUCUUGUGAAAUAAGGGGAUUCAGGCUUUUUAUUGGGGCGCGUUAGCGACGGAUUUACCGACGGAUAAUUGAAUAUUAAUAUUUUUUAAUUAUGUCGUCGGUAAUUCCAUCAGUAAUAUUUAAUUUAAAUUUUUAAUUUCGUAAAAAGUUUUCAGAAACCGCCAACAAUUACCGAUGAUUUUUCAAUCCGUCGGUGAUUCCGUUUGUAAAAUUUAAAUGAAAAAUUUAAAUUAAUUGAUUUUUUUUCAGAAAACCGCCAAAUAACACCGAUGACUUUGCAAUCCGCUGGUGAUUUUGUCCGUAAAGAACAACAAUUAACAUUGCAAUUGAAAAGUGAACAGUUCUAGAGCUCUCUGGAAAAUACUGACGAACAAUUCCGUCGGUGAUUCCCUUUAUAACUGACAUGAUGAACAGUGUUCACAGUUUACCAACGAAUUUACCGACGGAUUUUAUAGACGAAAUAAAUUCCGUCGAUAAAAAUGACACGUCAUCAUUUUUUUUUGCUUUGUUUUAAUUUUUUUUCCCACUGUAAUUUUCUCGGUAUAUACCGAUGGAAUUUUUCCGUCGGUAAAAUUCCUCUGAAAUUUACCGACGGAAAUAUUCCCUCAGUAUUUCUGUUUGUAUUUAUUAAUUUUCUGGGAGUGAAAGAGCAUGAAACACCCCCUUAUUCUUCAAAUACUACUGAUGUUAAUAUCUUCUCUACGAAUCAACACAUCGAUGAUCAUAAUGCUAAUGGUGAUGUGAUGAUUUAGUAGUAGAAGUUGAAGGAACAAACGACCUUUAUUUAUCCUUACUAAUUAACUAUAAACCAAAAGUAGAGUGAGUUUUACUGCAACAAUCUUAGCAAAUUUAUUCGAUCAAGCGGCCCUCCAACAAUCUUAGCAAAUUUUCAAGCUUUGAGAGAAAAGCAGAUGGAGAAAAAACCCCUAGAUUUUGGGAAAAUUACGGGGUUAGGAUGGAUUUGAAUUAAAAAAAAAAUAGAGGUGAAUUGAAAAGAAAGGCAGAGACGGAGAGAAAAAGAAGGUGAUUUACAUGAAAGAUAUCCAAACUUUUUAUUAUUGUAUGCAUUAGUAUGGUUAAGACGUCGACGUGUCCAUGUUUUCCAUAAAUUUAUUAAUAUUGCCGCGUUUCCAACACUCACUCACUCACUCUUGUACUUGAGAUUUGAUUUCGUCUUUACAUGUUUUACACAUCUGUCUGUAUACAAUCUAAGAUUAGUUUGUCUAUAAAUACUUCUAACAUUGUCUUUCUUCACCCCUCAUCUCUCCCAAAUAUACUACUAAAUCCUGUAAGGCCAGCCAAACAUGGGGUUUUCACCACUGUCCCUCUCUCAAUCUCUCUCUUUCAUUAUGUUUCUCUUCCAUUUCCAUUCAACAAUUUCUUCAUCUCAUUUCUGUGCUCCUGACCAAAGUCUUUCUUUGCUCCAAUUCAAAGAAUCCUUUUCCAUUAAUAGCUCUGCUUCAGGGCGUUGCCAGCAUCCCAAGACAGAGUCCUGGAAAGAGGGUACAGACUGCUGCUUGUGGGAUGGGGUCUCUUGUGACAUGAAAACAGGGCAUGUCACUGCACUGGACCUCUCAUGCAGCAUGCUUUAUGGCACCCUCCAUUCCAAUAGCACCCUCUUCUCCCUGCAUCAUCUUCAAAAGCUCGACCUCUCUGACAAUGAUUUCAAUAACUCCCAUAUUUCUCCUCGAUUUGGCCAGUUUUCCAAUCUGGCACUUCUUAACCUAAAUUCCUCAGUCUUUGCAGGUCAAGUUCCGUCGGAAAUCUCUCAUCUCUCCAAAUUGGUUUCACUUGAUCUCUCUGGAAACUACGAUCCAAGUCUAGAACCAAUUUCUUUGGCCAAGCUGGUUCGAAAUCUAACCGAACUUAGAGAACUCGAUUUGAGUCGGGUAAACAUGUCAUUGGUUGCACCCAAUUCCUUGACGAAUUUGUCCUCUUCUUUGUCAUCUCUUUCCCUUUGGGGUUGUGGAUUGCAGGGGAAAUUCCCAGGUAACAUCUUUCUCCUCCCAAAGCUUGAAUCACUGGAUAUGUCAUACAACAACCGCCUCACUGGCUCUUUUCCUUCGUCCAAUUUGAGUAAUGUCCUCUCUUCGUUGGAUCUUUCUAAUACAAGAAUUUCAGUUUAUUUAGAAAACGACUUGAUCAGUAAUCUAAAGUCAUUAGAAUAUAUGUAUCUCCGUAAUAGUAACAUUAUAAGGUCAGAUUUAGCUCCGCUCGGUAAUCUCACACAGCUCAUCCUUUUAGACUUCUCAAGUAACAAUUUUAUAGGUGAAAUCCCAUCAUUACUUGGAAACCUUGUACAACUCCGUUACCUGAAACUCGAUUCCAAUAAAUUUAUGGGUCAGAUUCCAGAUUCUUUGGGUAGCCUUUUAAAUCUAAGGACUCUAAGUUUAUAUGGUAACUUGUUCAAUGGAACAAUACCAUCCUUUUUGUUUGCUCUUCCUUCUUUACAAUAUCUUGACCUUCAUAACAAUAAUCUCAUAGGCAAUAUAAGUGAACUCCAACACGAUUCAUUGGUAUACCUAGAUUUGAGCAAUAACCACUUGCAUGGUCCGAUCCCAAGUUCGAUUUUCAAACAAGAGAACUUGGAAGUCCUUAUUCUUGCGUCCAAUAGUAAAUUGACAGGUGAGAUUUCUUCUUCUAUUUGCAAGCUGAGAUUCCUUCGGCUCCUGGACUUGUCCAACAACAGCUUGAGUGGUUCUACGCCACUAUGUUUGGGGAACUUCAGCAACAUGCUCUCCGUAUUGCAUCUAGGCAUGAACAAUCUUCAAGGCACCAUCCCUUCAAUAUUUUCAAAGAAUAAUAGCUUGGAAUAUCUCAACCUCAAUGGAAAUGAAUUAGAAGGGAAAAUACCACCGUCUAUCAUCAGCUGCACAUUGUUGGAAGUUCUUGAUCUUGGCAACAAUAAGAUUGAGGAUACAUUUCCCUACUUUCUAGAAACGCUUCCAAAGCUCCAAAUUCUUGUCCUAAAAUCCAAUAAACUCCAAGGUUUUGUGAAAGGUCCGACUACAUAUAAUUCCUUCUCUAAAUUACAGAUUUUUGAUAUCUCUGACAAUAAUUUUAGUGAGUCGUUGCCAACAGGUUAUUUUAAUAGUCUUGAAGCAAUGAUGACCUUGGAUCAAAACAUGAUUUACAUGGGGGCAAUAAAUUACUCUAGUUAUGUGUAUUCCAUAGAAAUGAUAUGGAAAGGUGUAAAAACGAAGUUUAUGAAGAUCCAAAGUACCAUCAGAGUACUCGAUUUGUCAAAUAACAAUUUCACUGGAGAGAUUCCAAAGGUGAUCGAAAAACUUAAAGCACUCCAACAACUCAACCUUUCUCAUAAUUCUCUUACAGGUCAUAUCCAAUCAUCAUUAGGAAAUUUGACCAAUUUGGAAUCAUUAGAUCUAUCUUCAAAUUUGCUUACUGGAAGGAUUCCAAUGCAAUUGGAGGGUUUAACAUUUCUUGCAAUCCUAAACCUUUCACAUAAUCAACUCGAGGGGCCCAUACCAAGUGGAGAGCAAUUCAACACCUUUAAUGCAAACUUAUUUGAAGGAAACUUGGGUUUAUGUGGAUUUCAAGUCCUAAAAGAAUGCUACGAUGAUGAGGCACUAUCAUUGUCGCCAUCAAGCUUUAAUGAAGAAGAUGAUUCAACAUUGUUUGGAGAAGGAUUUGGAUGGAAAGCUGUGACAAUGGGGUAUGGAUGUGGGUUUGUGUUUGGAGUUGCUACGGGAUACGUUGUGUUUAGAACAAAAAAACCUUCAUGGUUUCUUAGGAUGGUUGAAGAUAAAUGGAAUCUCAAUAGCAAAAAAACAAAGAAGAAUGUUGGCAGAUAUGGUGCUAGAAGAAACUAAAUAAUGCAAUUGAUAUUUUCAAGUAAGUUUUGCGAGCAUUUGAAUUUUCAAAUUUUAUGUUCACAGUUUAUGUUAUGUUAUGAUAUCCUAAUAUAAUUUAUUUGAAGUAUUUUAGGAUAUCAAGUGGAUAUGACAUUGAAACAACACUAGAGUGGCAGAUCAUGAUAUUGGAUCCAAGGUAUCAAGUGGAUUUUACUUUUUCUUCUCUCUUUUUUUUUCAUUUCAAGGUUAAUUAGGUGUUACUUCUACGAAGAAGAUUCUAUGUAUGUAAUAGGUCAAGCAAGCAAUAGUUUGUGUUAACUAUAAAAUCAUUUAUGUUUUAUAGAGUUAUGAACAUUUCCUUAUUCUUGAUCACUUAAAUCAAUCUCCCUUUCUGGGAGUAUUUUGAGAUUUAUAGAGUUAUGAACAAAUUGCUCUACAAACCUACAAGUGUGCAAGCAAAUUAAAACAAUUCUUAUAAAUUUAAAAGAACAACACUUGACUGAUAGAUUCAGUUCUCAUAACAACAGCAAUAUUUGCAAGCAAAAUAGAGUAAUUCUGAUAACUUGGAAGUCAUAAAUAACUAUUAAAAAGAGUAACAAACCCAUCUCAACAGGUACAAACAAUGUUCCGCAACUCUUACACAGAGCCAAAAUCAGUCAACAUUGAUGAUUGGUAAGUUUAUAUCUAAAGCAAAAGAAAAGAUGUGUAUUAAUACCAUGUUAAGAGCUCUAUGCUACAACAAGUCUGCAAUUCUGAGUCGCUUAAAAAUAACAUAUUCUACUUAGAACAUUUCAAAAUAGGGAAAAUAAUUUAAAAUACAAUUUCUCUUGGCCUUAUAUUAAGAAAAAAAAAAGAUGAAUAUUUCAAGGGUCCUGAUUAUCCAACCGAAGAUUUAAGAUUUGAGAUACUAAUAGUUUAGAGAGCUCAUUAGUUGUGGCUUGAACCUGAUAGUCAUCUGACUGCCUUGGCCACCCAGGUGAAUAUGAGCUUGACCUACUGUACCCAUUUACAGUAACCCUAGUCUUAGUUGAUGUGCCAAGAAACUCUCUGCAUGUCUGACUGGGACAAUGGCCUUGGUGCCUGAGAAAGAAUCACAAUCUCUCUCUUUCUUUCUGUUUCUCUUCCAUUUCCAUUCAGCAAUUUCUUCAUCUCAUUUAUGUGCUCUUCACCAAAGUCUUUCUUUAACUAUAAAAUCAUUUAUGUUUUGGGUCCUUUUUUAUGUGUCCAUUUUGUUAUUCUUGAUCACUUAAAUCCAUCUCUGUUAUUCUUAUUGUAGUAAUUGUAUAAAGAGAUGAUAAAUAUAAGUAGAAGGAAAAAAAAAACAAAAGAGGGAGCUGAGUUCUUGAGUAGCAAACCGUGAGAGAGAAGGGAGAAAGAAGAAGAAGAAGAGAAAAGAGGGAAAUUAGAAGGGAAAUAGAAAGGAGUUGAAGGGAAUAAGUUUAAAGGUAAGAUUUAGGUUGUUAAAUGUAUAAAUGUGUAUUAUUGAGCUUUUAAUUUUGGUUUUGAUAAAUGUUAGGGUUAUGAAGUUUGUGUUUUGGGUUUGAUUGAUGAUUUAAUUUGAAUGUUAUAGAGUUAAUUGUUGUGGGUAUUUGAUUAUUUGGAUGAUUUUGAGAGAUUGAAUUGAAAGAUGAUGAUUUUGAGUUAUGAUUUUGUUUGAAUGAUGAAUUUGUGUUAGAAAUUAGGAAAGAACAGUGGGUUUUCUGUUGAAAUUCUGGGUUGGAGGUUGAAGAUGAUGAAAAUUCAAUUUGGUCCCUCAAUUUGUGGAAAUUACAGUUUAGUCCCUAAACUUUGGAAAAUUUACAGAUUGGUCCCUGGAGCAUAUUCCGAGAUUCUGAACAGAAUAACAUAUGAAUUAUGGGCAGAAUUACUGUAUAGAUAUGAAAAUUUAACACUUUCAAUUUAGUCCUCCAAUUUGACAAAAAUUACAAUUUGACCCUAAAAAUUUGGUAAAAUUCCAGAAUUGUCAUGACCCGAAUCCCGGAUCCAUGACCGGCACAUAGGCAAGGUUCCCCUCCAAGGUUCCCCAAACUUACACACAAACUUAUCCUAACUCAAUCAGAGUUCAACGCAGCAUUAAUAACAAAAUCAACUUCAUAAUAUAAUUCGAUUAUCUUAAUACAAGAGUUCAUAUAAAUUCAGAGUUUUGGAGCACUAACUAGACAUAAAGGAAAGGUACAAAGUACAACCAAAGAGCAGGUUCUGAAGGUCCAACAAAAUGAUCUGUUAUUAAGCUAUAAGCCUGAAAAUGAUAAAUAAUGAGAUGGUGAGUUCAACAACUCAGUGAGUAGAUAACGUUCAAUAUACACACACGAGGUAAUACAGCAAUGAGAAAUAUAUAUACAAGUAUGGCUCUAGGUUCUUGUAGAAAGGUUUCUCAAAUAGGCCAUAACAAGAAUAUCAUAUGGUAAAACUCGUCAGAAAAUCAAAAUGCAAUGAGCAUGAGGCUCCGUACUGUGGGAUGAUCAGUCCACACAGGUUGGUGACUCCCCCGACCAACUAGGGUUCAGAUACGAUGUGCACAAAGACUAACACUACCCUGUUAGCAUAGGUAUUCUGACUGGCAUACCAUAGGUUCAUAAUCAUAAUCAAACAUACAUAUUCAUAUCUCAAUGCUCAACUCAUGACAUCAAUCAAAUGAGGAGCUAUCAAUUCAAAAUAUAUACGGGUUCAUAUCAAGAAUUCAGAUUCAACAAUUGAUCAUGCUUUAUCAUAACAAGGAUAAUAAUCAGCAUAUAUAUUAUCAAGAAGCAUGAUCCAAUUCAUAUUAACAAAUCAAAUAUUUAUAAUAUUUCUCAUGCAUAUGGAAAAUUAUCCACUCACCUGACUCGAAAGCAAACAGAAGUCAAAAGCAGACACCGAAGAAAAUCCUACUGAUGUCCUGCCGGUAGAAUAUCAGGAUUAUCUGAAUAUAAAGGAGGCAUAUUCAAGAAUGACUCAAAAGAAUAUAACCUACUUAAUACACUUAUCUAAGGGUGUAUUCCAUAACCCUAUAUGUUUUUGAAUUAUCUAGUUAUUUUCUCAAAAACCCAAAAUUAACGGUUUUCCCGAAAUCUAAUCCAUAAUAAAGCAAAUAAUAAAACUUGAUAAUAAUUCACUAAAUAACCCUCAAUUAUUCAUCAAACCAAUCUGCAAAAGCUAAUAUUACAGCUAGGGACCAAUAUGUAAUUUAUCAUAUUUUUAAGGGUCAUAUUGUAACUUUGUCCAUUUGGAGGACCAAACUAAAAUUGUCAUAAAUCCAUGAAUAUAGUGGAAUUAUGUCCAUAAUUCAUCCUCAUUUCUGUCCAGAACCUCUAAUUAUGCUCCAGGGACCAUUCUGGAAUUUUACCAAAUUUUUACUUAUUUCCUCCAACUCCUUUCUAUUUCCCUUCUAAUUUCCCUCUUUUCUCUUCUUCUUCUUCUUUCUCCCUUCUCUCUCACGGUUUGCUACUUCAAUUUUCAGAUCCCUCUUCUCUCUUUUUUUUUUCUUCUAUUUAUAUUUAUUAUGUUUAUCUAAUUACCACACUACCCCUCAUUCAUUUAUUCCAACUUUUAAGCCUCCAAGGGCUUUAUUGUAUUUUCCUACUCAUUUAUUCAAAACAUCACAAGAAUGGUCCCUGGAGCAUAAUGAGAUAUUCUGGACAGAAUUGAGGAUUAAUUAUGGUCAGAAUUUCAGUAUAUUCAUGGAUUUAUGACAAAUUUUAGUUUGGUCCUCAAUUUGACAAAAAUUACAAUUUGACCCUAAAAUUUUGGAAAACUUCCAGAAUGGUCCCUGGAGUAUAGUGAGAUAUUCUGGACAGAAUUGAGGAUUAAUUAUGGUCAGAAUUUCAGUAUAGUAAUGGAUUUAUGACAAUUUCAGUUUGGUCCUUCAAUUUGACAAAAGUUGCAAUUUGACCCUUAAAAAUAUGAUAAAUUACAGAUUGGUCCCUAGCUGUAAUAUUAACUUUUUCAGAUUGGUUUGAUGAAUAAUUGAGGGUUAUUUAGUGAAUUAUUACCAAUUUUAUUAUUUGUUUUAUUAGGGAUUAGAUUUCGGGAAAACCGUUAAAUGUUGAGUUUUUAGGGAAAAAAUAACUAGUUAGUUCAAAAACAUAUAGGGUUAUGGAAUACACCCUUAGAUAAGUGUAUUAAAUAGGUUAUAUAUUCUUUUGAGUCAUUCUUGAAUAUGUCUCCUUUAUAUUCAGAUAAUCCUGAUAUUCUACCGGCGGGACGUCAGUAGGAUUUUCUUCGGUGUCUGCUUUUGACUUCUGUUUGCUUUCGAGUCAGGUGAGUGGAUAAUUUUCCAUAUGCAUGAGAAAUAUUAUAAAUAUUUGAUUUGUUAAUAUGAAUUGGAUCAUGCUUCUUGAUAAUAUAUAUAUUGAUUAUUAUCCUUGUUUUGAUAAAGCAUAAUCAAUUGUUGAAUCUAAAUUAUUGAUAUGCACCAGUAUAUAUAUUCUGAAUUGACUUCUGAAUUGAUAGCUCUUCAUUUGAUUGAUGUCAUGAGUUGAGCCUUGAGAUAUGAAUAUGUCUAUUUGAUUAUGAUUAUGAACCUAUGGUAUACCAAUCAAAAUACCCAUGCUAACAGGGUAGUGUUAGUCUUUGUGCACAUCGUAUCUGAACCCUAGUUGGUCGGGGGAGUCACCAACCUGUGUGGACUGAUCAUCCCACAGUACGGAGCCUCAUGCUCAUUGCAUUUUGAUUUUCUGACGAGUUUUACCAUAUGAUAUCCUUGUUAUGGCCUAUUUGAGAAACCUUCCUAUAAGAACCUAGAGCCAUACUUGUAUAUAUAUUUCUCAUUGUUGUAUUACCUCGUGUGUGUGUAUUGAACGUUAUCUACUCACUGAGUUGUUGAACUCACCAUCUCAUUAUUUAUCCUUUUCAGGCUUAUAGCUUGAUAGCAGGUCACUUUUAUUGGACCUUCAGAACCUGAUCUUUUGGUAGUAAUUUGUACCUUCCUUUAUGUCUAGUUAGUGCUCCAAAACUCUGAAUUUAUAUUAACUCUUGUGUCGCACGUCUAAAAAUCCGCGCGGCGUCGGCUUGACAAUUUUUCUGUUAUGCGUUAAUUUGAUUGGUUCGUUGGAGUCGCCACCUAGUAUUUAAUUAAAGGUUACUAGGAAACCUGGAUAUACUGGUCUUGUUAGAGAUUCGCGGGUAAGGGACUGGUUGUGGUUAUGAAAGGUAUUAGCACCCCUAACACACCCUACCUGAGGUAAGCUGCUUCGUGACUUUGAUGUGUUAAAGAAGUUUUAAUAAUUGUCUUUUCAUUGGAUAUUAGAAAUACAACUUACAUGUAAGUUAAUAAUUCUUAACCGUGAUCCAAUCAAAAUAUUAAAUUUUUCUUUAAUCUUUGCACGAUGAAGUUCUAUAUCUGCUCCUGUUUUCUAGCUCAGGUCUGGCUUUUCUGCCUACUACAGUGUUUCGGUGCUGAAACUGGUGGGGUAAAUUUUCAUAUCAUCUGAAACAUUUACAUCCCCUCUUGCAUUCCCCACUUGCAGAGCCACAAACGAGUUUUUAUAGAGAGAGCUCUGCCUCGUCAAAGUUCGAUGACUGUUCAUGUUUUCAGACUAGGUCUGACUCUUCGGCCUACUCCAGUGUUUCAGUGCUGAAACUGAUGAGACAAAUUUUUGUAGCGUAUGAAAGUACUGCAUCCCCUCUUGCAUUCCCCACUUGCAGAUCCACAAACAAAUCUCUACAGAGAGAGCUCUGCCACGUCAAAGUUCAGUGUCUAAUCAUGUUAAACUGGAAUUGAGCUCACAGUGGGGGUAACUUCAGAUAAGGCUAAUGCACCAUGCACAGAAGGCUAGCAGUUAUUUGGUGCCAUUUAGAAGAUAUGGAGGUGAUGAACAAUUAACAGGGCAACUGACCAAGAACAAAAGUUGUCAUUAGUUGAUGACUGAAGGCAUUGCUGCGGUUAUUCAUGACUGAAAAGAAGAGGUGCAACUUCCAUCAGACGUGGACAAACAAUGUUCCCACAGAAGAUCAUGCAGACAUUCUCUUUCCAUUUGAUGCUCAACACUUGUUCAGGGAGAUCUGAGUCUAGCUACUUCACCUUUGAUGCUCUCAACUUUCCUUUGACAAUGAGCUUCUCUUUGACCCCUUUCUUCAUUUCCCAUCAUCUUUGUUCAAUCAGGUGUAGCAAAGCUCGGAUGGGGGAACCUAUUUUUCCUCCCGGUACAUGCAUGAUAAAUGUAUGAACAUGUAAACUAUAUGAUGAACUCGCCCUUCGAGGGGUGACAUAUGGUCGUAACUCUUGUAUGAUGAAACAAGAAUCUUGAUUCUUGCCCAAACUCUACAAUGAAAAUUUUCUGAGUGACGGCCAUUGUGUCACCCACAAGUCUUGAGUUCAAGAUGCUUCAAGAAGGGUUUGCUCUGAUGCAAAUAACGAUAGCACAUACAACCUAAGGACAUGUUCUAUUCAUUAUGUGAACAUGGGUAGGUUUUCUACCUGGUCUCAAACGGGUCUCAUAUCUGCCCAGUGACGUUCUUCGUAAAGACAGUAUAGGGGCGUUGCAGGAAAUGGUUAAGGUACGUAUACCCACCAUUACCAAGCAGGCACUCAGAUAUGAGUUUGGUUUUUCACGCAUCUGAACCCUGACCAAUAGUCAUAAGGCAGAUCGCUAAUUCACCACCUAGCUUAGAAGCUUGUGUGUGCUUUCAAAAAUAAAUACAGGUGAUGCAUGAAACGAUUCUAAAAAUGCAUGGAUAAAAUAAAAAUAAAACAAUAUAAAACUGCAAAAACUUAAAUACAUCAAAUACACAAAGCUUAGUCCAAUAUUGUUAGAAACAGUACCUUCCCCAGUGGAGUCGCCAUUCUGUCGCACGUCUAAAAAUCCGCGCGGCGUCGGCUUGGCAAUUUUUCUGUUAUGCGUUGAUUUGAUUGGUUCGUUGGAGUCGCCACCUAGUAUUUAAUUAAAGGUUCCUAGGAAACCUGGAUAUACUGGUCUUGUUAGAGAUUCGCGGGUAAGGGACUGGUUGUGGUUAGGAAAGGUAUUAGCACCCCUAACACACCCUACCUGAGGUAAGCUGCUUCGUGACUUUGAUGUGUUAAAGAAGUUUUAAUAAUUGUCUUUUCAUCGGAUAUUAGAAAUACAACUUACAUGUAAGUUAAUAAUUCUUAACCGUGAUCCAAUCAAAAUAUUAAAUUCUUCUUUAAUCUUUGCAAUUUUAUCUUAAAUAAAAAUAAAACAUCCAUAAAACAAAUACAAACACACACAUUCACUUUCACUAUAUUUUCUUUUCUUUCUCUUUUUUCUUUUUCUUUUCUUUUUUAUCUCCAUAUUACAAAUUAUAAAAAUUCAAAACUAAACAAAAAAACAUUAAACAAUUUAAAAUUACAAAAAUUAGCCUCAAAAUAAUCUGAGAUUACAGGGAUUGCCAUCUGCCAACCGGAACAGUGUUCAGCAGGGUUUAUGGGCGCGGAAACAGUGGUUCGUGUGGCCACUUACGGCGCGUGGGUCAAACCAGAACAAACUAGUGGAUCCGACUCGACUUCAUCUCCUCUUCCCUCCUACACUGGCAGUGAGGAGCAACAUCACCUGCAAAGAAGAAAAAGAUGCAAUCCAGUUGGUUUUAGCUUUUCUUCUUGGUCACGGAUCUACUUUUUUUUUUCUCUGUUUUGGAUCUGCUUUGUUCUUGGUUUCGCCUUCUUCUCUGCUUCGUUGUUCUCUGCUGGUUGCAGCUCCGGCCGUCGAUUCUCGGUUGGAAAUGGGGCCGCUUCUGUGGGCGCCGCUGGAGGAAGAAGGACUGCUGUUGGCCGGUGAAGAAGCUGGAAGGCGGAGGCUUGCUUCUGUGGAGGCUGUCGCUGCUGAGGAGAUGAUGGGGACGGCUCUGUGGUGGAGGAACUCGGCUGCUGUUAUGGGGUUCUCCAGGUGUGGCUGGCGGCUGGAAGGGAAAUGGGGCUGCUGUGAUUUGGCCGGGGUGGGAGGCCGAUGGAAGGGAACAGCUGGGAUGGAGAGGGACGUCACUGCUGCUGUUCAGCCGCUGCUGGGGCCGAAUGGAGGAGAGACCUGGCGAUGGAAAUGAGAGAGUGAGGGGAUCCUGUUCUGUCAAAGAGAGGGGCGAGUGAAAGGGAGAUGGGGGAAUGCAGAGGAGGCUGCUCUGGUUUGGGAAAAGAAGCUGGAAAUGAGGGCUGUCUGUUGAUGACCGGGCUGUGGGAGAAGGAAGGAAAAUGAGUGCUGGUCUUGGGAGAUGUGGAAACGGUGGGUGUUGUCUGUGAAGGGGAGGCUGGUCUGGGUGUGUGGGGGCUGUGGCUGAGGGGAAGGAACGGUGAUCAAGGGGGAGGGGGCUGGACUAUGGCCGGCUGUCACUGGUUGAGGGAGAAGAGAAAAAUCAGCAAAAAGGGGUAGGGAGGCUGGCGGCGGCUGUUUUGGGUGAGGGAGAUGAGAGUUAAGUUUUUUAGGGUUUUCCCCUUUUGUGUUGCCUCCCCCCAAAUUGUAAAAUGCCCCCCCUCUUUAAAAAAUCAGUGUAGCUUGGUAUUUAUAGGAAAAGUUUUGCUAGGUUUUCAAACUAGUCCCUCAACUUUUCCUUUCCUUCUCUUUUCCUCUUUUUUUUUGUAAAUUUUGAGUUUUCUUAUUUUUUUGUAUUUUUGAAAGCGAGCAAAUAUCAACAUCGACUCAAUGAAGAAAAUCAAUGAUUUUUAAAAAUAACGCGUUAAAAGUUGAACGCGUUCCAAAUGUCUUUGAAACUUUAAAUUCUUUUGAGACGAUGCUAAAAACGAUGCAAAUGUAUUAAAAAUGUAUUUUUUGGAUUUCAAUGUUUUUCGCUAUUUUUGGAUUUUUCUGAAAAUUUAUCAAAACAUGGGUCAGAAAUUGGGUAGCAACAGAUGCCCCCUCUUUACAAUGCUUACGAAGCAAAACUCCUCAAUGUUUCGCAUAGUAAGCUUUGUAAAGAAAAACUCUAAAUGUUUCUUUCUUUUUUUCCUUCUUUCCUUCUUUCUCUCUUCUUCUUUCUUUCUCUCCUUUUCUUUUUUCUUUCCUUUUUUUUUUUUUACCUGAGAUCCCAUCAGGCGAUCUUCUUAAACCAAAACCAAAAUCUGCGUGGUUGGGCUAACCUGAGAUCUCGUCCGGCGAUCCCCUUUAACCAGAACCAAUAUCCUGUGUGUGGUUGGGCUAACCUGAGAUCCCGUCCGGCGAUCCCCUUUAACCAGAACCAAUAUCCUGUGUGUGGUUGGGCUAACCUGAGAUCCCGUCCGGCGAUCCCCUUUAACCAGAACCAACAUCUGUGUGGUUGGGCUAACCUGAGAUCCCAUCCGGCGAUCCCCUUUAACCAGAACCAACAUGAGAUCCCAUCUGGCGACCUCAUUAAAGUGGAACUAAAAAAUGUGUGUAGCUCGGUCAACCUGAAAUCCCAUCUGGCGAUUCCCUUUAACCAAAGCUACAUGAGAUCCCAUCUGGCGACCUCAUUAAAGUGGAACUAAAAAAUGUGUGUAGCUCGGUCAACCUGAAAUCCCAUCUGGCGAUUCCCUUUAACCAAAGCUACAUGAGAUUCCAUCUGGCAACCUCAUUCAACUGGAACUAAAAAAUGUGUGGUAGCUCGGUCAACCUGAAAUCCCAUCUGGCGAUUCCCUUUAACCAAAGCUACAUGAGAUCCCAUAUGGCGACCUCAUUCAACUGGAACUUAAAAAAAUAUGUGGUAGCUCGGUCAACCUGAAAUCCCAUCUGGCGAUUCCCUUUAACCAAAGCUACAUGAGAUCCCAUCUGGCGACCUCAUUAAACCAAAACUAAAAGAUGUUACGUAACUCGGUCAACCUGAAAUCCCAUCUGGCGAUUUCCUUUAACCAAAGCUACAUGAGAUCCCAUCUGGCGACCUCAUUAAACCAAAAUAAAGAAUAUGUGUAACAAAAUGGUCUCAUUGUAAUGGGUGACCUACCCAGGUGGAAAGAAUAUGAAAAACGGUCUCAUUAUGAUGGGUGACCAACCCAAAUGGAAAGAAUGUGAAGUGCAGUCUCAUUAUAAUGGGUGACCUACCCAGAUGGAAGAUGAGAAAAAUGUGAAGUGGUCUCAUUGUUAUGGGUGACCUACCCAGGUGGAAGAUAGCAAAAAAUGUGAAGUGGUCGCGUUAUAAUGGGUGACCUACCCAGGUGGAAGAUAGAAAAAAUGUGAAGUGGUCGCGUUAUAAUGGGUGACCUACCCAGGUGGAAGAUAGAAAAAAUGUGAAGUGGUCGCGUUGUUAUGGGUGACCUACCCAGGUGGAAGAUAGAAAAAAUGUAAAGUGGUCUCAUUGUAAUGGGUGACCUACCCAGAUGGAGGAUAGAAAAAAUAUGAAGUGGUCUCAUUGUUAUGGGUGACCUACCCAGAUGGAGGAUGUGAUGUGACAAGUGAAAAAUGGGACUUACCUGGCGAAGUCUUGAAGGGAUGAUAGAAGAAGGGCCGGAAAACUUGGUGCUUCUUGAUAAUUCUUGAUCGCAGGGUUUGAAAACUCGAUGCUUCUUGAUUGCAAGGUUGAUCUUUUCAUUUCUUUGAGAUUUUCCUAACAGUAAGGUUUAUCUCAUCUUCUUCCCGUUUCAAGGUCACAACCAUGAUUCUCUGUUAUUAUCAGCUCAAUGAUUCUCCCUUCUUUUUUCUCUUUUUUUUCUUUUUUUGGUCCCCAAUCUUGUUGAACUACAUUGAGGAUUUUUCUUGCAACAAAACAAAAUAAAAAAUAUGUGUAAUGUUUUAACGUUAGAUGACAUGCAUGCAUCCUUACCUGAUUCGAAAUAUAGGUCCCCCCCUUUGAUGAUCCAUCGUCAUAGGGUGCCUUUGUUUGCAUUCCAAAGCUUUAUUGGUUCUUUCGAUGCAUUGGCUCAUUCAUGUGCUAGCCAUCCACUCAGUUGUAAGUGUAGUGCCCAUCCUGGGCUGUCCACGACGAUUACUGCUCUCAGUUGUUCUCAAGCUUGACCAUGCUUCCAAGUGUGGUGUUGCUCGAUUCAUCGUGAAGGAGUUGAACAAAUCAUCCAUCUCCUAGAUUCUCUCAAGAAUUGUCCUUUGAUUUGGUGCGUGUGUUUUGCCAACACCCCUCAAGAGGUUUUCUGGUGUUUAACCUCCUUUUAGAUUGUCAAUCAGUCAUGAACUUGCCCCUAGUUGAAACAAUACUCUUCAAGUAUAUGUUAUCAUCAGUCUUCAUUGAAACUAUCCAAUCAUCCAGACAUGCAUCUCAUAGCUUGCAGUGAAAGACUCAUCGUUGUAUGCUCAAUGUUCUUUCUCAUGGAUUCCUCUCAGCUUGUCAAAUCAGAUAGUGGAAAGAAAUGUCUCGACAUCAUCAAUGAUGUUCAUGUUAUCACCCAUAUUCAUACGGUGAAGUGCGCAUUUGAGCUUCAGAAUAGAUGGUCCCACAGUCAAUCUUGGUGGUGUGCAUCUUUCUGACAUUCUUUCCAAUGCAACGAUGCGAUAACAUUUGUCAUAUGAAGAUACGAGGUUGUCCCUCAAUUGCAGCGUUGUUUUCAAUUGCUGCUAGAGUUCACUAGAUCAUGGAAUGUUUUUGAACAACAUUGCCCCCAAUAAUGAUCUGAAUGCUUGUUCUGCUGAUUAGCUUUCUUUAAACACCAUUGUCCUUAGUGCAUUGAUUCAUCAUUUGAUCAUCUUUCUUUGCCCCCAGCUGAUCUGAAUGCCUUUUGUUUUCCUUCUCAAGGUCCACUGUAUUGCCCCUAGGUGGUCAACUUUUCAAGGAGUGUCAAGAAGUGUUGAUGUCAUUCUUGUCAAGGAUUUUGCAAACUCGGUCGAUAUUCUUCUGUUUAACAAUCUUUCUUAUUCUGGAAUCAACUCUCAUAUUUCAAAGAUCAUGUCUAUUCAAAGUCUAGUUUGUUGAAAUGAAAUCAGAGAUGUCUUUUUUUGAAAAGACCUUUUGAAAAUCAAGCUUUUUUUCAAAGAUCCAACACGUUAUUCGAAAUAUACAGUCCUUUGAUUGUCAUGUAUUUUGAAAACAGAAAUUAACCCGUUGUAAGACUAAAAUGGUUUUUUUUUUCAUGGUUCUUUGUAUCCAUUUUAGACUCUGAUUUCGGGUAUAUCUUUUGAUGGUCUAUGAUGAGGUGACCUUCUGUGAAUUUCAGAAAACAAAAGGCCCUAGUCAAAACUUGAGGAUUCAUCAAGAAAGAUUGUUUUCUUUUUUUUUAGCAUCACUUCUAUCAGCAUGCAUAAUAACUCGUAGCUUGAUUCAUGAAGUCACAACCCUUAUGGAAAAGCUCUUCAAGUUUUGAGAGCGCCAUUUAUCGGUUCAAAUUGCUUACUUGAUCAAAAAGGGCUUUUAAAAGCACGUAAUGCAGGCUAUGGUUCAUGGCUAUGAAAGAAAGGAUUUCACAAGUUCAAAAGGUGUUUGAGGGUUUCAAAGACCUAGGAUCAACAUUAACUAUUCAUCAACUCUCUUUCUUGUUGUCAUUGUGGAGAAAGUGACAUAUAACCUUGUUAAUCUCAAAGAUCAGAAUUCUCUUAACAUAGGUCAUAAUGUAAAUCCAACUUUUUCUAUGAUGAAUAAUCAAUCUAAAAAAUUUUUAAGACACUAAAGGCUUUAUCCUAGACACACCAAAAGACAUGAAACUUGAUUUUUUUAGUGUUGACUUUUGGCAUUUGUUGUGUCUUUCUUCAAUUGAAACCUCUUUUGCCACUCUUAGAAUUGAUAGGCAUUCUCCUUCCUCUAUCUUUGACUUGCCUUUAAGUGAAGGCAAUUUCAUCAUCUUCUUUUUUCAAUCUUUUUUUUUUUUGCUUUCUCACAGCCUUCCUCAAAGUUUUCUUGGAUGGCCCUCAAUCUAUGGCUUUUAUUCUUCUAGCCCUUUCUCAAUCAUUUGACUUUUGUUCUAAGCCUUUUUUUUAUCCAUUAGUCCAAUCAGUGUCUUCAAAAUAUCUAUCAUUUUCCCCCAAUGUAGGGUGUGAUCCUAGUCAGGGUUUCUUUUUGAAAGAAAAUACUUUACCAGGCUCAAAAUGGGACUGCAAGGGAUAAUAUUUCAAGAAAUGUGAAAGGAUAACAAAGAUGGCCUUUUCUCAUUUCAAGCAAGGUCGGUUAGAACCGAUAAAUUUUGACCUCAUCCAGUGUAAUGAUUGGGACUUGUAAGAGUCAAUGAUUCAUGAGUCCAUAACUACUGAAUCCACUACAUGUCAUUAUGCAUACUGUUAAAAUUUAGCUACAUGAUGUGUGGUUCAGUUUCAGGAGGUAUGAGUUCAAAAAGUGUUUGGUCACCUCAUGUCAUUUUCAAGCAUCGAGUCAUUUCUGCAAUCAAAAUACUUUUAAUCUUCAGGAUUAAUUAGCUUUAGUUUUGUAUGUUGGAGUUUGAUCAAAAUAUUUUGUAAAAAUACCCUUUGAAAGAAGCAUCUCUUGAUUUCAAAACAACAGGAAGACAAAGGAAAGCCAUGUUUCGUUCAAGGAUGAGAUGUGACCCCAAAACAAAAUGCAAGAUGGCAAAAUCCAUAACAAAAAUGAUUGACAGUUUAACCCCUUCUUAGAUCAGCCUCUUUGGCAAUAUCUCUAUUUUGCCAAGCAAUUCCGAUCACUCGUCAUUCUGAGGAUGUUCUGGCGACAAAAUGAUCGAUGACAAGCUCCUUCAUAGAUUCCUCUCGUCUUUUGCUCACCAACUUCCGGACUCGAUUCUUGCAAUUGUUCAAUUGAAAUAGCUGAGGACCCCACCAUGACAUCACAUCUCUUGUCUGGAUCAUACCACCUAGAAAACGGUGGUUGCAUGGGAUCUGUCAGAGUCAGGCAAAAGUCUGGAAUCUGGCAGAUGCUGGUAAAUAAACCCACAUGGCAAAGGAAUGUCUAUCUUUGGCAAAGACAUUGGAGUAGUUGAUGCUUGAGCGAGACUUGACUAGGCAAAAUAACUGAGGUUUCUCAAUUGAGAGUCAUCUUCUGAUUCAACUCUCUUCACAGUUUUGGAAUCCGUGGCAAAACCUUCAAUCCUUCACUUCUUCAUAGCUCGCUCAAUUCUUUCGAUGAUCUUCACAACAUCAUGUCAUUCUUCCAAUGUUGUUGUGGUUGGUUGAGGGUUGUUGGAAAACUUCCACCAGCUAGGUAAUCUUGGCAGCGCCUAGAAACUUGUAGCAUUGUCACUGUCAAUGUGUGAAAUGAUGCAUUGUUUUUAUUGGAGGAGAAACUGCUGAAUAUUAAACUCCUUUGUCUCCUCUUCGAUCCCUCACUGACAGUGCAGCAAACAAACACCUAUAGAGGGAGCUCUGCUCUGUUGAAGUUUCAAACUUCUUCCUAUUUUUCAGCCGAGGUCUGUCUCUUUUCCCUACUUCCGCGUUUUAAUGCUGACACUGGUAGGAGAAACUUGUAGGUGAUCUGAAACUACUUCAUUCCUUCUUGGAUUCUCCACUUGCAGAGCAACAAACAGAUUUCUGUGGAGAGAGCUCUUUGCACGAUGAAGUUCUAUAUCUGCUCCUGUUUUCUAGCUCAGGUCUGGCUUUUCUGCCUACUACAGUGUUUCGGUGCUGAAACUGGUGGGGUAAAUUUUCAUAUCAUCUGAAACAUUUACAUCCCCUCUUGCAUUCCCCACUUGCAGAGCCACAAACGAGUUUUUAUAGAGAGAGCUCUGCCUCGUCAAAGUUCGAUGACUGUUCAUGUUUUCAGACUAGGUCUGACUCUUCGGCCUACUCCAGUGUUUCAGUGCUGAAACUGAUGAGACAAAUUUUUGUAGCGUAUGAAAGUACUGCAUCCCCUCUUGCAUUCCCCACUUGCAGAUCCACAAACAAAUCUCUACAGAGAGAGCUCUGCCACGUCAAAGUUCAGUGUCUAAUCAUGUUAAACUGGAAUUGAGCUCACAGUGGGGGUAACUUCAGAUAAGGCUAAUGCACCAUGCACAGAAGGCUAGCAGUUAUUUGGUGCCAUUUAGAAGAUAUGGAGGUGAUGAACAAUUAACAGGGCAACUGACCAAGAACAAAAGUUGUCAUUAGUUGAUGACUGAAGGCAUUGCUGCGGUUAUUCAUGACUGAAAAGAAGAGGUGCAACUUCCAUCAGACGUGGACAAACAGUGUUCCCACAGAAGAUCAUGCAGACAUUCUCUUUCCAUUUGAUGUUCAACACUUGUUCAGGGAGAUCUGAGUCUAGCUACUUCACCUUUGAUGCUCUCAACUUUCCUUUGACAAUGAGCUUCUCUUUGACCCCUUUCUUCAUUUCCCAUCAUCUUUGUUCAAUCAGGUGUAGCAAAGCUCGGAUGGGGGAACCUAUUUUUCCUCCCGGUACAUGCAUGAUAAAUGUAUGAACAUGUAAACUAUAUGAUGAACUCGCCCUUCGAGGGGUGACAUAUGGUCGUAACUCUUGUAUGAUGAAACAAGAAUCUUGAUUCUUGCCCAAACUCUACAAUGAAAAUUUUCUGAGUGACGGCCAUUGUGUCACCCACAAGUCUUGAGUUCAAGAUGCUUCAAGAAGGGUUUGCUCUGAUGCAAAUAACGAUAGCACAUACAACCUAAGGACAUGUUCUAUUCAUUAUGUGAACAUGGGUAGGUUUUCUACCUGGUCUCAAACGGGUCUCAUAUCUGCCCAGUGAUGUUCUUCGUAAAGACAGUAUAGGGGCGUUGCAGGAAAUGGUUAAGGUACGUAUACCCACCAUUACCAAGCAGGCACUCAGAUAUGAGUUUGGUUUUUCACGCAUCUGAACCCUGACCAAUAGUCAUAAGGCAGAUCGCUAAUUCACCACCUAGCUUAGAAGCUUGUGUGUGCUUUCAAAAAUAAAUACAGGUGAUGCAUGAAACGAUUCUAAAAAUGCAUGGAUAAAAUAAAAAUAAAACAAUAUAAAACUGCAAAAACUAAUACAUCAAAUACACAAAGCUUAGUCCAAUAUUGUUAGAAACAGUACCUUCCCCAGUGGAGUCGCCAUUCUGUCGCACGUCUAAAAAUCCGCGCGGCGUCGGCUUGGCAAUUUUUCUGUUAUGCGUUGAUUUGAUUGGUUCGUUGGAGUCGCCACCUAGUAUUUAAUUAAAGGUUCCUAGAAAACCUGGAUAUACUGGUCUUGUUAGAGAUUCGCGGGUAAGGGACUGGUUGUGGUUAGGAAAGGUAUUAGCACCCCUAACACACCCUACCUGAGGUAAGCUGCUUCGUGACUUUGAUGUGUUAAAGAAGUUUUAAUAAUUGUCUUUUCAUCGGAUAUUAGAAAUACAACUUACAUGUAAGUUAAUAAUUCUUAACCGUGAUCCAAUCAAAAUAUUAAAUUCUUCUUUAAUCUUUGCAAUUUUAUCUUGAAUAAAAAUAAAACAUCCAUAAAACAAAUACAAACACACACAUUCACUUUCACUAUAUUUUCUUUUCUUUCUCUUUUUUCUUUUUCUUUUCUUUUUUAUCUCCAUAUUACAAAUUAUAAAAAUUCAAAACUAAACAAAAAAACAUUAAACAAUUUAAAAUUACAAAAAUUAGCCUCAAAAUAAUCUGAGAUUACAGGGAUUGCCAUCUGCCAACCGGAACAGUGUUCAGCAGGGUUUAUGGGCGCGGAAACAGUGGUUCGUGUGGCCACUUACGGCGCGUGGGUCAAACCAGAACAAACUAGUGGAUCCGACUCGACUUCAUCUCCUCUUCCCUCCUACACUGGCAGUGAGGAGCAACAUCACCUGCAAAGAAGAAAAAGAUGCAAUCCAGUUGGUUUUAGCUUUUCUUCUUGGUCACGGAUCUACUUUUUUUUUCUCUGUUUUGGAUCUGCUUUGUUCUUGGUUUCGCCUUCUUCUCUGCUUCGUUGUUCUCUGCUGGUUGCAGCUCCGGCCGUCGAUUCUCGGUUGGAAAUGGGGCCGCUUCUGUGGGCGCCGCUGGAGGAAGAAGGACUGCUGUUGGCCGGUGAAGAAGCUGGAAGGCGGAGGCUUGCUUCUGUGGAGGCUGUCGCUGCUGAGGAGAUGAUGGGGACGGCUCUGUGGUGGAGGAACUCGGCUGCUGUUAUGGGGUUCUCCAGGUGUGGCUGGCGGCUGGAAGGGAAAUGGGGCUGCUGUGAUUUGGCCGGGGUGGGAGGCCGAUGGAAGGGAACAGCUGGGAUGGAGAGGGACGUCACUGCUGCUGUUCAGCCGCUGCUGGGGCCGAAUGGAGGAGAGACCUGGCGAUGGAAAUGAGAGAGUGAGGGGAUCCUGUUCUGUCAAAGAGAGGGGCGAGUGAAAGGGAGAUGGGGGAAUGCAGAGGAGGCUGCUCUGGUUUGGGAAAAGAAGCUGGAAAUGAGGGCUGUCUGUUGAUGACCGGGCUGUGGGAGAAGGAAGGAAAAUGAGUGCUGGUCUUGGGAGAUGUGGAAACGGUGGGUGUUGUCUGUGAAGGGGAGGCUGGUCUGGGUGUGUGGGGGCUGUGGCUGAGGGGAAGGAACGGUGAUCAAGGGGGAGGGGGCUGGACUAUGGCCGGCUGUCACUGGUUGAGGGAGAAGAGAAAAAUCAGCAAAAAGGGGUAGGGGGGCUGGCGGCUGCUGUUUUGGGUGAGGGAGAUGAGAGUUAAGUUUUUUAGGGUUUUCCCCCUUUUGUAUUGCCUCCCCCCAAAUUGUAAAAUGCCCCCCCUCUUUAAAAAAUCAGUGUAGCUUGGUAUUUAUAGGAAAAGUUUUGCUAGGUUUUCAAACUAGUCCCUCAACUUUUCCUUUCCUUCUCUUUCCCUUUUUUUUUUGUAAAUUUUGAUUUUUCUUAUUUUUUUGUAUUUUUGAAAGCGAGCAAAUAUCAACAUCGACUCAAUGAAGAAAAUCAAUGAUUUUUAAAAAUAACGCGUUAAAAGUUGAACGCGUUCCAAAUGUCUUUGAAAAUUUAAAUUCUUUUGAGACGAUGCUAAAAAUGCUAAAAACGAUGCAAAUGUAUUAAAAAUGUAUUUUUUGGAUUUCAAUGUUUUUCGCUAUUUUUGGAUUUUUCUGAAAAUUUAUCAAAACAUGGGUCAGAAAUUGGGUAGCAACAUCUUGUAUUAAGUCAAUCGAAUUAUAUUAUAAAGUUAAAUUUUUGUUAUUAAUGUUGCGUUGAACUCUGAUUGAGUUAGGAGAAGUUUGUAUGUAAGUUUGGGUUCGCAUAGGUAUGGAACCUUGGAGGGGAACCUUGCCUAUGUGUCGGUCAUGGAUCCGGGAUUCGGGUCGUGACAAACUUGGUAUCAGAGCUUUAGGUUAAAGAAACUAUAAUAUAAUUAAAUUCGUAAUAAGUGGAGCUUUAGGAUUUGUGUUGUCUUGUUUGUCGUCUUUGAAAUUCUGAAUUCUCAUCAAGCAUGUCUUUUUCCUUGUGAUAGAUAUGCUUUCCUAUAAUUCUGUGAUUAUUAUCAUGCUAUUUGUUCUAACAUGACUUAAGUGCUCUUAUUUUUAUAGGAAAUGCUGAGGAAUAGACAUAUAAAAAAAAGGAUUUCAACAAAAAAAAACUAUUAUUCUACAAGUACGAGGGGAGGAAGUUAGAUUUCGCGUCUAAUUGAAUUGUGAAUUCGAGGAAUAGGCUAAUCUCUUUUAUAAAUUUUUGUUAUUAAUUAUUAGAAAACAACUCGUCAAAUUGACAUAUUUCUUUGGUACUAUUAGAGUAAAUGGCAAUAAAGAUGUCCAUAUUGUACAGUUUAGAAAUGCAAGGUAUAGGAGGCGGGGUAGCACAUCCGCACCUCAACAUAUUCUUAUUGUUUGAUCUUUUAAAGCAAAAGUUUUGUUUGAUACGGGUGCAACUCAUUCAUUUGUGUCCCCAUAUUUUUCCAUGAGGUUAGAUAGACAACCAACUUUGUUAAAAUCCCUUAUUUUAGUCUCCACUCCCUUAGAUGAAUUAAUAUUAGUGAAGUAUGUGUAUCUGGAUUAUGAAAUAGAGAUUGGAGAUAAGAUCUUUAGGGGAGACUUAAAUGUUUUAGAUAUGGUUGAUUUUGAUGUGAUUUUGGGAAUAGAUUGGUUGGCAAAGCAUAGGGCUUCGGUAAAUUAUUCGGGUAAGAAAAUAAUGUUUGAUCUAGAUGAGGAAGUUGGGUUGGUAUUUUAAGGAGAUAAGAUUGGGUCUCCAUCAAUUAUGUUGUCGGCUAUCUCGAGGAAAAUGGCCCGAAAAGGAGUACAGUGCUACCUAGCAUAUAUAGUGGAUGUAGAGAAAGAAGUUCCUCAAUUAGACCAAGUCCCUACAGUUAGGUAGUUUAUCGAUGUCUUUCCUGAUGACUUACCUGGAUUGCCUCCGUAUAGGGAGAUUGAGUUUUGUAUUAAUUUGGUUCCGGGUACCGAACUAAUAUUAAUGGCACCAUAUAGAAUGGCGCCAGUAGAAUUGAGGGAGCUAAAAGAGCAACUGCAGGAUUUGUUGGAUAAAAAGUUUAUUCGACCGAGUGUGUCCCCUUGGGGAGCCCCAGUGUUAUUUGUGAAGAAGAAAGAUGGGUCAUUGAGGUUGUGUAUAGAUUAUAGGCAACUGAAUCGGGUGACUGUUCGAAAUAGAUACCCACUCCCUCGCAUAGAUGAUUUGUUUGACCAGUUGCAGGGAGCUCAAUUCUUUUCUAAGAUCGAUCUUCGAUCUGGGUAUCAUCAGUUGAGGAUUAGGGAGGCAGACAUUUCAAAGACAGCUUUUAGAACUCGGUAUGGUCAUUAUGAGUUCUUAGUGAUGUCUUUUGGGUUGACAAAUGCACCAGCAGCUUUUAUGGACUUGAUGAAUAGAGUGUUUGGCUAGUUUAUUGAUCGAUUUGUGAUAGUUUUUAUUGAUGAUAUUUUAGUGUAUUCGAGGUCAAGGGAGGAGCAUGAGCAGCACAUGAGAAUGGUGCUUCAAACUCUGCGAGAUCAUCAGUUGUAUGGCAAGUUCUCAAAAAGUGAGUUUUGGUUGGAGAGUGUAGCAUUUCUUGGGCAUGUAGUGUGAAGGAAUGGGAUUGAGGUUGAUCCUCAAAAGAUUGAAGCAGUUAAGCAGUGGCUUAGGCCUACUUCGGCGACAGAGAUUAGAAGUUUCUUAGGUUUGGCCGACUAUUAUCGGAGGUUUGUGGAGAACUUUUCUCGGAUUUCUGCACCAUUGACUAAGUUAACGCAGAAAAAUGUUAAGUUUCAGUGGUUUGAAGCUUGUGAGAAAAGUUUCUUAGAGUUGAAGGAGAGAUUGACUACAACGCCUAUUCUAGCAGUACCAUCAGGUUCUGGUGGUUACACAGUGUAUUGUGAUGCUUCGAGAGUGGGGUUAGGAUGUGUUCUAAUGCAGCAUGGCAAGGUUAUUGCCUAUGCUUCACGACAACAGAAGAAGCAUGAACAGAACUAUCCUACACAUGAUUUAGAGAUGGCGGCUGUAAUUUUUUCCUUGAAGAUUUGGAGGCACUACUUGUAUGGUGAAACUUGUGAGAUCUUCACAUAUCACAAGAGUUUGAAAUAUAUCUUUCAGCAGAGGGAUCUAAACAUGAGGCAGAGGAGAUGGAUGGAACUGCUGAAGGAUUAUGAUUGUACCAUACAGUACCACCCGGGUAAGGCAAAUGUAGUUGCCGAUGCUUUGAGUAGAAAAUCAUCAGGGAGCUUAGCUCAUAUUCAGGAGGUACGAAGACCUCUGAUUAGGGAGCUGCAUGAGUUGGUGGAUGAAGGAGUCAGAUUUGACCUUAGUAAAGCUGGAGCAAUGAUUGCUCAUUUUCAGGUUAAGUCAGAUUUGUUUGAUAAGAUAAAAGCAGCUCAGAAGAAAGAUGAUUCACUACUCAGGAUCAGAAAUGAGGUUGAGCAGGGUAAGGCUGCAGGUUUUGUGAUAGGUGAUGAUGAUGUGCUGAGAUAUAGGGAUAGGCUGUGUACCUGAUGUAGAUGAUAUGAGGAGAGAAUUGAUGGUAGAGGCACAUCAGACAAUUUACACAAUGCAUCCAAGUUCCACCAAGAUGUAUAAAGACCUUAAGGUGUGUUAUUGGUGGAAUAGGAUGAAGGCUGAUGUAGCAGAUUUUGUUUCUAGGUGUUUGACCUGUCAGAGGGUAAAGGGUGAACACCAGAAACCUCCUGGAUUGUUGCAACCAUUGUUGCUUCCAAAAUGGAAGUGGGAAAGGAUCACAAUGGACUUUGUGACAGGAUUGCCUAGGAGUCAGGAGGGUUACGAUUCAAUAUGGGUGAUUGUUGAUAGGUUGACAAAAUCAGCCCAUUUUCUGCCAGUUAAGAUUACUUAUGGAUAUGCAAAGUUGGCGGAAUUGUUUAUUAGUGAGAUUGUAUGGUUACAUGGAGUGCCAAUCUUGAUAGUGUCAGAUAGAGGUCCACAGUUUACAUUGCGGUUUUGGGUGAAAUUCCAAGAAGCUAUGGGUACUAAAGUUCAGUUGAGUAUAACUUUUCACCCUCAGACUGAUGGUCAGUCUGAGAGGACUAUUCAGAUCUUGGAGGAUAUGUUGAGGGCUUGUGUCAUGGAUUUUGGAGUUGGUUGGAGUAAGUUCCUACCAUUAGUGGAAUUUGCUUACAACAACAGUUAUCAGGCUAGCAUAGAGAUGGCACCUUAUGAGGCUUUGUAUGGUCGGAAGUGUAGAUCACCGGUUUGUUGGUUUGAGGUUGGUGAGAAGAGGCUAAUGGGACCGGAGUUGAUUCAGAUUACCUCAGAGAAGAUAGAGGUAAUUAGAAAGAAGCUUCAAACAGCUCAGAGUAGACAAAAGAGUUACGCAAAUAAAAGGAGGCGUGACUUAGAGUUUUUAGUGGGUGAUUGUGUGUUCUUAAAAGUAUCACCGACAAAAGGAGUAUUCAGGUUUGGGAAGAAAGGCAAGUUGAGUCCUCGAUUCAUUGGACAGUAUGAGAUUCUGGAGAGAGUUGGGGCAGUUGCUUAUAGGUUAGCAUUACCACCAAACUUGUCUACUAUCCAUCCGGUAUUUCAUGUUUCCAUGCUAAGGAAGUAUAUGACAGAUCCAUCGCAUGUGUUAGAAGUUCAUCCUGUUGAAUUGAGGGAUGAUAUGGUUUAUGAGGUGCAACCGGAAGCUAUAGUCGACUGACAAGUAAGGAAGCUUAGGUCGAAGGAUAUAGCUUCAAUGAAAGUGAAAUGGAAAGGUCAUUCAUGUGAGGAAGCGACCUGGGAGCUCGAGGAUAAGAUGCGUGAGGAGUAUCCUCAUCUUUUCGAUAAUCUCGGUAAGUAUUCAAUCUUUUCUAAUAAGUUUCAAGGACGAAACUUUUAUAAGGUGGGGAGAUUGUAAUGUUUUGAAUAUAAAGAGAUAGGAAAAGGCUAUAGAGCCCUUGGAGGCUUAAAGAGUGGGUAUAAUUAAAUGAGGGGUAUUGUAGUAAUUGUAUAAAGAGAUGAUAAAUAUAAAUAGAAGGAAAAAAAAACAAAAGAGAGAGCUGAGUUCUUGAGUAGCAAACCGUGAGAGAGAAGGGAGAAAGAAUAAGAAAAAGAAAAAAGAGGGAAAUUAGAAGGGAAAUAGAAAGGAGUUGAAGGGAAUAAGUUUAAAGGUAAGAUUUAGGUUGUUGUAGAAAGGUUCUGAAGGUCCAACAAAAUGACCUGCUAUUAAGCUAUAAGCCUGAAAAUGAUAAAUAAUGAGAUGGUGAGUUCAACAACUCAGUGAGUAGAUAACGUUCAAUAUACACACACGAGGUAAUACAACAAUGAAAAAUAUAUAUACAAGUAUGGCUCUAGGUUCUUAUAGGAAGGUUUCUCAAAUAGGCCAUAACAAGGAUAUCAUAUGGUAAAACUCGUCAGAAAAUCAAAAUGCAAUGAGCAUGAGGCUCCGUACUGUGGGAUGAUCAGUCCACACAGGUUGGUGACUCCCCCGACCAACUAGGGUUUAGAUACGAUGUACACAAAGACUAACACUACCCUGUUAGCAUAGGUAUUUUGACUGGUAUACCAUAGGUUCAUAAUCAUAAUCAAAUAGACAUAUUCAUAUCUCAAGGCUCAACUCAUGACAUCAAUCAAAUGAAGAGCUAUCAAUUCAAAAUAUAUACGGGUUCAUAUCAAGAAUUCAGAUUCAACAAUUGAUCAUGCUUUAUCAUAACAAGGAUAAUAAUCAGCAUAUAUAUUAUCAAGAAGCAUUGUUGUAACCCAUUUUUGGAUCCCCACAAAAAUAAAAAAAUAAAAAGAAAAAAAGAAAAAAAACCAAAAUAGUGUAGACACCGUUCCUCCCAUGUGCAUGCCGCUGCCCGAGACCCUCAGGAGUGGGGAGCAGCGCAGGCAUGGGAGCAGCGCAGGCUACCCUGGCUUGGUGUCCCCUGCUCCCAUGCGCAUGUUGUUGCCCCGCUCCCCUUUGACGCAGCUGCAAAAGGGGGAGGGAGAGUUUUUGAAAAGAGGGGGAAGAGUUUUUUGAAAAGGGGAGAGGGGGCUGGAAAACAAAAGGAGGGGGAAAGUUUUGAACGAAAGAAAAGGCAGGAGGAAAACAGAGGGGAAGAGAAGGACUGUAACCUCUCUCUCUGCUCUCUCCCUCCACCGUUUGGAAGCACACCGCCACCUUCCUGACCACCGUGAGGCAUCGUCGGCUUCCUCCCAACACCACCAGAUUCUCCCCCACGAUCCAGCAGCUUCUCUUAAGACCAGCCUUCCCCGAACUCCACAGCAGCAGCAACCAUUUUCUUCUCAGCAGAGCCAAGACGGGAAGCACGGGGAAGAAGACCAGAGACCAAAUGGAUGAGGAAGAACACAACAGGGACGAGCAGAAGGAGAGAAGAUAAACAGAAGAAAUCACAGAAGGACCAGCCAGCAGCCGCAGCGCCAUCGUCAGCUCAUCAUCUCCUGCAGCCCAGCAGCCAUACCAGGAGGAAGAGCAGCCGCAGCAACGCCAGGAGGAAGAGCAGCUAGCAGCACCACCUGUGCUGAACCAUGGCCAGCACCAACAGCAACUUGGAACGAGCCAAGCCACUCGCCCAGCUGUAACCUCCUCCGCAGCCAUAUCCCUCCUCAGCUGCAGUAGCAGAACCAGCCGAAGCUGCACCUUGCCUCAACCGCAGUAGCAGAAUCAGCAGAAGCCCUCCUUCCCUUCCAGCAACACGAGAACAUAGUGAGUUUUUCUCCUUCAUCCUUUCGUUACUGUGAGAAAGGAAAACAGAAUGGAGGAGAGGGAGAAAAGAGAAACGGAAGCAAAACAAAGACGCAAGAGAGCAGAAGGCGAGCGCAGACAGUGAGGACUGAAGAAAACCGGUUUCGCCAGCAGACCAGGAGCAGGUAUUAGGCAAAGCAGCAGCCAACAGGAAAACGAAGAAAGAGCAAGAGAAUACAGAGGGAAGAACAUCCAUUCCGCAGAGCAGCCGCAGCAACACCACCAACCGCACCAGCAGCUGCACAAACGAGGAGGAAGGGCAGCCGCAGCAACACCACCAACCGCACCAGCUCAUCAUCUCUUUCGGUCUUUGCUUUCAUUUUCUUGCAUAUAAAACCUGCAGAAAUAGGGAAGAAGAAGUGCAGAAAACUAGAAGAAAGAGAGAGGACCAAAGAUUGUAGAGGAGGAAACUCAGAAGAAGAACGCCAACAGAGAAUAAAGGGGGGAAAGCUGAAGCGGACGGCAGCACUUAUCGACCAGCCAGCAAGCCUUCACCACCGUUAUCCUUUCGUUCCCAGGUCUGUUCUCUUCACCUCCCGCACCGUGAGCUUGCUUUGUGUUUGCACUGUCCAAGUGAAAUUUAAUUCACUUGAACAGUAACGUGGUCUUUUGCAUGCAGUUUGCUUUGUUAACGUGAGAAAACAAUAAUUACCCGGUUACUGUGCAUGUGCACAGUAACUGUAAAAUGUACAGUAACUGUAAAAUUAAUUAACAUGUUACUGUGCAGAGGAAUAGUAACGCGGUUACUGUACAGUGAACAGUAACCAGUAACCAGUCAUGUGGUUUGGGCUGGGCUGAGUCCAGCCCUGUAUAAAAUAGGCCCAUUUUAUUUUUGGGCUGAUUUUGGCCCAUUUUUCUUUUGGGCCGGGUCUGGCCCAUUCAAAAAGUUUUCUUCAAAGAUGUAUUUAAAAAAUCUGUGAUUUUCUGCAAGGUUGUAUUUUUGUACUAUAAAGAUACAAGUCCAGUAUGAAAAUACCCGGUUUUCAUCGAGACAUAAAAAAAAUAUAAAAUGAAAAAUGUUUUGUUUUCCUGCAUACGGCCAAUACCCUAACAUUUUUUUUACGUUUUUUGUAUGAAAAAAAACAAAUAUUUGAAGUUUUGAAAAUGUGUUUUUGCAUGGAUUUCUUAAACACAACAAAAAUCAUUUUUCUUGUAUUUCUGGAUUUUACAACAUGUUUGUAAAACUCCAAAGGGUAUUGGCCAAUAUUCCAAAAAAAUAUAAAAAUCUUAUUUUGGGGGAAUUCAUCUAUUAUUCACCGCUAAUGUUUGGAUAAAGAAAUCCUUAAAGGACGAAUAUCCAAAAUAUUACUGGGAAUAAUUUGUUAUUAUUCACUGUUAAUAUUUGGAUAAAGAAACCCAGAGUGGUAAAUAUCCAAAAUAAUUUUCUAGGAAUAAUAAAUCCGCACAAAUCCUUGAAAGAAGCCUUGAUUAUAAUCGAGGACAUUUCAAUGUUUUUACUCCACGGUUUACGAGACGAAAAAUAGGUUUUUAAAGCACCCUAGAUUUCGUUCAUCAGAGCAGACUUAUCCUAGGAAACUGAUGGGAUUAGAGAACAUCAACACCAUAACAUUUAUAAGGCAAAUCAAACACCAAGCAGCUUACCUUAGGUAGGGCGUACUAGGGGUGCUAAAACCUUCCCUUUACGCAACCAGUCCCUUGCCUUAGAAUCUCUGAAAGACCAGUUAGGUUUCCUAGUGACCAUAAUACUAGGUGGCGACUCCCUUUUUCACAACAGAAAGACCCCAACAUCAAAUCCUCGCUACGAAGGAAGUGUCGCCGCGACGUCGAGCUCUCGGGAGGGUGCGACAAGCAUGAUCCGAUUCAUAUUAACAAAUCAAAUAUUUAUAAUAUUUUCAUGCAUAUGGAAAAUUAUCCACUCACCUGACUCGAAAGCAAACAGAAGUCAAAAGCAGACACCGAAGAAAAUCCUACUGACGUACCGCCGGUAGAAUAUCAGGAUUAUCUGAAUAUAAAGGAGACAUAUUCAAGAAUGACUCAAAAGAAUAUAACCUAUUUAAUACACUUAUCUAAGGGUGUAUUCCAUAACCCUAUAUGUUUUUGAAUUAUCUAGUUAUUUUCUCAAAAACCCAAAAUUAACGGUUUUCCCGAAAUCUAAUCCAUAAUAAAGCAAAUAAUAAAACUUGAUAAUAAUUCACUAAAUAACCCUCAAUUAUUCAUCAAACCAAUCUGCAAAAGCUAACAUUACAGCUAGGGACCAAUAUGUAAUUUAUCAUAUUUUUAAGGGUCAAAUUGUAACUUUGUCCAUUUGGAGGACCAAACUAAAAUUGUCAUAAAUCCAUGAAUAUAGUGGAAUUAUGUCCAUAAUUCAUCCUCAUUUCUGUCCAGAACCUCUAAUUAUGCUCCAGGGACCAUUCUGGAAUUUUUCCAAAAUUUAACGGACUUUCAGAACUCACCAUCUCAUUAUUUAUCCUUUUCAGGCUUAUAGCUUGAUAGCAGGUCAUUUUUAUUGGACUUUCAGAACCUGAUCUUUUGGUAGUAAUUUGUACCUUCCUUUAUGUCUAGUUAGUGCUCCAAAACUCUAAAUUUAUAUUAACUCUUGAAUUAAGUCAAUCGAAUUAUAUUAUAAAGUUAAAUUUUUGUUAUUAAUGUUGUGUUGAACUCUGAUUGAGUUAGGAGAAGUUUGUAUGUAAGUUUGGGUUCGCAUAGGUAUGGAACCUUGGAGGGGAACCUUGCCUAUGUGCGGGUCAUGGAUCCGGGAUUCGGGUCGUGACAACUCUACUCAACUCCCAUACUUGCAGCUGCUGCAAUGGCAGCAGCCAUUGCAGCCACUCUCUUGUAAACUUUGCUACUCUCUCUCAGUGCCUAUUUAUAGGCAAGAAUGGUGCCACCAGCUCUAGCUCUUCUUCAACAAUGGUGGCUGCCAACCUUUGACAUUUGAGAGUUGCUGCAUUUGUCAAUGGAUGGUGCCGUUUAUUAAUGAUUGCUGCACAUUAAUGGCAACCAACCCAACAGGAUGGUUUCAACACAAAGAUGCAGUUGCUGCACAUUAAUAACCACUUUCACAAUUGCAAGAAUGUAUGCCAUUCAGAUACGUUUGUUAUAUCCCUGAUGCAGGAUAUAUAGAAAUACCACACAACAACAAAAAUACCAAUAUUUUGAUCAUUUCGCAAUGUCAUUCAUUGGAGUAAGAUCAAUUAGAUAAGCAAGCUACACUGCCCUGUUUUUUAAAGUAAGAUCCAACAAAAUCUUGCUGCUAAUAAAGAUCUUCAAUAAGAACAAGUUAGGAAUGUUCAAUCUUAGUUAAAAAUGUUCACGAAGUACUACCUUGCUUUCAUUAUCAGAGUGAAACUAAAUUUCACUUAACAUAAAUGGCGGGUUACAACAAGUUUUAGAAUAACAAGGCAAUAAUUCUAUAUCAUCAUUGUUCAAUCUAUACUCACCGAGCUUUUGUGCAUCGCCGAACCACUUGCUCAUCAAAUUAGAGAUCCUCACAAUUAUAAAAACAGCUUUUGCAAGCAUGGUCUUCCCGUUGCCUGGAGGUCCAUAUAACAAUACCCACUUUUGUGGAUCAAGAAGUUUCCCAUUUGAGAAGAGCUCAGGUUUCCGCAGAGGAAGAAUCACCAGUUCAUACUAAGCUUGCUUGGUAGAUUCCAAUCCUCCAAUUGAUUCAAAAAUAAAAAUACACAAUUGCAGCAUAUUGAUAAACCAUUAAACCGACCAUAAAUUCUAAAGCCUCUAUUCCAAUCAAUUAUAUUUUCAGCAUGAGAACAUGGCCAUAGUGGAUAGUGUUUAGAGGAUAAUCUUGAUUGUUACAAAGCAUUUGCAAUCAGAAGGUUUCAUAAUUGAAAUGUUGGUUUUUCGAAUCCUAAUUUCAUCAUAAUAAUAAUCCAAUUACAAUCAAUUUGAUGUAUUCAAAGUAAUUUAAUAAUAUUUUUUAAUAUUAAUCUCAAAAUUUGAAUAUAUUAAACAACUUUAUUAGUUUGUUUUCCAUUUGUCAGAACACAUCAAGAACUUCAACACAUAAAAUACAAUGAGCACCCCGUUGCAGGCGUCUGAACGAAGUCCACUGGCGUCUCCCACGCGCUAGCAGCCUCCCACUGGUUAUAUUUCAACCGAAUUCGAUCGCAAAGCAAAACAGAAUCCUACCAGUCAGAAGAAUCAGUUUAUAAAUGAUGCAUGCAAUAACAUCUAAAAUUGCUAAGAAACUAUACCAUUCUAAUAGCCACCUCACGUUCAGAGCUAUAGACUAUUGUGGGUUCAGUAUCAGCUGCCAGUUUUUCCAACCUUCCAUUGACGUUGGCAAUAGUGGAGUCCAUAGAGUUGUCACUAACCUCCUUAAUCCAUCUCUGUCAAACUCCCUCUGGCGUUAAGAAACCUAACCUUAUACUUUUCCUCCAAGAAACAAUUCGUAAUGAUACCUGAGAACGAUCCUGUUUCCCUCAUGUUUAUAUCAGAUAAUGCACUUUAUAUUCCAUCAUCUUGAGAAUGUUAAUUAAAAGGCAAGAUGAAGCCCUUACAGAGCCCAAGAAGAAGAAGCAGCAGCUCUUGAUUUGAUGUUACUCGCUAUCAAUCAAUUAGCUGACGCGUCCUUAUCCAUUUGUCUUGUUAAUAGAAACCUCUUGAAAACCCCAUUAUUUUCCAGCAAUCCACAUAACCUACUACUUCACUAGCUUCUUCUUUGGUGAAUUCCAUAAAGACCCACUCCCCAACAGUAUCCCUCAGAGUACUUGCUUACUAUGGCUUUGCCAAUAUUUAUGCCUCUUCCGUAUAAAUAACGUGGAAAGGAUUGGAAUUUGAGUUUGUAAAAAUUCAAAUAUCCUCAGAGUACUUGAUUUGUCAAGUAAUAGUUUCACCAGUGAGAUUCCAAAAUUGAUCGGAAAGCUUAAAGGACUCCAACAACUUAACCUCUCUCACAAUUACUUUACUGGUCAUAUCCAAUCAUCAUUGGGAAUUUUGACCAAUCUAGAAUCAUUAGAUCUAUCUUCAAAUUUGUUUACCGGAAGGAUUCCUGUACAGUUGGUAGAUCUAACAUUUCUCCAAGUCUUAGACCUUUCACAUAACCGGCUUGAAGGACCCAUACCCAAAGGAAAGCAGUUCAACACGUUUGAUCAUCGCUCAUUCGAAGGAAACUCGGGUUUGUGUGGAUUGUCUGCAUGAGCUGUACGUGAGGUGUAAUAUAUUAGACUGAUUCUAGAAUCUGCAAUUAUUCCUAGAAAUCUGGUAGUGAUCGACAAUCUUGUAUAGGAAUAUUUAGUUUAGGAAUAUUUAGUUUCCUAGAAUAGGUUGUUUCCUUUCUUGGAAGGUAUAAUUGUAUAUAUAUAUGGCCUCCUAACGUUGAGAAGAAUAGAGAAGUAACGAAUUAUUCUCACAAUAUUACUCUGUUUUACAUGGAUUUCCAAUGCCAGAAGAAUGUAGCAAUGGCGAGGCACCACCAUUACCGCCAUCAAACUUUAUUGCAGGAGAUGAUUCAACAUUGUUUGAAGAUGGGUUUGGAUGGAAACCUGUGGCAAUUAGGUAUGGAUGUGGGUUUAUGUUUGGACUCAUAAUGGGAUAUGUUGUGUUUAAAACAAGAAGACCUGCAUGGUUUCUGAAAAUGGUUGAAGAUCAAUGGAGUCUUAAUGCAAGCAGAACAAAGAAGAAUGCUAGUAGAAAUGGUGCAAGAAGAAACUAAACAAUGCAGUCAGUAUCUUCAAAGUUCGUUCUGUAGGCUGUUUCCUUUCAGAUUUUUUAAGUAAUCAUAACUACAGAUAUAUAUUGUUUUUAUUGCAGUAUUAUUUCAAUAAAGGCUGUGCCUUUCAUAGAUUUGAAGAUUGGAGUUGACAUUGGAACAACACUAAAGUGGCAGAUUCAUAGUGUUGAAGAUAACACUACUAAUAAUUAAAUACUACUAAUAAUGCCCUUCUUUAUUUCUCAUCUCUCCCAAUUAUACUUGAAUCCUGUAAGGCCAGCCAACAUGGGGUUUUCACAACUGUGCCUCUCUCAAUCUCUCUCUUUCAUUCUGUUUCUCUUCCAUUUCCAUUCAACAAUUUCAUCUCCACUCUCCUCAAAUCACUCCUCCUCCUCCUCCUCCUCUUCUUCUCAUUUGUGUGCUCAUCACCAAUCUCUUUCUCUCCUUCAAUUCAAACAAUCCUUCUCCAUUAAUAGAUAUGCCUCAUUGGAGUACUGUCAAUAUCCUUUUCCAAAAACAGAGUCAUGGAUAGAUAGUACAGACUGCUGCUCGUGGGAUGGGGUCACUUGUGACAUGAAAACCGGGCAUGUCACUGGACUGGACCUCUCUUGCAGCAUUCCUUUCGGCACCCUCCAUUCCAAUAGCACCCUUUUUCUCCCUGCAUCAUCUUCAAAAGCUCGACCUCUCUGACAAUCAUUUCAAAAAGAUAGAAUUUGAGAAUGUGAAUCUCUGUUCUCCUUAUCUCUAAGGUCAGAGAGUAAAUCAUAUAUAUAUAUAUAUUGUUUCUUAGAAGACGGUUACAAAAGAAGGGGAAACAAACCAGCUAUGAACAGAUUCUAGAGCUAGGCAGUUAUAACAAAUCAGUAACAAUAAAUCCAACAAAAUCAAGUUGGGUAAAUCACGUAACAGACUAUUCUAGCAUUGGCUUACUGUACCCAUUUACAGCAACCUUAGUCUUAGUUAGUGUGCCAUGAACUCUCUGCAAGUCUGACUGGGACAAUGGCCUUGGUGCCUGAUAAAGAAUCACAACGAAGAAACUCAAAAAAGGGUUAAAAAAUCCACAGCAAGCUCAGACAAUGGAAAGAUAAAAUCCUCCAGAUAAUAUUUUGGACCCCAAUAGCUAUUCCUUGUAGUCCAUAAAAACACUUUGUUUAAUUUCUUCUAGUUCUCAUGAGGAACCGUACUAUCUUCUAUCCAUUUCAAUGGAAGUCAUUGGUUUUGGAUAGAACACUACAGGGCAACAAUUACCAAAACUUUUCCAUGACACCCACAGGCAUGCAUGGGAUUUCUAUGCAAAUAUUACAAAUCAAUAAAAAUACCUUGAAGAAUUAGCUGGGAAUAUAACAAAGCUUAGUUGUAAGUUCAUCAUGUUUGUUUGUUAAUAUUGUUUAGUCCAAAGGACAUUUUCAGUUUUUGCACUAAAAUUAUAAAACAAAAGGCAGCUAACAUGUGUCUCGCACGCGUCAGACGCUCCAUUGCCUUCUAGCAGCACGUGCAGCUGGCUUGGGCAGUUGUAAUCGUGAUUCCACUACAUCAUUUGAUUUAUCUUGGUAUCCUCUUCUUCUCUGGAUGACAUGUGUAUAGUGUUUCGACGUGAUUUGACUUGAAAUUUCUUUUCUUUUCUUUCUUUCUUUUCCCUUUUUUUUUCCUCGAAGUGCAUGCUGGUCAUGAAAAAAUUCAUACCAAUUCUUCAUUUUAUUUCUUCUUUUGAUUCAGUCUCUCUUCUCUUAUUUGCAAUUGUUUUAUUUACAUUGAUUAUUUCUAAUUGGAUUUAUUUUGGAUUUUAUCUUUGGUCAUUUGAUUUUUUUAAUUUCUAUUUUUAAUCAUUUCUUUAUGAAUACUUUAUGAAUGAUGCAGGCAAUAAUGCUUAACACACUUACAAUAACAUAGUUAAAAUUGCUAAGAAACUAUACCAUUCUAAUUAACAUUAGACCCACUCCAAAAUACUUAGAAAUUUUAGUUUCCAAGAAACAAAAAACUUCAAUAUCAUUGGAGCUAACAUACUUUUGUGCAGGCACCCCCCCCCCCCCCCCCUCUACAAAGACUGCGUAAAUCUCUGUAAUUCUAUGGUAGCAUCUGCUUAAGAUUAGAAUAAAACUCAUAACCUGGGCACCAGAGCAAGAGCUCAGAGGGAGUCCAACCAUUCCUUCUAUGUAUUUCAUAUCAUUCUGCUUCCAUCAUUAGUAUCUCUAUGAAUCCCUAAAACCUUGCCAAGGUGAUGUGUAGCUGCCACCUCACGUUCAGAGCUAUAGACUAUUGUGGGUUCAGUAUCAGCUGCCAGUUUUUCCAACCUUCCAUUGACGUUGGCAAUAGUGGAGUCCAUAGAGUUGUCACCAACCUCCUUAUCCAUCUCUAUCAAACUGCCUCUGGCAAUAAGAAACCUAACCUUAUACUUUUUCCUCCUAGAAACAAUUCGUAAUGAUACCUGAGAACGAUCCUGUUUUCCACGCUUCUUUCUUCUCCCUCUUGCCAGAGAGUUGGUUUUUUUCCAAAUUGCCGUAGAUUUCAUUAGAAUUCAGAAAAUUUGUAGAAAAGGUGUCUCGCUCUUACUGCACACCUGACACUUUCUUUCGUGUGAUUAGGAUUAAACUUCCCUGCAUCUAACUUUAUCUAUAGCUCAGAUUAAGGUUUAGUAAAAUAGGACCCACGGAGCUGAGAUGGGUAUUCAAUGAAUGGUAUGCUGAGGAGAGGGCAGGGUACAUGGCACAAGGGUUAUCUAGAAGAAUAUGCUAUAACCUUGCAAUUCAGCAUUUGUAGGUAGUGACGAAAGGAGAGAGAAUAGCUAAGAAAGUUUAGAGAAAAAUAUUUAAUAAAAAUAUAUUUAUUUUUUCAAUCCCUUUCUUGUUCCUGAGUUUUUUUUUACUCUGCAUUAUUAGGUAGUUUCUGAAAAAUUGUUGGCGUCUGCAUCUUUUGGAAAAGAUUUAUCAAUAAAUAGAUGUAUCUGACCUACAUGAUUGCUUCAUAGGCAAAAUUAAAAUAGCCCCUGCUCCAAAAUAAAUACAAAGAAGUAGCCAGCAAACGCCAACUAAUUAGGAAAGCCAUAUAUAUCAUUGUAUUUGUUGAUCAUGUUCUAUCAGGCAAAGGCCCGACAAUGGACACCCCAUCAAGGUUUUCCAGAACUUAAGGCAAAAAUAUUGAUUUUUUUUUUUUAAAUAACAGUUACAAACCUUGCCAAACUUGAGCUCGUGGCCCUUAAUAUUAUAGACAAGAAUUAUUUAUCAUAAUUCUUGAUGCUGAAAUUCACCUGGAUGUCAUGGAUCUUGGAGAUAUCAUUAAAGAUGAUAAUGAAAAAUCUAGUCAAAAUAAGGUAAAAGCCAUGAUUUUCUUACAUUGUCAUCUCCAUGACGAGUUGAAGAUAGAAUAUCUCACAAUCAAAGAUCCUUUUAUUCUUUAACAAAAAUUAAAAAAAAGAGAUGACCAUAAAAAAAUAGUUAUUCUUCCAAAAGCUCGUUGUGAUUGGAUAUAUUUACGAUUGAAGGAUUUUAAAUCAUUUAUUGAAUAUAUAUAAUUCUGCAAUGUUUAAUAUCAGUUUUAAAUUGAAACUAUAUGGAGACAAUAUCACUAAUGAUGAUAUCUUACAAAAAAAACAUUAUUUAUUUUUCAUGGCUCAAAUAUGCUCCUGGAGUAACAAUAUAGAGAAUGAGGUUUUAAAAAAUAUUUUAAACUGAUUUCAUAUUUUUUUGUGAUUAAAUAAAAUAAUAAGUUUUUAAUGAAAAAUCAUGAUUCAUGACCAAUUAAUUCAAUUUCAUUUUCUAAAAUGAUUACUACAAGAUAUAAUAAUAAUCAUGAUCAUGGUUGCAAUAGAGACCGAGAUCAUGGUCAUAGAAGAAGAUUGCAUCCUCAGAGAUCAUUCAAGGAUGAGACUUAAUCUCGAUUAAUGCAUUUAAUUCUUUUAAAAUACCAAUCCACUAUUUGUCACUCCAACAUUUAAUCUCCAUAUUUUUAAUUGGAUUUAUAACUUAUAAUUUUUAUCUAUUUCAUAUUAUAUUUUUUUAAUUUAAAAUAGAAAAAAAGGAAAAAUCAAAGUAUAUAAAUUGAAAGAUUGAUUAUAUGAAAGAAAAGUAUUUUUUCUUAAAGCAAAAUAUUACUAAAAAAAACAUGAUCAAGAUUUGUCAAAUAACUAUUGAAUUAUUUUUAACACUACAAGAAUUAAUUAAUUUUAAGAAAAAUCAGCAACCCGUAAACAGUUCGGAAAUCAAAUACUGUCGUGUUUCUAUACUUAGUCUCGUCAAUGAAGACUUUUGGCUCAUGGAAAAGGCAUUAGGGCUCCAUUGCUUUGCGUCAUUAUUACUUCGCCAUUAUUUUAUUUUAUUUUAUUUUAUUCAUUUUCAUUUUUUCCAUUUUCGGAUCCAACAGUAAGUUGGGAAUAUCAAAUGUUGACAUUUCAUCUAUAUGGAGAGAAUAUAUAUAACUAAAUAUUAAAGUAGUUCUCUACUUCAAUUCAAACAAUCCUAUUUUUCCAUAAUUAAGUAGUUCUGCUUUCAACAUAAAAAAUAAAAAAAUAAUAGAAUAGCAUGCAUACUAAUUUAGUAUAUAUUUGAAUUUGUAAUUAAUAUAUAUAAAAAAAACCUAACAUGCAUACUAAUAUUAAAAUUAAUUAUCUUAAAUUAAAAUAAAAAGAAUAUAUACUUGCUGAAACACCAAAAAUUGAUGAAUCUUAUUUUAUUGUCAAUGAUGAGUUAUUUGUCCUUAAAGUUUUAUUACUCCUUACUUAUACAACAUGUAUGUUUACAAUAUGCCUCCCAAGUUUCCAACAACAUUAUUUUUGUUUAGAUCAUGCACUUCUAAACAAGAUAUUUAAUUCAAAUAUCAUGUGACUCAAAUAUCUUUCAACAAGAUGAACCUAAAUACUAGAUUUAAGAGGAAAAUCAAAGCAUAAAAAGGAAUAGAAAAACACUAAAAAUAAGAAAGAGAAGAAAAGAGUGUAAAAUCUGAAAAAUUCAAAUUAAAAGCCCUUCAUUCACCCUCUUUUAUACAAUGAAUCUUGUUUAUAUGAAAAAUGAGUUGGAAAUCAUAGUGAAAUUAGAGUUUAUAUUUUUUUAUUUAAAAUAUAAAAAAGGAAAAAUCAAAGUAUAUAAAUUGAAAUAUUGAUAAGCAAUAAAAUUAUUUAAAAAAAAAUAUUACUAAAUUAAGCAUGAUCAAAAUUUGUCAAAUAACUCUUUAAUUAUUUUUAAUAGUAAAAGGAUUUAUAAAUUUUUUAAAAAACAGCAACCCCUAAAACUAUUUUUAAUCCAUUUAGAAAAUCAAUAUUGUCAUGUUCCUAUUCUUAUUCUUGUUAAUGAAGUGCUUGUUUGGCACUGUUGUCGAUACACGACAUUGCGUGGUGGCUCCACUCUUUUUUAUUAUUUAACAAAAGAUUAAUUACUUUGGAGAAAUGAAGAUUUUAUUGAAGUCGUCAUCUAGUAAUUUGAUGGAACUAAAAAUCCCAAAUUAGACACACUUCCAGAUAUUCAGGUACUGGGUUAAUUAUGAUUAAGGAAAGGUAGAUAUCACCUUUAAAUUAUUCUUUCAAGUGAAAAGGUUACCUUUACUUGUGCCUUUUUUUUUUAAUUUUAUUCAAAUGUUAUAAUAUUUUGAGCUUACCUGUAAAUUUUUUAAAAGAGUUAACGUCAAUCCCUAAAAAUAGGAGACAUGUAAAGAAAAUGACAUCAGUUUCUAAAAUUAGGAGACUCGUCUAAAUGUUGACGUUUAUCUCUAAAAAGAAAAAUUAUGUCCAAGUUGCAAAAAGAAACAAUGGACAUAAUUCAUAUUUGUUUUUAAACAUUCGACAUCGGUUCUUUUAUAAAAAAGAGACAUGUUGACUAAUAAAAUUCAUUCCUAAAACGAAAGAUUAUGUUGAAAUUUCUAAAAAAAUAGGCAUAGCCCUUAUUUGAGAAUUGGGUUCUGGAUCCGUGCAUAAUGAUAUGAUAAAAUGGGUGUUGGACUCGCGUUGUUAUUUUUUUAUAUAUUUAUUUCAGGUGUUUUACAAAAUACAAAGAAAUUUUUACAAAUACUUGUAUAUAAAAAAAUAAAAAUAACCCUAGAAGUCCCCAAAAUUACCUAAGUACCAAUGUAUAGGAAAAGGACUGAAAUAGACAUGAACUUCACUGGAAAUUACAAAAAUACACCUGGUGGCACGUGUAGCUCACACGCGGCCACUGUUGGAAUGGUGAAAUUCUUCGACGAGAUUCCAGGCUACUGUGAUACAGUGCAUUAGAUUUUUGGUACAUAUGGUGAAGUGGUAAAAUAAGAUCGAAGGACAAAUUUUUUUAAGGGUUGAGAUGAAUUUGGGUUUUCAUCAAGUGUGGUAAGUCAUAUUAGAUUAGAUCCAAUCAAGGGUUCAGAACUAAAAUACUAUUAUAUAUAACCGUUAGGAUAUUUUUUGUAUUUUUUGAAUUAUUUAAAAAAAAUAAAUUUCUUACUCGUGUGAAGAAAAACUACAAAAAAAACAUGAAUAGUAUUAACAUUCGUAUUCACUUCUUCUUUUUCUUCUUUUUCUUCUCUCUUCUGAAUUGCUUUCAUAGCCGGUUGUAAAUUGCUUUAUAUCCAGGAAACACGGCAAGAGACACGACGCUUUCUUGAAGAAAAAAUUUCACCUGCACCAACUACUAUAAUAAAAACUUAUGCAUUAUUAUUAAUCUCGUUUUAACUGUUAAAAAUCAAUUUUGAUAACACUAAAAAAUAGUUUUUAACUGGUAUUAAUAUGAUGAACCAGUUUUGGACUGAAAAUAACAAUUUUGACCAAAAAUGACAUGAAAUUCAAUUUUUAUCUUGAUCAACAUGGUUUGACCCAUAUUGACUCGAUGAACCAGGUUUGGACUGAAAAUAACAAUUUUGACCCAAAAUGACAUGAAAUUCAAUUUUUAUCUUGAUCAACAUGGUUUGACCCAUAUUGACUCGAUGAACUUGGUUUUGACCGAAAAUAAUGGUUUUGAUCCAAAAUGGUCUGGAAUUCAUUUUUACCCUAGUCGACUUGGUUUGACUUGUAUUGACCCAAUGAACUCGAUUUUCACCGAAAAUGAUUGUUUUGACCUAAAAUGGCCUAAAACUUAUUUUUUACCCCGGUCGACAUGGUUUGACUUGUAUUGACCCGAUGGGCUUGAUUUUUAUGGUAAAAGGCGGUUGACCCGAGAAAAAUAUAUUUUUGAAUUUGAAACUUUUUUUUCUCUUAAUUUUUUUUUUGGGAUUUUUAUGAAUAAAAAUAGAAAUAAAGAUAACAUUCCUGAAAAUUUUGGAGGAUUCAAAAUUGGGUUAUUACAACUGUGAUAGCUUUUGCUUUUUAAAAAAAAAAUAGCCUAAAAAGCGUCAAAUUGAAUAUUUUUUAUGUGUUUUUUUAUGAUUUUGAUGUGCUGAUAUUAAAAAUAAAAAAUUCUAAAAAAAUUAAAUGCAUUUUUAAUUAAAAAAUACAUUUAAAAAAUAUAUUGCGAUACUUUAUGAAUCACACACAAAGACUUUUGGGUUAUGAGAAACGAUAUAUGUGCAAAGUCAUUAGUGCUCCAUUGCUUGGAUUGGAUUGGACAUAAGAAGGUGAAGAUGACUUUGUUUAUCAAUUUUUUUAUUUCAAUUAUGUAUACAUAAUCCUAUAGUUUAAUUAUUUUUUUAUUUAAAAUAGAAAAAGGAAAAAUCAAAGUAUAUCAAUUGACGGAAUGAUAAGCAAGAAAAGCAUUUUUUAAAAAAACAAAAUAUUACUAAUCAAGAUUUGUUAAAUAACUAUUUAGUUAUUUUUAAUACUAAAAGGAUUAAUUAAUUUAAGAAAUAUUAGCAACCUCUAAAACACUAUUUAAUCUUUUGAAAAUCAAUAUUUAUUUUUUUAUAUCUUUUUAUAAUUUUAAUGUACUAAUAUAAAAAAUAAAAAAUAAAUUUUUAAAAAAUAUUAUAUUAAUACAUUUUCAAUCACAAAACACUUUAAAAAAUAAUUAAACAGCUAUACAUUACCGAGCACACACAAAGAUCAUUAGUGACCCCAUUGCUUUGGGUAAUUAUUACUUUGCCAAUAAACAACAAUUUAGUUUGCGCAAUUUGAUAUUUUUAUUAUUACUUUAUUUUUUUAAUUAUUAAAUCCUGAAAAAGGUAUUAUUCAUAUUAUGUUUCUGUAGCGUUUUUAAUACUAACAAUUAUGUGCUCAUGAACAAAUUAGUCUAUAAAUACUGCUAACAAUGCCUUUCUUCACUUCUCAUCUCUCCCAGUUUUACUACUAAAUCCUGUAAGGCAAGCCAAAAUGGGGUUUUCACCACUGUUCCUCUCUCAAUCUCUCUCUUUCAUUCUGUUUCUCUUCCAUUUCCAUUCAACAAUUUCAUCUCCACUCUCCUCAAAUUACCAAUCUCUUCUCUCCUUCAAUUCAUACAAUCGUUUUCCAUUAAUAGUUCUGCUUCAUCGGAGUACUAUUGUCAAUAUCCCUUUCCAAAAACAGAGUCAUCGAAAUCCAGAGCUGGGCUUAAUCAGUUGAGGGAAAUGCCUGCUUCUAAGAUUCACAUAUCAUCCAUCAAUGAUCUUUUUCUUCUGAUCUUGUGCUCCAUGGAAUCUAGUGCAACUUUUGAGUACUGUAUGUGUUUUAUUUUUUCCUUCACAAGUUCUCUCAACUUUAACCAGCUAAUCUUUUCAUUACCUAGACUGAUAUGUUUCUUCUACAUAAAAAAACCACUGUGUUUCCAUUGAGGAAGUGAGUUGUCGAAACUCUAGAAGUGGUGUUACAAGUAACUUGAAGGGAGUGGAAAACAUUCCGAAUUGCAUUUCUCAAAAUUUUCAGCUCCAAUUAUGAACUUCGGUUUCCUGGGAAGUUUCAUUUAUAAAUGAAUUGUUUUUGCUGUUGCCGGAAUUAUGGCUUGGAGUGCCCAAUGCUUGAUAGAAUAUUGAAUCCAGAUAACAUGUGUCUAGCUUGUUUUCAAGUUCAACGCCCUUCGAUGUGGUUAAGAGCAGAGCCCAAGUAGGCAUAGGUCUGGCAAGCUUCCAAACAGGCAUGGGUCUGGAGAGAUGUCAGACCUAAUGUUCUUGGGCUCAGCUACACGGUGAGCCCAAGCAAAAAUAAAUCUGGCGAUCUGCUAGACCCAAUAUUCUUGGUUCAGUUAUGCACUAAACCUAAACAAACAUGGAUUUGGUGAGCCACUAAAUCCAACAUCAUUAAGUUAAGCUAUGUGUUGAGCCUAAAUUAACAUGGAUCUGACAAGCUGUCAGUUUCAACAUCCUUAGGUUCAGCUACGCGCUUAGUCCAAGUGAACAUGAGUUUGGCUAGCUUCCAAACCCAACAUUUUUGGAUUCAGGUACUCGAUAAGCCUAAGUGGACGUGGAUAUGACGAGUUGUCAAACCCAACACUCUUGGGUUCAGCAACUUGCUGAGCCUCUGGCAAGUUACCAGACCCCACACCCUUGGGUUCAACUACUUUCAGAGCCCAAACGAAUAUGGAUCUAGCGAGCUACUAAAUCCACCGCUCUUGGACUUGGCAUUGUGCCAAGCCAAAGUGGGUUUGGGUAUGGCGAUCAUUAAAGGCCCCAUGUUAGGCUACAAGGUUUUAUUUGUUUAUUCUUGUGACUUUUAAUAUAAAAUGUUAAAGUUAAGGAUAUUUAUCUUCCUAUAUCCCUAGGUAUAUAAAAAAUUUCUAAAGACCUAUCAUAUUUCCAUUGCCAUUUAUAUUUUGUAAUGGAUAUGUAUCCCUCAUUAAUAUUGUGCAAGGGGUAAUUGUUCAUCACUUAAUGUUUUGUAAGAGAUAUUUAUCUUUUAUUAAUGCUAUAAGAAAUAAAUGACUUUCCAGCCCCUCAACUCCAUCAAAAUAACAAGGUUCAGGGGUUAUAAAUACUCCUUGAACCAUAUAGGUAAAGGGUUUACGAUCUUCAUUUUUUAUUGUAUAUAUAUUUUUUAAUUAUUUGUUUACAUAAUCUCAUUGUUAAAUUAUUUUUUAAUUAUUUAAAAUAGAUAAAGGAAAAAUCAAAGUAUAUAAAUUGAAAGAUUGAUAACCAAGAAAAGAGUUUUUUUUUUUUAAAUUGUUAUUGAAUUAAGCAUGAUCAGAAUUUGUCAAAUAACCAUUUAAUUACUUUUAAUACUAAAAGGAUUAGUUAAUUUAAGAAAAAUUAGCAACCCCUGAAACACUAUUUAAUUCAUUUAGGAAAUCAAUAUUUUCAUGUUCCUAUUUUUAUAGCAUGUUCCGAGCAUGUUUUUGCAAGGGAGCUCUCCUUGCGUGGAGAUAUUUGCAAAUGAAUAACUCAGCCCUCAGUUCCAUAUAUACUUUCUGAGAAAAUGAAGAUUGGUUUUCUUUGUUGAUGCUGAGAAAGACUAUUUGGGUUGCUACACAUUACCAACCAAGUACUCAGGAAGGUUGAUAGGAACUUUUGGAUAAUUAAAAAAGAUUUUUUUAUUUUUUUAAUAAAAAAUAAACAUUGUCAUGUUUCUAACUUGCUUUUAUAUUAUUUUGAUGUAAUAAUGAAAGAAAUAUAGUUACCACAAAACAAGCUACAAAGAAAGUUCUAAUUAGCAGAUAGACUUGCUGCACAUCACUCACAUAGACUUGAUCUCAACAUAUAUGUUAAUUUCGGAAAUUAAUUAAUAUUGCCAUGAUUCCAACACUCAGUACUCUUUUUUGGGUCGUGAAAAACUAUAUAUAAGUGUGCAAAGUCAUUAGUGCUUGGCGUAAUUAUUACUUUGCCUUGCUUUCCUCUGGUCUAGCAACAACUACUUAGGAAGGUUGAUAGGUUGAUGGGAAUAUAUACAUAUUUUUGCUUUUUUGUUUUAAUUUUUAAAUCCUGAAAGAGGUACGUAUUAUUCUCACUCAAUUUAUCAGUAUAUCAAUGUUUUCCAUAAAUUAAUAUAUAUUGCCUUUCCUUUAUUUCUAUGGGGUUUUCACUGUGCCUCUCUCAAUUUCUCUCUUUCAUUUUGUUUCUCUUCCAUUAUCCUCAAAUUACUCUUCUUCCUCCUCCUCUUCUUCUCAUUUGUGUGCUCAGCAUACCAAAGUCUUUCUCUCCCUCCAUUCAAACAAUCGUAAUUUUCCAUCAGUGGUUCUGCUUUCAACACAUAUAUUCAAAUUUAUAAUUGAUAUAAAAUCAAAAAAUGCAUGCAUACUAAUAUUAAAAUUAACUAUGCUUAAAUUAAAACAAGUAUAUAAAUUGAAAGAAUGAUAAGCAAGAAAAUUAUUUUUAUAAAACAACAUAUCACUAAAUUAAGCAUAAUUAGGAAAUCAAUAUUAAUUUUUUAAAAUUUUAUUUUUUUUUGAGUUUUAUGCAUCAAUAUUUUAUUAUUUUUUUGUAUUUGCUUUUUGUGAAAUUUUUCUAUGGUUUUGAAAGUGACAAAGAUUAACUCCCAUUUUUUUAUUUCGAUCUUCAUUGAAUCUAGCUUUUAAAAAUAAAUUUUGUUUUUAAUUAAAUUAAAUUAAAUUAAUUACAAUGAGAGGAAGCAAAUUUUGUUCAAACAAGAUAUUGCCAGAACGUGGACAUAAGAAGGUGAGGAUGACUCUUUAACUCUGCAUGCCCACUUGUGGCUUAUUAAGAAGUUUUCUUCCGAUUUUGUGGCUUUGAAUUUCUUGGAAAUUACAUUUUAGUGGGCAAAGCAAUCUUCGCAUAAAUCUCAUUGCUAAAUACAAUUUGGAAAAACAUCUCUGAACAUUCAAAUUAACCUGUCACGAUUGCUUUGCGUAAUUUUUACUUUGCCAAGAAACUGUUAUACUUUAGGGUCAGGAGAAACGAGAUAUAAGUGCAAAGUCAUUGCUUUCACUCUACUAUUGCUCUCACUCUCUUGUCUUUGUCUCCAUUUAUAGGAGAAAUUAAUGAGAGUGUUGGCAGCAACCAACAAAUACCAAACAACUACUAAUUAUUAUAAAUAUUGUAGCUGACUUUAGUGUAUUUGUUAUAAGUGAUUGUGGUUGAAAAAUGUUGACAUAAAUCUGCUACAAUUAGUACUGCCGUACGUGUUUCCAACGCUCACUCUUCUGUGGAACCAUAUUCAGCACCUAAUGAAGGGUGGACAAUUUCUAGACAUCCAAGUUGAUGCUGAAAGAGAAAGACCUUUUAGGACGACCAAUCCCACAGCAUUUUGAGUGCAAGAACCUUCAAACUCCAUUAAUUCUCCAUUGUUUGUCAGUUUUCUAGUAACGAUUCAAUAAAGCUAUUGCCAGAACGUGUUAUUGACUGUAAACUGGAUUGAAGUGGACAUAAGAAGGUGAGGAUGACUCUUUUUUCAGUUAUUUGGUUUGCAAGAUUUUUAUUCACAGAUUUUUUUCUUCACCAAUUGAGCGUCAACAAUGAGUAUCACUCAAACGAGAAAAAAUAUAUAUUCACAGCAACAAGAAUGGAUACAUAAUCUCAUGUAGGUGCUAACGAGACUUGCAAAGGAAUGAUUGGAUGAAAGCAAAUUGAGUGGGAGAAAAUUUAACGAAUCCCAAUAAAAUGACACAUAAACACUCUCUCUCACACACACAAUCAUCAACUUAUUAUCCCCAAAGCACCCACUAAGCGUCUCUUUUACAAAAUCAUACACUACAACUAACACAAGGUGGCUAAGGAUAUGGAUUACAGUAAAUUUCAACGAGAUUAUCUCACAUUAUUGUAUGUAGAAAAAGCAAAAUCAAAAUCCUUUUAAAAAAAUUAAAUCAUGAACACUAGAAUAAGAACAAACAAUCAUAAAAUCAAAACAACAACAAAACGAAGAAAUAAACUAACAAAUCAGCCUCAAUGUUAACAUCCAAGUAGCAGAAACAUAUCCAAAGUAACCAACCAACCAGCAGAAUUAUAAUAAAUAAAUAAAUAAAUAAGCAAACAAAUAAAUAAAUAAAGAACAAACAUAAGAACAAGAAGAAGAAUGAGAUAAAUGAUAUUUUAUUAAGAGUUUUCUCUAAAGAUACACUUUUCUAGCUCUUCUCUAUAUCUUUCUCAACUUUUUUUUAAUGUUUAAGAUUACAAUCCAUCUCCCAAGCAAAUAUCUUGGCAUGCCACUAGGAACCAAUCCAUCUCGUAUCUCUACAUGGAAGCCGGUGAUAGAGAAGUUUCGUAAAAGGCUUCUUAUGUGGAAAGGGAGAUUACUAAGCAUGGUUGGUCGUGUAUGUCUCAUUAAAAGUGUCCUUAAUUCCCUGUCUAUAUAUUUUAUGUCUGUAUUCAAGAUGCCAAAAGGGGUAGGCAGGCUUCUUUCAUCCAUCCAAAGACGUUUCUUGUGGUGUGGAUGUACCAAGCAAAGAUCUUUCUGCAAGAUCCAAUGGAGACUAGUGAUGCGCAAUAAGAAACAAGGAGGCCUUGGUGUAGGCUCCCUUAUAUCGAAAAACAGAGCCCUGCUGCUAAAAUGGAUUUGGAGACUCUCUUUCCCAGGUACAAGUUUAUGGAAAAUGAUUAUCUCUUCGAUGUACAAUCUAGCUUAUGAGAAUGGGAUCCCAAUUUUCUACAACCAACCCUCCAAGAUCUGGAAGGAUAUUAUGUCCAUUGUUCAAACCGACGUUCACCAUGUCUUCACGAAUCAUUCCAAAUUCAUGGUGGGGAAUGGCAGUUUAACAUCCUUUUGGCUAGACAACUGGAUUGGUGACUACCCUCUCAAAACAGCCUUCGCUAGGCUAUAUCUUUUAUCUUCCUCUAAAUCUGCUUUGGUGGUUGACAUGGGUAGAUGGAGCAAUGGAAUCUGGCUCUGGUCUCUACAAUGACGCAGACCUCUAUUUCAUUUUGAGCAAGAACAACUAUCACUUUUAUCAACCUUGCUGGAAUCCAAGCCAAUGUUCUGCCACAAGAUGGAUAAGAAAAUCUGGACCCUCAACAACGAUGGCCUCUUCAGUGUAAAAUCUUGCUCCAAAAUGAUGGACCAGCUGCUCUACGGUGGUGCCAAACCAUUCCAAUCUUCUAUUUGGAUAAAACUAACCCCACCAAAAGUGCAACUUUUUCUUUGGCUCCUUGUCCAAGACAAAGUAACCACAAGAGAUUUUCUAUUUCAACAUGACUACCUCACCCUUCAGGAGUCAAGAUGCGCUUUCUGCAAUAAAAGCUUGGAAUCUUCAAGUCACCUCUUCAUUCACUGCCACUUCACUUGGAAUAUAUGGAUGAAACUGCUUUCUAAUCGGGGCUUUUGCAGUGUUUUUCCAAAAUCUGUUGAUGACAUGUGCUACCAAUGGUCUUCUAUGGUUAAAGGCAAGCAGCAGAAUCUCUCAUGGCAGCUUCUUUUCUCAUGCGUUGUUUGGAAUCUUUGGCUUCACCGAAAUGAUGUUAUUUUUAAUGACGCUGCCCCUAACUUUCAAAUUUGUUUUUUCAUGGUGCGCCAAAGUAUUGCUUUAUGGCUGAGGCUUGAUUCCAACUCUUUAGAGCUUAAUAUAGAGAAUGUUUAGUCGGGAGAAGUUGGUUUCUUAUGAUUUGUUUGUUCCCCCAUUUGUUGCUCUCCCCUGUUUCAUGCAACAGUUUUUGUGCUUUCCUUUUCUUUAUUUGUUCAUCUGAUGUAAGUUAGGCUAUUAUCUUUGUAGCCUUUUUUCUUAAUAAAAUUCCGACUAUUAACCAAAAAAAAAAAGAUUACAAGUCUAUUUAUAGGCUUAAAGUCCUAGCUAAUUAGGAAAUUAAACUAUUUAAAAGAAAUCCUAAUCUAAUAAGAAAUCUAAUAUUCUAAUUAGACAAGGAUUAUAAUAAAUUAAUUUAUUAUAAAUCAUUCCAUCAAAAAUUUCUAUUUUAUCUAAUAUUAAAAUUAUAAAUCUUAGUUGAUAUUGAAUUUCAAACAUGUCAGUGAAUUAAGGGAGCUCUUCUUGAUAGGAACCUUACAUAUUGCAUAUUUCCAUCGGUUUUUAUUCUUACUUUAUUUUUAUAAUCAUUAAAUCCUGAAAAAGGUAUUGUUCAUAUUGUGUUUCUGUAGCGUUUAAUGCUUCUCCCGGUGACUUUGAUUUCGACAGUAUACAAUCUCAGACUGGUUUGUCUAUAAAUACUACUAAUAAUGCCUUUCUCUUUACUUCUCAUCCUUAAUUCCCAGUUAUACUUUGAAUCCUCAAAGGCGGCCAUGGGGUGUUCACCACUGUCCCUCUCUCAAUCUUUCUCUUUCUUUCUGUUUGUCUUCCAUUUCCAUUCUACAAUUUCAUCUCCACUCUCCUCAAAUUACUCCUCCUCCUCCUCCUCCUCUUCUUCUCAUUUGUGUGCUCAUCACCAAUCUCUUUCUCUCCUUCAAUUCAAACAAUCAUUCUCCAUUAAUAGUUCUGCUUCAUCGGACUACUACAAUUGUCAGUAUCCCUUUCCAAAAACAGAGUCAUGGAAAGACGGUACAGACUGCUGCUUGUGGAAUGGGGUCUCUUGUGACCUGAAAACCGGGCAUGUCACUGGACUGAACCUCUCUUGCAGCAUGCUUCACGGAACCCUGCAUUCUAAUAAUUCUCUCUUCUCUCUCCAUCAUCUUCAAAAGCUCGACCUCUCUUUCAAUGAUUUCAACACCUCCCAUAUUUCUUCUGGAUUUGGCCAGUUCUCCAAUCUGACGCUUCUUAACCUUAGUGGUUCAGAUCUUGCAGGCCAAGUUCCAUUGGAAAUCUCUCAACUCUCCAAAUUGGUUUCACUUGAUCUCUCUGAUAAUGACAAUUUGAGUCUACAACCAAUUUCUUUUGACAAGCUUGUUCGAAACCUAACCAAGCUUAGAGAACUCCAUCUGAGUUGGGUAAACAUGUCACUAGUUGUUCCCGAUUCCUUGAUGAAUCUGUCUUCUUCUCUGUCAUCACUCAAACUCAUUGGCUGUGGAUUGCAAGGAAAACUCCCAUCCUCGAUGGGGAAAUUUAAGCACCUGCAGUACUUGGAUCUUGGAAGGAACAGUCUUACUGGUUCAAUUCCAUAUGAUUUUGAGCAACUCACUGAGUUGGUUUCACUUGAUUUCUCUUGGAACAACUAUUUGAAUCUAGAACCAAUUUCAUUUGACAAGCUUGUUCGAAACCUAACCAAGCUUAGAGAACUUGAUUUGAGCUCUGUAAAUAUGUCUUUGGUUGCACCUAAUUCCUUGACCAAUUUGUCCUCUUCUUUGUCAUAUCUUUCGCUCCUUGGUUGUGGAUUGCAGGGGAAAUUCCCGGGUAACAUCUUUCACCUCCCAAACCUUGAAUCACUGGAUCUGUCAUACAACCAAGGCCUCGCUGGCUCUUUUCCUUCGUCCAAUUUGAGUAAUGUCCUCUCUCGGUUGUAUCUUUCUAAUACAAGAAUUUCAGUUUAUUUAGAAAACGACUUAAUCAGUAAUCUAAAGUCAUUAGAAUAUAUGUCUCUUCGUGAUUGUAACAUUAUAAGGUCAGAUCUAGCCCCGCUUGCUAAUCUCACACGGCUCGUUUAUUUAGACCUCUCAAGUAAUAAUUUGACCGGUGAGAUCCCAUCGUCACUUGGAAACCUUGUACACCUUCAAUACUUGAUUCUCUAUUCCAAUAAUUUUAUGGGUCAAGUUCCAGAUUCUUUGGCUAACCUAGUUAAUCUUUCAUAUUUAGAUUUAUCAAAUAAUCAACUAGGAGGACCUAUCCAUUCUCAAUUAAAAACCCUUUCAAAUCUAUUGGGUCUAAGUUUAUAUGGUAACUUGUUCAAUGGAACAAUACCAUCCUUUUUGUUUGCUCUUCCUUCUUUGUAUUAUCUUGACCUUCAUGACAAUAAUCUCAUAGGGAAUAUAAGUGAACUCCAACACUAUUCAUUGAUUUACCUUGAUUUGAGCAAUAACCACUUGCAUGGUACAAUCCCAAGUUCGAUUUUCAAACAAAAGAACUUGGAAGUCCUUAUUCUUGCGUCCACUAGUAAAUUGACAGGUGAGAUUACUUCUUCUAUUUGCAAGCUGAGAUUCCUUAUACUCCUGGACUUGUCCAACAACAGCUUGAGUGGUUCUACGCCACUAUGUUUGGGGAACUUCAGCAACUCGCUCUCAGUAUUGCAUCUAGGCAUGAACAAACUUCAAGGCAUUAUCCCUUCAACAUUUACAAAGGAUAAUAGCUUGGAAUAUCUCAACCUCAAUGGAAAUGAAUUCGAAGGGAAAAUACCAUCGUCUAUCAACAACUGUGCAAUGUUGGAAGUUCUUGAUCUUGGCAACAAUAAGAUUGAGGAUACAUUUCCCUACUUUCUAGAAAAGCUUCCAAAGCUGCAAAUUCUUGUCCUAAAAUCCAAUAAACUCCAAGGUUUUGUGAAGGGUCCAACUGCACAUAAUUCCUUCUCUACAUUACGGAUUCUUGACAUCUCUGACAAUGAUUUUAGUGGGUCAUUGCCAACUGGGUAUUUCAAUAGUCUUGAAGCAAUGAUGGCCUCGGAUCAAAACAUGAUUUACAUGAAUGCAACAAGUUACUCUAGCUAUGUCUAUUCCAUAGAUUUGACAUGAAAAGGUGUAGAAAUUGAGUUUCCAAAGAUACAAAGUACCAUCAGAGUACUUGAUUUGUCAAAUAACAAUUUCACCGGAGAGAUUCCAAAAGUGAUCGGAAAGCUUAAAGCACUCCAACAGCUCAACCUUUCUCAUAAUUCCCUUACAGGUCAUAUCCAAUCAUCAUUGGGAAUUUUGACUAAUUUGGAGUCAUUAGAUCUAUCUUCAAAUUUACUUACCGGAAGGAUUCCAAUGCAGCUGGAGGGUCUAACAUUUCUUGCCAUCCUAAACCUUUCACAUAACCAGUUCGAGGGGCGUAUACCAAGUGGAGAGCAGUUCAACACCUUUACUGCAACCUCAUUUGAAGGAAACUUGGGUUUAUGUGGAUUUCAAGUACUAAAAGAAUGCUACGGUGAUGAGGCACCAUCAUUGCUGCCAUCAAGCUUUGAUGAAGGAGAUGAUUCAACAUUGUUUGGAGAUGGAUUUGGAUGGAAAGCUGUGGCAAUGGGGUAUGGAUGUGGGUUUGUGUUUGGAGUUGCAACAGGAUACGUUGUGUUUAGAACAAAAAAACCUUCAUGGUUUUUUAGGAUGGUUGAAGAUAAAUGGAAUCUCAACAACAAAAAAACAAAGAAGAAUGUUGCCAGAUAUGGUGCUAGAAGAAACUAAAUAAUGCAAUUGAUAUUUUCAAGUAAGUUUUGCAAGCAUUUGAGUUUUCAAAUUUUAUGUUCAUAGUUUAUGUUAGGCUAUAUUUUCUCCACAAUUUAUUUGAUCAGUCUUACCUUUCUAAUUUUGCAGAACAAACAAGAUAUCAAGUGGAUUUGACAUUGAAACAACACCAGGGUGGCAGAUUCAUGGUAUUGGAUUCCCUUUACUUUCUUUCUUCUUCUUCUUCUUUUUCAUUCAAGGUUAAUUAGGUGUUACUUCUAUGAAAAAGAUUCCAUGUAUGCAAGCAAUAGUUUGUGUUAACUAUAAAAUCAUUUAUGUUUUGGGUCCUUUUUUAUGCGUUCAUUUCCUUAUUCUUGAUCACUUAAAUCAAUCCCCCUUUCUUGGAGUAUUGUAAAUUUUAUGAACAGAUUUAUAAGAAUUAAAACAAUUCUGUUCUCACAACAGCAGCAAUAUUCGCAAGCAAAAUAGAAUAAUUUUGAUAUCUUCUAAGUCAUUCAUGACUACUAAAAAGUGUAACAAACAGAGUCAAAUCAUCAACAAAAUCAGUCAACAUUGGUGAUUGGCAAGUUUAUAUCUAAAGCAAAAGAAAAGAUAUGUAUUAAUACCAUGUUAAGAGCUCUAUGCUACAGCGAAUCUGCAAUUUUGAGUCACCUAAAAACAACAUAUUCUACUUUGAACAUUUCAGAAUAGGGAAAACAUUAAAAUAAUUUAAAAUACAAUUUCUCUUGGCCUCAUAUUAAGAAAAAACAGAUGAAUAUUUCAAAUUUCAAGGGUCCUGAUUAUCCGACUGAAGAUUCAAGAUUUGAGAUACUAUGAGUUUAGAGAGCUCAUUAGUUGUGGCUUGAACCUGAUAGUCAUCUGACUGCCUGGCCACCCAGGUGAAUGUGAGCUUGACCUACUGUACUCAUUUGCAGCAACCGUAGUCUUAGUUGAUGUGCCAAGAACUCCCUGCAAGUCUGACUCAGACAAUGGCCUUGGUGCCUGAGAAAGAAUCACGAUGUAGAAACUCAAUAAAGGAUUAAAAAAAUCCACAGCAAGCUCAAACAAUGGAAAGAUAAAAUCCUCCAGAUAAUAUUUUUGACACCAAUAGCUAUCCCUUUUAGUCCAUAACAACAAUUUGUUUAAUUUCUUCUAGUUCUCAUGAGGAACCAUACUAUCUUCUAUCCAUUGCAAUGGAAGUCAUUGGUUUUGGAUAGAACACAACAGGCAACAAUUACAAAAACUUUUCCAUGACACCCUCAGGCAUGCAUGGGAUUUUUAUGCAAAUAUUACAAAUCAAUAAAAAUACCUUUAAGAAUUAGCUGGGAUUAUAACAAAUCACAGAUGAGAACCAGUGUAGCCCUCACACAAACUUGUUAUGCAAUCAAAGUCAAUUUUGCUUUUGAUCUUCUCCCCUUUCAAAACAACCUUCAGGAUCUCAGUAUCCCAAUUUCAAAGGCCUAAGGAAGACGUUGGAGGAUUGCUUCAUUGAGUUCUGAAGUUCAGUUGGUUGCAGCAAGUACCAUCACUUGUGCAUUCUCUGUAAGAAUAUUAUCACUGAGUCUUGCCAAGCCAGGCCCAUGAAUAAAUCACACUUUCACAAAUCUUACAUGAAAGGGAUUCUAGCAAGUCACUGCAUUUAAAGACUACACAAAUGCAGCACUUGUUUCAAGAGUAAGAACUCACGAUCUGUAGUCAACACAUCCCAUAAUGCCAUGAACUUAGGUUUCAUGCCUCAUGAUUUGUAGUACGACCCUAACCCGGAAAACUAUCAACCUCUUCAAUAAUAUAAAAGCAGGCUGGAGUUUAUAAGCCAGGCUAAAAACAACAGCAACUGCAAUAGCAUAGAAAAGAAUCAACACCAAUCAGAUUAUGAAAACUUCGAUAGGAGCAAAAAAGUAACUACGCAAACUUAGUUAAUUACUUCUAAAUCUGUUUCUAGUCAGCACCGAACCAACAAGAUUUGCAUGGAUUCAGAUGCAGAAAAGAAUAUAAUGAGGGAUGGUUUCAACACAAAGAUGUAGUUGCUAAAUACAGUAAUGACCACUUUCACAAUUGCCAGAAUGUAUGCUAUUCAGUUACUUUUGUUAUAUCCCUAAUGUAGGAUACAUAGAAAUACCACACAACAACAAAAAUACCAAAAUUGUGAUCAUUUCGCAAUCUCAUUCAUCAGAGGAAGAUCCAUUAGAUAAGGAAGCCACAGUGCCCAGUUUUUUAAAGUUAAUAGAGCAUCCAACAAAAUCUUGCUGCUAAUAAAUAUCUUCAAGAAGGACAAGUUAGGAAUGUUCAAUCUUAGUUAAGAAUGUUCACAAAGUACUACCUUGCUUCAAUUAUCAGAGAGGUCCAUAUAACAAUACACCCUUUUGUGGACCAAGAAGUUUUUUGUGUGUGAAGAGCUCAGGUUUCCGCAGAUGAAGAAUCACCAGUUCAUACAAAGCUUGCUUGAUAGAUUCCAAUCCUCCAAUUGAUUCAAAUUCCACAUCUAUGUGAUCUGAUUUAUAACAUCACAUGCUAUGACAUCCUGUUCAAAAAUAAAAAUACACAAUUGCAGCAUAUUAAUAAACCAUUAAACCGGCCAUAAAUCCUAAAGCCUCUAUUCCAAUCAAUUAUAUUUUCAACAUGAGAACAUGGCCACAUUGGAUAGUGUUUAGAACAUAGGCUUGAUUGUUACAAAGCAGUUUAAAUCUUCCACAAAGUAAUUGCAAUCAGAAGGUUUCAUAAUUGAAAAGUUAUAGCCAUCAUAUUGGUUCAAGGCUAAGUCUUCAAAUUUAAUUUCUUCCAACUAUGAACCUUAACCCAGUCAGUCACGCAGGAGGCUAUUACUGAACAUAGUAGCCAUCAGCAUUCACGAAGUAACAUUUUCAAAAAGGUGAACUCGCAUAACUGUAACUAAUCAUGUGCCAUUAGUUUAUUAUAUAACAGAGACUCAAAUCUACUCCAUAUGAUGGAUAUUUUCAUGUAUUCAGUUGACAUUAGAAACUCUAAGUAUUUGUUGCGUGGUAGCAAUCAACAAAUUAUGGACAGCCUAGAAAACAAAUGGCGCGUUUGAAGACACCAGGAAAUAUUAUAACUGUCUAUGGUUGUAUAAACAAUGACAACAGAGCUAUAACACCAACCCAAAACAACUCCUUCCAUCCAACAAAACUUGAAAUUUAAUCAUAUCCCAUUCGGCAUGAGCAAUCACUCCCCAACAUUCCGAAAACUAAUCGAAACACCUAUCUUCACCAAAACACCUCGAUCCCCCAAUCACUGUUCCCUCCAUUAACCCACCAAACCACACACAUCCCUCAUUGCAGUCUUAACCUCAUGGUCCUCAUCCCAUUAUCAUAGAAAAUUCAAACCUCUUGCAAGUAAAUGACAAUUCAAUCAUGCUAUAACAUCAACCCUAAGGCCUAAACUCCAGCGCUCCAGUACAAAAGCUCAAUAUACAACUCAAUCAGAAAUGAACUUAGUUUCUACCAACACAAAACAACUUCAUUCAUCACAACAGAACUGGAAACUCAAACACACCCCAUUCGGCACAAGGAAUCACUCCCCCACAUUCCAAAAACUAAUUAAAUUACCUAUCUUCACUAAAAAAACCCAAAUCCCCCAAUCCCUAUUCCCUACAAUAACCCACUGGACCAACAGGAUCCCUCAUCACAAUCUUAAUCCCAUAGCCCCCAUCUCCAUUGUCAUACAAGAAUUCGAACUUUUCAGCCACAAGAGGCCUAAACUCCAACCCACCAGUUCAAAAGUUCAACAAACAACUCAAUCUGAAAUGAACUUAGUUUCGACUACAACAAAGCAACUCCAUUCAUCCCAGCAAAACUGGAAACUUAAUCCCAUUCCAUUCGGCACAAGCAGUCACUCCCCCAUAUCCCAAACACCGAUUAAAGCACCUAUCUACACUAAAACACCCAAAUCUCCCCAAUUCCUUUUCCCUACAAUAAACCACCCACAUCCCUCAUUGCAAUAUCAACCUCAACCCCACUAUCACACACAAAAUUCAAACUUUUGCAGAUAAAUGACAAUUCAAGCACAUAAUAAAACCAAUAGCACUUAAUAAAAACAGAGCCUAUAUGCCAUUAACUAACCCUAUAAUCCAAAUUCACAAAAUUCUUCGUUCCAUUAUCUAACCAUAUAACCAAAAUUCACAGAAUCCUCCAAAAAACAAUAAACCAAAACAAACCCUAUAUUCCAUUAAUUACCCCCAUAACCAAGAUUCACAGAAUCCUUCAAAAAUUAUAAAAAAAAAAAAAAAAAAAACUCAAAAAAAAAAUGCAAAAAAAACAGAAACUUUGACACACACCUCAUAAGGGUUUGUUUGGAUAAGGGGACGAUCCAAAUGCUUGGCGAUUUCCUUCUUAUGUUCAAGGGCUUUCUUUGAUGCUUCACGAUUUAGGUCAAGUUUCCUGAGCCCAGCAAACAAUACCAAACAACUUAAAGCUGCACUUGCUGCAUUUAACACUAGUUCUUGCAAAAAACUUGGUUUCUGAAGAACCCCUAAUAGAUGAUAUUAAGGUUUUUACGUAAAAAAUAAUAAAGGAAAAAGGUAUAAGAUUUAUUGAAGUUAUAUUGUGUUUGAUAGUCUUUUUAUUGUUUUUAAGCUUUGGGAGUUCUUGGGGAAUAAAGAAGGAGGAGGGGGGUGAGGGGUUUCUGGAUUUUGUAUGUGUGUUUAAAGUAGAAUAAUGUCCUUGGUUUGGAGUUCUUUUUGGGUGGUCUGUUGGGGUUGUGUUGGAAAUUUAUCUGCUGGUGGACUUGGUGGUGGUAGUAGUUAGGGUUUGGGCUAUGAUGAGUGGUUAGGGUUGGGCUGGGAAAGGACUGGCUAAAUUUUGGGGUGAAGUCUUAUUAAAGCUAUAAGCCCUAUUUCUAUUUCUAGACUUAAUGAAGUUUUUUUAAAAGCCAAUAAUAAUAAUAAUAAUUUAAGGCAAAUUUAAUUUUAAUCAAUGAGGCUAUAUUUUUCAAGUCCAAUUAAAUGUAUAUUAUUUAUGGUAUAGAAGAUUUUCUAGAAUUCCAUAGAAAUCAGAUUAUAAGACGCUCCACACUUAUAGUCAGCAAUUGACAAUAGUCCCUUUGGUUUUUUGUCAAUGUGAUUAUUUUUUUAACAAAGCAAUCCAAUCGAGCCCACCUAGAAUUAAAACUAAAACUCACCGUCCCUUUCAAAAUUGAGUUCCAGUAAAAGGUAAAAAGAAAGUGCAAUGGAUGAAAUUCACCGUCCCUUUCAAAAUUGAGUUCUUACUCCCAAAAAGUAAGUGUAAAAUGGCGUAAUUUAUUUGUAACAAGCUAUUAAACUCCGUCAACGGAUUGAUCUCACAACGAUUAAUUCAUGUUAGGUGUUGAAAAAAAUCAAGUGAAAGUUAAAUAAUGUGAUUUAAAUGACCUGAUAAAUUAAAUCAUGAUCUAGUUGAUUCAUUCAAAAUCUAAGUUAAUUGAAAAAAAUUAAAACAAUAUCAUUUUAAUUGAUACAACUUCACUGAUAAUCUUAGAUUUUAUACUCAGUUUCAAUAACCAAGGAGUUGGAUUUUGCUGUCUAGAUGUAACUUCAUCAUCUUCUCUAGUUAGGCAGUGUUAGGAAACGCGGUUUCAACUGCGUUUCCUAAAAAAAUGAAUUCUUUUUAUUAAAAUUAUUUUUUUAUUAUAUUUUUAAAUCGUUUUGAUGUGCUAAUAUAAAAAAUAAUUUUUUAAAAAUAAAAAAAUAUUUUGAUGCAUAUCUAAGCAAAAUGCACUUUGAACCGCAACCACUGUCAUACUCUUAAACACUCCUUUCAUAACCACAAAUCUUAUGUUAGAGAAAAACAAAUAUCAUAAACAUUUCUCACCCAUAAUAAAAAUAACUUUUUUUUCUCAAAAAAAAUGCCAUAGAACUCUCUUCGUUUUAUUUAUAUCGACUAGUUAAUCAAAUCGAACAACACUUUGAUGCAUGUGCAUAGUUUAACGUACAAACUAGUAUAUUGACAUUGUAACGCUCCAUACUUUCAUAUGUAUUUAUAGUUACUUUCCUAUGAUUUGGUACGUAAAAAUAUAGGUAAAUUUUUUUAUACAGUUUUCAUAUAAAAGUCUAUCAAAAUUUCGGCAGAGUCUCUCCUAUACCAGGAGGUCCCAAGUUAUUGACAUAUAACAUGUUUACAAUUAUAAUAUCCCACAUCUCAUAACUUAAUCAUGACCCAGUCGUCAUGAGUUUCAAUCCUACAAACAUCAUCAUCAUCACAACCACAAUCUUUAUAACAUCCAUUGAACAACAAAUAUUGUGAAACCCUAGAAAUUUAUAAUUUAAAUAUGCAGAUGUGUAAACUUCCAUGUAAACGUAAGACUGAAAAUGGUAUGAUCUCAAUAAGUGAUGAAAACCAAGAUAAGAAAUAAUAGAUGAAUAAUGAUAUAUAAUGGAGGGGAUGGCCUCUAUAAAAUGAAUUUUGGUUUAGAAUUCAUAAGGAUAGAGAAACUGGUAACGCGUUUUGAUGGAUAAAAUAACGAGGAAAAUGAUAAAAUGUUUCUAAGGAAUAAGUGAGGUAAUAAAGAAUAAAUUAUAAUAAGGGAUAGUGCAAUGAAAAUUAUAGGACUGAAGGUGCAAGCACCGAUUAAAAAUCAGUGACAUUACUUUGAAACGAUAAUAAUACCCGAUAAAUAAAUAAAGGUGGAAAUUUUAAAAUGAAUAUAUUCCAAAAUAAUAAAAUGACCUUAGAGGUUUAGAAGGAUAAUUGAUAUAAUUUUAUGUGAAGAUUGAACAAGAAAAUUUGGAUCGUUGAUGAAAAUUCAUGAACUGACCAAUUUUACAUUAGAAAGCAGAGCUCUCAAUUCAAUUAUCGGAUCGGAAUGAAGUUUUGCAUGAAGUCUAUUAAUAUGUUUUCUUACCUUGGUUAAAGAUCUCAUCCUAAUCGGAGUUCGGUAAAUACUAGCGAUUUAAGUAGAAACAAGCCGAAUAGUGUACAUGAAAAAUAAAAUAAAAGACAUAAAGGCAUAAAUGAGGGACAAAAUUGUAAUUAGGGGUAAAUAUACCUUUAGAACAACAAAGAGGCCACCAAUUCAAAAAAACAAAAAGGUGAGAGACAAUAGAGAAAAUUCGGCUAGAGAGAGAAGUGCAGAAUUUGGAGGAGCUAAUAAUGCUCCGGUGGCCAUAUCUCUGGAAUACACUGUUGGAUUAUGCUGAUUUCUGGAUAUAUUGUUCUUCUCACACUCCUUUACUAACUGACUGGAGGGAUUUGAAGACACAUAAUCCGUUUGACAUAAAUCAUCAUCGUAAAUUUCCUGGAAAACAAAAGGAAAUACACCUGCAUGACAGUUUUGGUUGCCGACCGAUUUCUCUCUCUUCCACUGCUGGAUCAUGUUUAUUUUUGGAUAUGUGGUGCGCCUGAAUGUUGCCUUCAUUCUGGACGGUAGAGAUCGAAAACCCACUCUCCAGCAAAGUUUUAUUUAUGUUGAACAAUAGCUCGUCAAUAUUCAGGAGAAGCUGUAGGAACUGGACAAUUGCAUGGAGUAGCAGCACGUUCACAUACUCUAGAUAGGUGCAUCACACCUUAUCUUUUUAAAUUGUGUAAACUUAACAAUCGCACCUUGUCUUUUUAAAUUGUUUUCUGAACAUUUACAUUGUAAUUCACAGUGCAAAUAAUCUAUAUACACAGUACAAGUACAAUAAUUUUCUCAUAUAUUUUAAAAUAUAGUAUAAUAAUGCGCACAUUCUUUGAUUUAUAUUCAAUACUUAAAUCAUCAUUCCAUUCAUAGCGGGAAUAAUUUGCGGUACACUAAAUAAGGAACUUCUUUAUCAAGAAAUUUUAUACCUGCCUGCAUCUUUUUACUAUCCUUCUACCGCAUCAAUAAAUAUUUUAAUUAAAAUCGAUACACUUUCAAACAUUUAUCAUAAACAUAAUUUAUUUCUUGAAUUACUAUUUCGAGUUACAAUUCAAAAUAAACUCACAAUAAAUUCUUUAUUGUGUAUACGUUAAUUAAUCCAUAUAUGCAUUUAAAAUAUGAAAAAUGAUUUAACUUUAAUACAUAACAAAAUGUUUCAAACCUAGUUUUUUAUUUGAUUUAUUGUUUUAAUCUUAUCCAAUGAUAUUAGGUUGAAUGAGAAUUAAACUUUGUAAUUUGUCUUGAUUUGAUUUUUAUGGGGUUAUUUUGAUAUUAUAACUCGAGUUGUGGGUUUGAUAGGUUAGCAUAGAUUAUUUUUUUAGGUCCUUUUUUCAAUUGAUUUCUUCAAUUUUAUCCUUUAAUUUUUUGUUAAUGGGGAAUUCAACUUUAUAAUUUGUUUUGAUUUUUUUAUGUAGGGCUAUUUUCAUAACUCGAGUCAUGGAUGUGAUAUGUUAACUUGGUUUGACCUAAAUUAAUCUAAUAUAUUGUUAUUUUAAUAUUAAAUAUAUAUAUAUAUAUCUUCUUAAAUAUGUUUCUGAGUCAAACUAUGUUUUUACAAGUUAUCCAAAUUAUUUUUUAAUCUAUAAAGUCAACCUACUUACAUUGAAUACUGUUCUAAAAUGUUGGUCAAAAAAUUUAAAAAUGUUAACAGGUUAUUGAUUUAGGUCAACCGAAACAAUCCUGGCUUGACUUUUUUAGAUCUUUCUCAAGUAAAGAAUUAAUGAAUCAGCUAACUCAAAAGUCAACCUCUCUCAAGCAUGUCAAAUUUAAUUAAAAAAAAGUACUCGAUCGUAAUCAUAGCUUAUUAUUGCAUUUAUGCAUCACCACCCAUCAUGUAAUCUAUUAAGCAGCUAAAGAUGAAACAUAAUUUCCCACUGAAGGUGAUUUAAACGGAGAUAUUUAGUGCCUACACCUUUCAGCAAAAUUGUUGCCUUCUUGGAGGGUGUCUGUGGUGUUUGAUUUGGAAUCAUUUUUUAUGAGUUUUUGGUGCAAAAGAACGAAAGGUGAUUCCAAGGACGAUUGGGCUGACCAUCCAUAUAUGUCAAUUCAUAUCAAGUUAAACUUUUUACAUUACAUGUAACCAUAUAAUUGAAGAAUUAGGGUUCUUCAUUACCUCCACAACUCUAACUCGACUCAACCAUGUUCGGGAAACCAUUUUGAUAUACCAAUUAACUAGGAUGUGAUACUUGUAAUCCCUAAAAUCAGCAAUCCCUAAAAUACCAAUUAACUAGGAUGUGAUACUUGUAUGUGAUAUUUACAAGGUUAUUUCAAUGAGAUUUCAAAUGCUUGUAGUAUCCUUUCUUCUAUGAACUUUACAUAUAUUCUUGGAAAAAAGAAUAAGGUUACAUAUCAUUUGGACAAACAGGAGUUCAAUUUAAAACAUAUUUAGUUGCUCUUUCUCUGCUUCAAUUCAAAAAAUCCUUUUCCAUUCAGAGUUCUCCUUUUUGGUUUGCUAGAAAUUAUCAAUAUGAUCAAUAUCCCAAGACAGAGUCAUGGAAAGAGGGUACAGACUGCUGCUUGUGACCUGAAAACCGGGCAAGUGACUGAACUAGACCUCUCUUUCAGCAUGCUUUACGGAACCCCGCAUUCCAAUAAUUCUCUCUUCUCUCUUCAUCAUCUUCAGAAGCUCGUCCUCUCUUACAGAUUUCAACUUCUCCAAUAUCUCUUCUCAAUUUGGCCAGUUUUCCAAUUUGAUGCAUCUUAACCUAACUCAUUCAGGUUUUGCAGGCCAAGUUCCUUUGGAAAUCUCUCAUCUCUCCAAAUUGGUUUCACUUGAUAUCUCAAACAAACAUCUAAGUCUAGAAACAAUCUCUUUUGACAAGAUUGUUCAAAACCUAACCAAGCUAAGAGUACUCACUUAGUUUGGCAAACAACGAAGGCCUCACUGGCUCUUUUCCUUCCUACAAUAUGAGUAAUGUCCUUUGGCAGUUGGUACUUUCUGAUACAAGAAUUUCAGUUUAUUUAGAAAAUGACUUCAUCAGUAAGCUCAAGUCGUUAGAAUAUAUGUUACUUCACAAUUGUGACAUUCGAAGGACAAAUGUAGCUCUGCUUGGUAAUCUCACACAGCUUAGAAUGUUAGACCUCUCAAAUAAUAAUUUGAGAGGAGAAAUCCCAUCAUCAUUUGAAAACCUUUCAAAUCUGGACAGUCUAUAUUUAUUUAGUAACUUGUUCAAUGGAACAAUACCAUCCUUUUUGUUUACUCUUCUUUCUUUAGGUUAUUUGGACCUUCAUAACAAUCAUUAAUUUCAUAGGCAAUAUAAGUGAAUUCCAACAUCGAUCAUUCGUUUGAAUACCUUGAUUUGAGCAAUAAUCACUUGCAUGGUUCAAUCCUAAGCUUAAUUUUCAAACAAGAGUAUUUGGAAGUCCUUAUUCUCGCGUCCAACAAUAAAUUGACAGGUGAGAUUUCUUAUUCUAUAUGCAUAUUAAGAAUUUUUCUUUACUUCGGUCAUCAAGAUUUUUUAUGAUUUAUUUUUAUUUUUAUUUUUAUUUUAUAUUUUAUAUUUUAUAUUUUUUUUAAUUUCAUCCUUCAAUAUUGGACUUACUGCAUAUUUAAUUUCAUAAUUUAUUUUAAUUUACUUUCUAUGAAGUUAUCUCGGUUUUAUAACCUGAGUUGUGAGUUUGAGGGGUUAGCCUUGUUGACUUGAGUUAAUUUUUUUUUAUCAUUUUUAAUUAUUAUUUUGUUUCUCAACUUCAUCAUUCAAUAUUAAAUUGAUUUGAAAUUGAGUUUCAUAAUUCUUUUUUGAUUUGUUUUCUACCGGGUUAUCAUGGUCUCAUGACUUGAGUCACGAGUUUUGCGGGUUAGCUAGAUUGAAUUGAGUUUUUUUUUUGUCUUUUUUAAUUGAAUAUUUAUUUUUCAAUUUCAUCCUUCAAUAUUGAAUUGAUUAAGAAUUGAACUUUAUAUUUUUUCUUUCUUUCUUUCUUUUUUUCUAUGGAAUUAUCCUAAUCAUAUGACUCAGGUUUGACAAGUUAACCUGAGUUAACUCGUGUUAUUUUUUAUCCUUUUUUUUUUUAAUUUAAUCAUUCAGCAUUGGGUUGAUUGAGGAUUGAACUUUAUAAAACAAAAUUAUUUUCUAUAAGGUUAUUAAGGUUUUAUGACCUAGAUCGUGGAUUAGACUAAGUUGACUUGAUUUUUUGUAAUUGAUUUUUUUUAAUAUUUAGUUGAUUGGAAAUUAGACUUUAUAAUUUAUUUUGGUUUGUGUUCUAUAAGGUUAUUUUGAUCUUAUGAUCCAAGAUAUGAGUUUGGUCAGUUGACCCGAGUCAUGAGUUUUUUGUGUCAUUUUUUAUUAUUUUUAAUCUCAUCUUUAAAAUUUUAAUUAAUUGAGAAUUGAGUUUCAUAAUUUAUUUUGAUAUCUUUUUAUAGAAUUAUUCUGAUCUUAUGAUUCAGGUUUGACAGAUAAAUAUGUGUUAAGUUGUUUUAUUUUUUUUAGUUAAAUUUUAUUUUUAAUUUUAUACUUUAACUUUGAAUUGAUGAAGAAUUGAAUUUAAUAUAUAUAUAUAUAUUAUUUAUUUUCUAUAAAAAUAUUAGGAUUUCAUGAUCUGAAAUAGUGGAUGUGUACAAGUAAAAAUUAGAUAACAUUUCAUACCUAUCUCGCAUUGAAAUGUAAAGAUUGAUACUGCUAUGCCACAUAAAUAUGUAACUUUUAUGCAAAUUUAAGAUAACCCCGCCAGAUAAAAUAUCUCAUUAAAUUAAUCCAUUAUCAAGCUUUAAAAUCUUAUAAAAAUCUUUACAUCUCAAUGAGAAGGUGGCCCCCACUUUGAAGACUCCAGACAUGUAAAAUUAAAGGGUAAACCUCAUUCUGGAUCUUAAGCUAUAUAUGUAUCUCAAUCAAGACCCUGAACAAUGUAUUUUAUCAAUUAGAUCCAAAAUAUGCCAUAUAUUUCUCAAUUGGGUAUUUUUCUCAAUUUGUUUUUUAGAUUCUUUCCAUAUAAUUUUACUGUUUUAUGCAAUGAAACUGGUUUAUUAAAGGAAAACUUAACAUUAAAAUUGAGACAAAAUGGAUAGAAGGAUCCAAUUGAGAAACCUCUGGAAUACUUUGGACAUAAUUGAUGACAUUAUUUGUUCUUAAACUUAAUUUAUAAUUAUCUUAUAGAUUUGUAGCUAUUGUUUAAUGUGAAUUGAAUUUUAGAUUUUUUGUGAUUUUGGGUUACUGUGUUUACUAAAAGUCAUGGAGUGGUGAGGGCAGAGGAAGAUGCUGAGAAAUCUAAGCAAGUAUUGAUUUUAUUCUUGUUUGAUGCAUGCUUUUGGCCGGGUAAACCAUUUCCCACCUGGACAUAUUAUUCUUGUCCUAGAAACAAUUCCUAAUGAUACCUGAGAACGAUCCUGUUUUCCACGCUUCUUUCUUCUCCCUCCUGCCAGAGAGUUGGUUUUUUUUCCAAAUUGCCGUAGAUUUCAUUAGAAUUCAGAAAAUUUGUAGAAAAGGUGUCUCGCUCUUACUGCACUCCUGACACUUUCUUUCGUGUGAUUAGGAUUAAACUACCCUGCAUCUAACUUUAUCUAUAGCUCAGAUUAAGGAGCUGACAACAUGGUUUAAGAUUUGGCAAAAACUCAAGAACUCAUGAGAGACUGAAAGAAGCUGCAAGAGAUAUUGAGCUGAGAUGGGUACCAUCAUAAUCUGUGAGUAAAUGAGUGACUAAAUCGAACCCCCAGCCAAUUAAUACAAUUAUCUGGAGAAUGUUGAAAGACAUGAUGAAGACCAGUACAUGAGGUCUCAUGGCUGUGGUUGUGUCAACAAGAGGUUCAACAAUGGAUAAACACCACUGGGGCAGGAUUUUACUAAUACAAUUAAUAAUGAUCAUGCUCCAUGUUCAAUCAAUCAAGGGUUAGAAUCAGGGUUUGAGCUGGUAAUUGGGAGCUUGAAUUCCAAACACCAAAUUCUGUUACCUCUUUCCAAAGGGGAGUAAGUGACAAAUGAAUUCAGGUGCUGGAGGCAUUCUAGACAAAUGUAAAGGAUUUGGUCUUGCAGAGAACUUGCAGCUAUCCAUUCAGGAGUUUAGAACAAAUCCAUUUUUGGUAAUAUUCUUCCCACCUUUGUUGCUACUAGGUAUAACUAUUAUAAGAAUAACAGAUGGGCCACUCUUUUUAGAUUUCUCGGGUGAUCUGGAAAAAUGAAACCAGCAACGCAUUCAGAGAGAGAAAAAUGCAUCUCUCAUGUGAAUUCAAGCAUCGAGCAAUGUCAGAAUUUAUGAGAAGCAGCACAAGGCUUGCAAGUAUACUUGCCUCCCUUUGGGAACUUGGCUAAGAUCCUCUGGCAUUUGUUUAUGAACCUCUUCCCUUCUCUCAUCCUCUUGUUUAUGAACAUAUACAAGGAAGAAUAGACAUAGCAUUACCUAUCUGGCAUUGAAAUAUAAGGUUUGAUCCUGCUAGGCUCCUUUUAAUAGAGGAUAUUCCUAGCUAUAUAUCUUCAAUUUUCUCAUACUAGGACUGAUAGUAAUUAGUGGCUGUUAUUGCCAAUGCUGAAGUGCUUGCAUGGAAUCUAAUCUGAUGCACUUAUCUAAUCACAAAUCUUGUAAACUUAUCCUGGAUAUAUAGGGGAAAAAAUAGAGUUUGAUUUUUAACAAUCUCAAAGUUAAAUUAUUUCAAUAAACUUGAUUUUAUCAAAAUAGAAUACUCCAUAUUAUAUUAAAGAUAAAGGAUAAUAUAGAGUAUUAAAAAGACUUAUAAUAUUUUGAUGUAAAACUAAACAUGAAUAAAAUUUCACUUAAUUUGUAGAUAUUAAGUUGCGUCUUUAGUAAUUAAUAAAUAAAGAUUCGCUAAUUUUUUUUAAAAAAAUUUAGAUAUAAUAUCUUACUAAAUUUAUAUGUUCUUGGACCUAAAGAGAAGCUGGGUCCAAAAACAUUUUGUCUAGCAUAUUGCUAUAUUUUUCUGAGCUUGAUUUCCUUUAAGUUUUUGUGUAUUUUUGUGUGUGUAGGUCAUUUUUCUCUAGACUCAUAUAUCAUUGGACCUUUCAAGUGAGUGGAUUUAAUCCAUACUAUGAUUGAAACAUUUAGUUUAAUAUUUUUUUUAUUGAUUUUUUUAAAUUUUGUUUUUAAAAUUUUAAUUGAUUGAAAAUUAAGUUUUAUAAUUUAUUUUGAUAUUUUUUUAUAUGAUUAUCUCAGUCUCAUGACUCAGAUUUGAUAGAUAAAUCUGUGUUGAGUUGCUUUAUUUUUUUAAAUGAAUUUUAUUUUUAAUUUUAUCUUUUAAUUUUAAAUUAAUACAGAAUUAAUUUUAAUAUAUAUAUAUAUAUAUAUAUAUAUAUAUAUAUAUAUAUAUAUAUAUUAGAAUUUCAUGAACAAAGAAAAAUUAGUUAACAUUUUAUGCCAUCUCGCAUUGAAAUGUAAGGAUAGAUCCUAUUAUAAAGAUAUGUAUUUUUUUUAUAAAACUUUAACAUAACCUGUCAAACUAUUAUUUUAUUAUUAUUAUUUUUAAUUAUUCUUUCAUAUUACAAAUUAAAAUUAUCUCAUCAAAUUAAUCCAUAAUCAAGUUUUGAAAUCUUAUAAAAACCCUUAUAUCUCAAAUAAAUACAAAUCUUAUAUCUUAUAAAAACCCUUAUAUCUCAAAUUAAUCCAUAAUCAAGUUUUGAAUUUCACCCAUCUGCUGGAAAAAAAAAGAAAAAAAAAAAAGAAAGAACUUGCCAUGGGAUCCGCCAUGCUUUUUCGUAUAUGUUAAUAAUUAAUUAAUGGUAAUAAUUGUUGUCGCUCAAGCAAGAUCAUGGUUUGUGAGCCAUCAAUGAGAAGGUGGGCCCCACUUUAAAGACUCCAGGCAUGUAAAUUACAGGGUAAACCUCAUUCUGGACCUUAAACUAUAUAUGUAUCUCAAUCAAGACCCUGAGCAAUGUAUUUUAUCAAUUAGAUCCACAUUACGCCAUAUAUUUCUCAAUUGGGUAUUUUUAUCAAUUUUUUUAAAAAUUAUUUCCAUAAACUUUUACUGUUUUAUGCAAUGAAACUGGUCUAUUAAAGGAAAAAUUAACAUUAAAAUUGAGAGAAAAUGGAUAGAAGGAUCCAAUUGAGAAAUCUCUGGAAUACUUUGGACAUAAUUGAUGAAAUUAUUUGUUCUUAAACUUAAUUUAUAAAUAUCUUAUACAUUUGUGGCUAAUGUCUUAUGUUUCCCACAAAUUGAAUGUGGACUUGGCAGAUAAAGAUUCAUCCCACAUAAAGUGGGGCCCAACUGAAUCAAUUAGCUGACGUGUCCUUGUCCAUUUGUCUUGUUAAUAGAUACCUCUUUAAAAAACCCCAUUAUUUUCCUUCAUUUUCCAGCAAUCCAAACAACCCUCAUAAGAAAAUUUGCCAAUGGCUUUUCUCUUGGGUUCGUUGAAAACAAGCCAUUAUCAUCAACAACUCCUACUACUUCACUAGCUUCUUCUUUGGUGAAUUCCACAAAGAUCCACUCCCCAAAAGUGUCUCUAAAGUCCAGUUUUUUAAUGCAAAAAACGUGAAAAUUAUUGAAACUUGAAGGAAAACAAAGAUCCCUUCGAUCCAUGGUGGAUACUCAGUGAAGAUGUCAUGGGAUGUUCCUCCUCCCUCUGUCAAAUUAAUCAUUAAUUAUUGUAACAAAUGUUUCGAUGUAACAGUUGACUGAUACAGUUAUAGAGCAUGUGGGGUACAAAGUGGGACAGGCAAUUCAGAAACGUUGUCAUCUUGUACGGGCAGUUGAUGUAAGGUUGUGUCUUAGAGGUGGAGAGAUGGAGAAAGGCCCAAGGAUUAGAAAGGUACCCUUCAAAUUAUGAAUUGAAUUUUAGAUUUUUUGUGAUUUUGGGUUACUGUGUUUACUAAAAGUCAUGGGGUGGUGAGGGCAGAGGAAGAUGCUGAGAAAUCUAAGCAAGUAUUGAUUUGGUGUCGUCAAUUAUUCAACAGGUUGAGGAAGAUUAAGGACAAGGAAUCCGAUCAUGGUAGACACAUGAAAGGAUUUAAUAAGUUGAAGGUCGGUUAGGAAGCAAUGUCACAAGUGGUGGGGAGUGAUGCAGAUACAGUUUCACAGCGAAAAGAUGACGACAAUCUUGAUGAGGUAGGGCUCUUUAACAUUUUUGUUCGCGGUUUAUUAUUUAUGUUGUCUUAGUUGUUUUGUAUGCAUUUAGUUACUAUCCAUAGCUUCAUAUCAUCUAAUGUAAGUCUUAUGUAUUCUUGUGAGUUCAUUAAUAUAGACUUGUAGUGAAUAGUUCAUUAAUAUCCAACAAGGGCUUUCCCCAUAGCACCAUUUGGCGAUUACUACGCACAUGUAAUUUGCAGAUGAUUUAGCAUCAUAACUUGUGAACUGUAGCGAAUACCUUAUCGGUUCUCUUAGAUAGAUAUUUAUGGACUGUUGCAAAAGGAAACCGCAUUACCGUCUUCAUCUUUCCAAAUCAUGGCUUGGCACUCAAAGUUCUUCUCUACAUCUGGGUGUCAAUGUAAAAUGAAACUAGAGAAAGGAUAUUUUCUAUUACGUUUAAGUUUGAUGCGUGCGUUUUGGCUAGUUAAACCAUUGGCCACCCGGACAUAUUGUCGUUGUCUGCCAUAGACUAUUUAUCUCCACCAUCUUCAGGUUGUUCGAACAGGUUACUUUGACAUGCCACCUCUGACUGUAGAUGAAGCAAUUGAGCAGCUGGAAAAUGUAGAUCAUGCCUUCUAUGGUUUCAGGAAUGAAGAAACUGGUACGAAUUUAUGGUUCUUGAGUCAAUUUCUUUGCACUGAUCCUCUAUGUUCUGUUAUGUAGGCGCUAAACUGGUGGAUGCUUAAUUUGAGAUGAUAUUAAUAUUGUCUACUAAAAACAAGCUGGAGGUAUGGUCUCAUUAUACCUAAAGAAAAUGGCAGUGCAGGACAAUUAGAGCUGUUGGUGGUGGAACCAGCUAGAGAACCAUCACUAGCAGAAUAACCAGGCCAUGCAAAAGAGGAUCCUUUCAUGAAAUAGAUUAGAAAACCCACUUGUCCCAUUAUCAUCAACAAUUCCUACUACUUCACUGGCUUCUUCUUUGGUGAAUCCCGUAAAGACCCACUCCCCAACAGUGUCCCUCAAGUCCCAUUUUUUAUGCAAAAAUGUGAACUUUAUUGAAACUAGAAGGAAAACAAAAACCCUUUUGAGCCAUGGUGGCUAUUCAAUGAAGAUGUCAUGGAAUGGUCCUCUCUGUUCUAUUAAAUUAAUCAUUCAAGGCAAAAACUUGGCGGUUUUUCUUUUACAUUUGCAUUUCUGGUUUUUGCUGUCUUUAAACUCUUUAAAGAUACAGUUUUUAUCUUCUUCUUUUUCUUAUUGUCAGAAUUGUAAACGUAAUAUAAUGUUUGGAUUUUAUUUAUUUAUUUAUUUUGCUGUCUAAUUUGUGAUUGUAAAAAAUGUUUGGAUGUAGCAGUUGACUGAUACUGUAAAAGAGCAUGUGGAGGACAAAGUAGGAAAGGCAAAUUUAGUCAUCUUGUAAGGGAAGUUGAUGCAAGGUUGUCAGUUAGAGGUGGAGAGUUGGGGAAAGGUCCAAGGAUUAGAAAAUGUAGGUAUCCUUCAAAUUAUGAAUUGGAUUUUAGCAUAUUUUUUAUUUGGGUUUGCUUUAAAUUUGUCAAUUUUUGGAUGGUGUGUUUUUAUUUGAGGUUACUUUGUUUACUAAGAGGCAUGGAGUGGUGAGGGCAGAGGAAGAUUCUGAGACAAUCUAUGCAACUAUUGAUUUGGUGUCGUCAAUUAUUCAAAGUAAGUUGAGGAAGAUAAAGGAGGAGUCUGAUCAUGGUAGACACAUGAAAGGGCUUAAUAGGUUGAAGAUUAGGGAGCCAAUGCCACAAGUGGUGGAGGAUGAUGCAGAUGCAGUUUCACGGAAAGAAGAUGAUGACUAUCUUGAUGAGGUAUGGCUCUUUAACAUUUUUGUUUUACCAAAUUGUCGUUGCAGUUUAUUAUUUAUGUUGUCUUAGUUGUUUCAUGUGGAUUUAGUUAGUAUCCGUAGCUUCAUAUCAUCAAAUGUAAAGUCUUAUGUAUUCUUGUGAGUUAAUUGAUAUAGACUUGUCAUGAAUAGUUCUACUCCCAACAAGGGCUUUCCCCAUCGUACCAUUUCGUGAUUACUACGGCACAUGUAAUUUGCAUAUAAUUUUUUAGCAUUAUAACUUGUGAACUAUUGCGAAUACCAUGUCGAUUCUCUUAGCUAGAUACUUAUGGACUGUUGCACAAGGAAAAUGUAUUACCAUCUUCAUCUUUCCAAAUCAUGGCUUGGCGCUCAAAAUUCUUCUUUACAUCCGGGUGGCAAUGUAAAAGAUAUUUUCUAUUACCUUUAAGUUUGAUGCAUGCUUUUGGCUAGGUAAACCAUUGCCCACCUGGACAUAUUAUUCUUGUCUGCCAUAGACUCAUUAUCUACACCAUUUUCAGGCUGUUCACACAAAGUACUUUGACAUGCCACCUCUGACUGUCGAUGAAGCAAUUGUGCGGCUGGGAAAUGUGGAUCAUGCCUUCUACGGUUUCGGGCAUGCUGAAGGGGAAAGAUACAGAAUUUGAGAUCAAGUGAACUCAAACUAAUGAGAUGUAUUAACAUGCUUGUAUGAGUUCUUAGUUUAUGGAAAAUCAGAGCCACCAUUAUGUUGGCGUCCAAACUUACCGGGAUGAGAAAAAAGAAUUUUGGAAUCACUAUUCAGUUUAUAUUAGAUCGAAACUUCUGUUCAUGUGGUGUCUAGUAUUGACCCGUUCCCAUGUCCCUUGGAUUUUCGCUGUAUUUUCUGUUUAGAAAUUCAGCUGUUUUUCCUCUUAUGAUGUCAUUCUUUUUUCCUGCUUUCUCCCCUCAUAUGAUAUCAUGUUCUGCUUAUUCUGUGUCAUGUUAGGUUUUUCAAAUUUCUAAGGUGAGCUGCAAGAUGCAAGCCUAUGCUGAAGAAACAAGAGGACAGUUGCCCUACAUGAAUGGCAAAGGGGGUGAUUGUUGGGUUUGUUGCCAUUAAUGUGCAGCAAAUGGACGGCACCAACCAUUGACUAUUCGCAGCCACCAUUGUUGAAGGUGAGCUGGAGUUGGUGGCCACCAUUGUUGACAAAAGAACAAGUGGAGCAGCACCAUGGAUGCCUAUAAAGAGGCAUGAUUUUAGAGAGUAAACAGAUGAGAGUGGUGAGUGUGUGCAAGAGAGUAGAGAAAAAGUGAAGGGCUGUAAUGGCAGCAGCCUUGCUGCCAUUGCAGCAGCUGCAAGUGCAGCAAAAAGAGCUGGGAAUAGAGUAGAGUGAAGUGAUCCUCCUCCUCCAUGUAUUUGUAUUGUAUCAUUUCUCUAAUCUCUAAUAAUAUGGACUCUCUCCCGUGGAUGUAGGCGAUUUGCCGAACCAAGUUAAAUAUUAUGUCUCAGUGUGUUUAGCCUCCUAUGAGCAAUUAUCAAUACACCACCGGUUCGCGCAUGGGAGAGCCGGAAUCCCCAACAUGUUGGUCAUUUUUGCUUAUCCAGAUAGUUCAAUUCUGCUAUUCAAGCGAUAGGUUCUGCAAUCUCAGUCCCUUUUUUGGUUGGACUUCUUAAUAUGUGUCCACCUGGGCCAGUCAGUCUUCCCAACUGUAUUUACUUGGGUUGAAGACCAGUACAUGAGGUCUUAUGGCUAUGGUUGUGUCAACAAGAGGUUCAACAAUGGAUAAACACCACUGGGGCAGGGUGUUUCAGUCUCGGGACUGCCAUGAACUGAAGAUUCACAUCUAGAAUUGAAGGCUCUAACAGUGGGUUGGAUUCACAAGAAUGGUAUGCUGAGGAGAGGGCAGGGUAUAUGGCACAAGGGUUAUCUAGAAUAAUCUGCUAUAACCUUGUAACUCAGCAUUUCUAGGUAUGGACAAAGAGAAAUAGAAUGGGUAAGAGAGUUUAGAGAAAAACACUUAAUAAAAAUAUAUCUUUAUCUCAAUUUUUUUCUUGUUCUUGAGAUUUUUUUCACUUUGCAUUACUGUUUUGAUCUUAUACUAUACCAAUUAUUCUUCCAACAAAACCUAUGUGAAAUACUAUUACUUUGACACUGCUGGACUGAACUCAGUCCAGGCCAAAUGCCAAAAGCAUGACCGUAACAUGCUGAACAAAGAGGUUAGCAAAUAAGCAGAAAGAAAAAGGACACUUCAAUGGCUGUCUGAUAUGGCAAUCUUUAGCUUCCUAACAGCUUUCAGAGGGGCACGCUGUUGGAUGCAGAUUACAAUGUUACUAUUUUAUUUCUAUGUAAUUGUAAUCAUUUUUAAACAAUUUGCAUAAAUUUCUAUUGUAUUUAAGUUAGUUAUAACUUAAUCCUAGCUAGGACGUAGUUUUGCAAAUUAACUAUACAUUUAAUCUCUAUAAUUUUAAUUGUAUUUAUGACUUAAUUAUUCUCGAUUAUUUGUACUAUGAUCAACACUUGUCAAAUGACUAUUUUUUUUUUUUAAUACGAUCAAUUAAUUUUCUUCAUAAUAAGAAAAACCAGCGGCGUUCCCUUGAAACGCCAACUAACUAUGAUGUAAAUCAAUACUGUGGUGUUCUCAUUCCUAGUCUCGUAAUUAUUACUUUGCCCUUAUUUUAUUUUAUUUUUUUCAUUUUCAUAUUUUUCAUUUUCGGAUCCAACAGUAACUUGGGAAUAUCAAAUGUUGACAUUUUUCAUCUAUAUGGAGAGAAUAUAUAUAACUAAAUUAAAGUAGAAAGUCCUUCUUUCAUUAAUAUGAAAAAAUAAGACCACAAUCAUCAACUCUAUAUAAUAUCAUACCUAUCUGGCAUUGAAAUAUAAGAUUUGAUCCUGCUAGGCUCCUUUUAAUGGGAAAAAAAAAGAGAGUUUGACUUCUAAUACAAUUAAGUUAUAUUAUUUCAAUAAACUUGAUUUUAUCAAAAUAGAAUACUCCAUAUUAUAUUAAAGAUAAAGGAUAAUAUAGAGUAUUAACAAAACUUAUAAUAUUUUAAUGUAAGAUUAGACAUGGAUAGAAUUCCACUUUGUAUAUAUUGAGUUGUGUCUUUAGUAAAUUAAUAAAUAAAGGUUAGUUGAUUUUUUGCUAAGAAAGUUGGGUCUAACUUUUUACUAAACCCAUAUGUUAUUGGGUCUAACACAAAGCUAAGCCUAAAAAAAAUAGAUUUGAUAUACAUUUCUAGAUUUGAUUUCUUUUGAGUUUUUGUGUGCCUGGACUAUUUUUUUCUGGGCUCAUAUAUCAUUGGGUUUUUCAAGUAAGUGGAUUUAGUCCAUACUAUGAUUCAACCGUUAAUACUAAACUUUAGAUUUUCUAUAUUUUGAUGGAGGUUACAUGAUUUUACGUAAUAUUUAAUAUGGCUAGCAUAGGGAUCCUGAUUUUUUUCACUUUCAUCCAUUAUGUAUUGUACUUAGUUCAUCAUCAUCAGAGAGCAAUGGACUCCAAGCAUUUAAUUAUCAUUUAUAAAGUUUAUAAAUAUAUAUACACAAUUAAUAUUAUUUUAAAAACAUGACAUGGCAUAUGAUCCACUUAAAAAUAUUUCUUACAAUAUAGAGAAAUCUAAUGAAAGAUAAAAUAAAUUGUAAGGAAAACCAAACUUCAAAGAUGCAAUGAUACCAAGAAAAACCAGGCAUAGAUCAGGGGUAGAAGUCUCCAAGAACAGUUGUCAUCAGACGAGACACAAAGGAAGUUAUAAUUAGAGCACAAAUUGCACGUACGUAGACUUGCCGGAAAAAUGUCAAUUUUGGAAAUUAAUAUUGCCGUGUUUCCAACAUUCUUGCAUAGUCAACAAUGGAAAUAUUUGCAAUUGAAUAAUUCAACCUGCAGUUCCAUAUUCAGAACCACUUACUGGAUGCGAAGACUUGGAGGUCAAGGAGGAAAAGGACAGACCAGAUGAAGAUUGGUUUUCCCUUGUUGAUGCUGAGAUAGAAAGAUCUUUUAGGCGUCCACUAGCUUGGAAAUUAAUUUUGCCGUGUUUCCAACACUCUUGUAUAGUCAACAAAGGGACCUAAUUGUACGGAAAUAUUUGCAAUUGAUCAAUAAUUCAACCUGCAGUUCCAUAUGCAGAACCACUUACUGGUUGCGAAGACUUGGAGGUCAAGGAGGAAAAGGACAGCCCAGAUGAAGAUCUUUCCGGUAAUCUUGAGGGCAAGAACCUUGGAACUCCAAUCUUUGUCAGUUUUAGUACGCUGCUCUGUUUUCCUGUAAUGGUUCAGUAAUGUUAUUCCUAAACUUUCACUAAAUAUUUUCUUUAAUUUCCGGUACGCUGCUCUGAAAUUCCUUCAAGUCUAACCCGUAAAAUAAUAAAUAUACUGUAUUUAUGUCACCAUUAAUAUUUUAUAAUGGAUAUUUAUCUCUUAUUAAUAUUAUACAAUAAAUAUUUAUUUUUCAUUUAAUAUUGUGUAAGAGAUAUUUAUUUUUUAUCAUUGCUAUAAAAAAGAAAUGACUCUUUAGUCCCUCCAUUUCAGUAAAAUAACAAAGUUCAAGGGUUAUAAAUACUCCUUGAACCAUCAAGGUAAAGGGUUUAUAAUUUUCAUCAUUUACUGCAUACAUAUUUUUUAAUUAUUUGUUUAUAUAAUCUCAUAGUUAAAUUAUUUUUUUAUUUAAAAUAGAAAAAGAAAAAAGAAAAAAUAAAAAAUGAAAGCAUAUAAAUUGAAAGAUUGAUAAGAAAGAAAAGUAUUUAAAAAAAAUAUUACUGAAAUAAGCAUAUUAAAAUUGGUCAAAUAACUAUUUAAUUACUUUUAAUACUAAAAUGAUUAGUUAAUUAAGAAAAAAUAGCAACCCUAAAACACUAUUUAAUUCUUUUAGAAAAUCAAUAUUUUCGUGUUUUUAUUCUUAAAGCAUGCUAGUACGGUAGAAAUUGUUUUUAAAGUGUUUUUUAUUUAAAAAUAUAUUAAAAUAAUAUUUUUGUUUUUUUUUUAUUUUUUUAAAAUUAUUUUUGAUAAAAAAAAUCAACAUUCUUGUAUUGCUAACAUAUUUUUACAUUGUUUUAAUACAAUGAUGUCAAGAACACAGUUAACGUACGCUAGACGAGCUACAAAGGAAGUUCUAAUUAGCAAAUAGACUUGCUGCACAUCACUCACAGACUUGAUCUCAACAAAAAUGUUAAUUUUGGAAAUUAAUUAAUAUUGCCGUGUUUCCAACACUGAGUGCUCCUGUUUAGUCACCAAUCCUUGCGAGGAAAUAUUCGCAAUUGAAUAAUUCAACCCUCAGUUCCAUAUUCAGCACCACAAGAAGAUCAGACAAUAUCUAUAUAUCCAAGUUCCGAAGACUUUUCUGGACCAUUGCCUAUUGCUUUCUGACCUUGAUAUAAAAUUGACACUUCACCACUUCUACCUUGAACAGGAGAGUCCCAAUUUAACUGCAAGAUCGGUUAGUACACUACAACAGCUAAGCACUGCACUGCACGCCUUCAGAUUUUUCUAAAUACUAACACAAAAAACAAAACGAAGGUGGAUGUUGUAUAUGUAACGGCAGAUUUUUUUUUUUUUAGAUUAACGUGGAUGUAACGACAGAUUUUUAUUUUUUUUAGAUUAACGGCAGAUUUAUCCAGCAAAAAUCUGUACCAAGGGUUGCAUUGUUGUCUUUUGUUGGCAUGGAGUUUUAUAGAAGACGAGGACGAGUUACAUAUCUUUUGUUCCCAUCAGACGAGCUGCAAAGGAAGAGCACAAACUGUAUCUAUUAGCACAUAUUCAUUGCUAUUUUCUAAGCUAUGAAAUGCUGCUUCUUCUUCUGGGAAACAUAUAAAUUGUUUAACCCUUCAAGUAAACAGUCCCCUGUUCUUGUUAAUUAAUAAUAGCAAUAAUAAUCUAUCAGUACAUGCGAAGGGGGGGUCCAAUUAGUAUUAAGUUUAUAAGACAGCAAGGAAUAAUAGCGGGGUAGAUGUCCCCGAGAACAGCUGCCAUCAGACGAGCUGCAAAGGAAGUUCUAAUUAGAGCAUCAACUGUAUCUGUUAGCUCAAAGACUUGCUGCCAAAAUGUCAAUUUUGGAAAUUAAUACUGCCGUGUUUCCAACGCUCACUCUUGUGUGGAAAUACUUGCAAGUGAACCUUCAGUAUAUUCAGCACCACAUGAAGAGUGGACAAUAUCUAUAUCCAAGUUCCGAAGACUUGGAAGUGAAGGACAGAACAAAUGAAGAUUGGUUCUCCCUUGUUGAUGCUGAAAGAGAAAGACCUUCGAGGACGACCAAUCCCACAGCAUCUUGAGGGCAAGAACCUUCAAACUCCAAUCUCCAUUGUUUGUCAGUUUUCUAGCAACUGUUCAACAAAGCUAUUGCCAAAACGUGUUGACUGGUGUACAAGAAAUUCAACAAAUAUAAACGGAAUUACCGAUAGUUUUUUUUCAUCGGUAUUUUGCGGUGAUAUUCACCGAAGAAAUUUUUCCAUCCCUAACUCCGUCGGUAUAUACUGACAGAAACACUCUGUCGGUAAAUACUGAGGGAAACUCAUACAGAAAAUGAAGAAUUAAAAAAAAACAAGUUGUGCAAUGAUGUGUAAGUUUUUGUGGACGAGUUUACCGAUGGAAUUACAAUCGGAUUCAAAUCGGGUUGUCCGUAUAGUGACGUGUCAAAAACAUCGACAGAAUUACAACAGGAGUGACAAACAAAAUAAUUUUGUCAGUAAUUCCAUCGGUAAUAGUUAAUAUAUGACCUGACCAUCGACCCUCCCCUAUUUAUCCUUCUUCUCCCCCCUACAUCCAAACCCCCCCACCAAAUUCUAGUACUAGCAACGUGCAUGGAGUUAUAAAUGACAACAAUAAUCAUUACAGGAAUAUGGUUAUGAAUGCAAUGAGAAUGAAUCAAGGUAAUGUCAGUCAAUGUCCAAUUGUAGAAGAAGAACCUAAUGUAGACGCGGCCAGGUUUUUUGAUUUGUUGAAAGAUUCUAAUGAACCAUUAUGGGAUGGCUGCACGAAUCAUAGUAAAUUAUCGGUUGUUGCAUAGUUGUUCACCAUCAAGUCGGAUUGUGGGUUGAGUGAGGCCGGUUAUGACAGAAUUAUCGAAUGGACGAGAAGUAUUUUACCUGAAAAGAAUAAGCUAAAAGAGAACUUAUAUGCUGCUAAGUCCAUGAUGAAACCUCUCGGUUUAGGAUACCAGAAAAUUCACAUGUUCCCUAACUUCUGCAUGUUGUCCUACCUUGAAAAUGUUGAGCUAAUCGAGUGCAUAAGAUGUGGGCAUUCCCAUUACAAACCCAGAACGAGCAUGGAAAAGACUCUCGUGGCAUAUAAAAAACUUUGAUAUUUCCCAAUCACACCUAGAUUGCAGAGGUUAUUCAUGUCACCAAGGACUGUUAAGCACAUGACAUGACACCAAUCACAUGAUGCGGUUGAUGGAAUGAUGGUGCUUCAUUCUAACGAUGAAGCAUGAAAACACUUUAACAGUGUACAUCAUCACUUUUCAGCUGAAUCAAGGAACGUGCGUUUAAGUUGUGCACAGAUGAAUUCAACCCAUUUGAGUCAUUUGCUACUCCUUAUUCUUGUUGGCCGGUCAUACUCACGGUUUACAACUUGCCACUAGAAAUGUAUAUGAGGUUGAAGUUCAUGUUUUUAUCUACGGUGAUACCUAGUCCGAACAGUCCGGACUGGAAUAUAGAUGUUUGUCUUCGACUAUUAAUUGAUGAGUUGACGCUAUUGUGGUCCUCCAGAGCUUUGACUUAUGAUAUAUCGAGAAAACAAAAUUAUCUUAUGAGGGCAGCUUUGAUAUGAACUAUCAAUGAUUUCCCAGCUUAUGGAAUGUUUUAUGGUUGGAGCACACAUGGAAAACUAGAAUGUCCAUACUGCAUGGAAAACAACAAGGCAUUCACGCUAACAAACGAAGGUAAAGCUUUUUUUUUUACUGCCACUGUCAUUUUUUGCCAACGAAUCAUAGAUAUAGAAAGAACAUAAACGAUUUCUUUGUUGGCAGAGUUGAAAAGGAUGUUGCACCUCUGUGUCUUUUUGGUGAAGAAUUGCAUGACAUUGUAUCAUAGUACGGUGACAUUGUGUUUGGUUUUCAUUCUGGUAAGCAGAAGUUUCCUGCUUUUGGUUUGACCCACAAUUGGGUAAAACAAAGUAUUUUCUAAGAGCUUCCUUAUUGGAAGACUAAUCUCCUCCACCAUAACCUUGACCUCAUGAACAUAGAAAAGAAUGUUUCUAAGAACAUUUUCAACACUGUCAUGGAUGUGAAGGGGAAGACAAAAGACAACAUCAAGGCUAGAAUGGAUAUAACAUUGUUUUCUAACCAUAAAAAUAUAGAGUUGGUUUUUUAUGGGUCACGGGUCGCAAAACCCAGAGCAAGCUUUGUGUUAAAGAAAAAUGCAUAACUACUAGUCUACCAUUGGCUUACGAGUCUGUGUUUUCCCGAUGGACAUGCCUUGAACAUAUCAAGGUUAGUUAAUCUAGAGGAAUGCAGAUUGUAUGAAAUGAAGAGCCUUGACUACCACGUGUUUAUGCAAACACUCAUUCCAUUAGCUUAUCAUGAUUUGUUGCCAAAGGGGAUAUGAGAUGCACUCACAGAGAUUAGUCAUUUCUUUAGAGAUAUAUGUUGCAGCAAGUUGCAAACAAAUCACAUUGAACGACUUGAAAGGAAUAUCAUCAAGACAAUAUACAAACUUGAGAUGAUAUUCCCUCCAUCAUUUUUUGACUCGAUGGAGCAUCUACCCAUACAUUUACCGUAUGAGGUAAAAGUUGAAGGACCAGUCCAGUAUAGAUGGAUGUAUCCAUUCGAAAUGUUAGAUAUUAUAGAUGCAAUGUAAUUCAUAAAGUAUUUUCAUUGUUUUUCUUAAUUGAAAAACAUAUGUUUAAUUCCAUACAGGUACUUGUUCAAUCUUAAGAAAAAGGUUAAGAACAAGGCACAUGUUGAGGCUUCGAUAUGUGAGGCCUAUAUCGUUGAGGAGAUCUCAAUAUUUAUCUCGUACUAUUUUGAACCUCAUUUAAGAACAAGAAUCAACCGCGUUCCACAGCAUGAUGAUAGUGGUGAAGUGCCUUCUAGUGGGAACUUAUCAAUAUUCUACAAUCCUGAACGACCCACACCUAAAAAUAUCGUAAGGGGAAGAUAUUUGUUUGAAAUAAAGUUCAAACAAGCAAAUAAUUAUUUUCUAUUUAAUUGUGAUGAGCUGAGACCUUUUAUUCAGUAAGUAUAUGUACUACUUAAACUUUGUUAAAAAUACACUAUUUAUAUAUUGUAAUAUCAUAAACUCAUAAAAUUUUGAAAACUUUGUAGGCAACAUUAACAAUAUUUACUGUCCAAUAACUCACAGUUAACCGAAUCCCAAAUCUUUCGAUUACAAGAUGAACAAUUUGCCACGUGGUUCAAAACACAUGUAAAUACUAUCACAAACUCAUUAUCUCUGGCAAGUUACUAUAUUGUUGAGGAGAUGUCAACAUUUAUAUCAUACUAUUUCGAGCCUCAUCUGAGAACGAGAAUCCACCGCGUUUCACAACAUGAUGGUGGUGGUAAAGUGUCUUCGAGUGGAAACUUAUCAGUAUUCUCCAAUUCUGAACAACCCAUAUCUAAAAAUAUUGUAAGGGGAAGAUAUUUAUCUAAAAUAAAAUUCACACAAGCACAUAAUUAUGUGUUAUUUAACUGUGAUGAACUGAGACCUUUUAUUCAGUAAGUAUAUAUACUACUUAAACUUUGUUGUAAAUGGACUGUUUAUCUAUUGCAAUAUCACAAACUCAUACAUUUUCUAAAAACCUCGUAGGUAACAUCGAUAAUAUUUAAUGUUUAAUAACUCACAGCUAAUAGAAUCCUAAAUCUUUUGAUUGCAAGAUGAACAAUUUGCCACGUGGUUCAAAACACAUGUAAGUAUUAUCACAAACUCAUCAUGUAUCAUUGUACUUAAUUUCAUUACAGAAUUCUCAUUUAUUGUUCAUUGUUGUACUUUAUGUACAAGGUUUAUCAAUUAGGAAGCAAUGUUCGUGCUUCAUGGUCUUUACUAAGCCUGGGUCAUGAACGAAAAGUGAAGUGUUACAACAUGUAUUUUGUCAAUGGCUAUAUGUUUUAUACUGAAUAAUACGAGCAUGGAAGAAAGACAUAUAACAAUGGUGUUUGUGUUAAGGGAUCGACUAGUAGUGAGUUUGAAGUUGACUAUUAUGGUAAAUUAGAAGAGGUCGUUGAACUGCAAUAUCAUAACAAACAUAAUAGAGUGUUUUUAUUCAAAUGCUAUUGGUAUGACACCACUGACAGGGGAAUCAGAAUAGAUCCCCACUAUGGUCUGGUCAAAAUUAACUCAAAAGCUAGACUCCAUAAUGUAAACGAUGCAUUUGUUUUCACCAAGUAAUGCCAACAAAUUUAUUACACAUACACCUCUUCCUUUAGAAAUGAUCGUUUAAGAGUUGAUUGAUUAUCCAUUUUAAAAACAAAACUCAUUGGUCGUGUAGAGGUUGUUCAGAAUGAGAAUAAAGACACAAGUGUGGGAGAUGAUGUCUUUCAUGUGAGUGAGUUGGUUGAAUCAUAUCGAGUUGCUCCAUCAAUUGACUUAGAAGAAAAUUUAAAUUUUCACGUCUUCGAUAAUAGUCUCGUUGAUGUUGACGUUGAGGGGUUGAAUGUUGUUCUGAGCUCCAAUGGACAAGCACAAAUCUAUGAAGAUGAUGAUACCAAUGUCAUCAACGUUGAAGAUUACGGUGGAGCUGAUGACGACUCAAUUAAAGAAGAAGAAGAAGAAGAUAAUUCUAACUAACUAUCAAAACAUGAAAGUGUAAUACAACUUUUUAGAAUGUAAUAUUUAUGGAUGCAUAAAUAUUUAUUUCAUAAUUCAUCUGUAAACUAUUGUUAUCGUGUUGGGCGUGCAAUUUUCAAUUUAAGUAUUGCAGGGAGGAUAGACAUGAAAAAAAACAAAACCUACCAUUCAUUGUGUACAUCACCGAUGGAAACUAUUCACACUCUGAAUAGGUGAACAAUUCCCACAUCACCGAUGGAAACACUAACGAUUUCUUGUUAGUCGGUGUUUUACAGAGGCGAUGGGAACUGUUCACACAUCACCGAUGGAAACACCAACGGUUUUUUAUUCAUCGAUGUUAUCUAAAGGCAAUGGUAAUUUGUUCACCUCUUAUGUUGGUGCUGUCAAUUAAAGUCCUUUGAGUCAGUUGCAUGUUACCGAGGGAAUUACCAAUGACCUGCCAACGGAAUGUGAAUUCCAAAGCGCGGGUAAUGAAUGCAUCUCUGACCAUGUGUACUAUUUCACAUUAGCGAGGGAAUUACAGACAGACUACCGACGGAAUGUGAAAAUUUUGGAGGGUUUUUUAAAAUUUUAGAGCAAAAUGAAAAUUUCAAGGUGAAUUCAUCGAGAGAAUCACAAACGGAUUAAUUAAAAAUAAUAUUAUUUAAUAUUUCGUCGAUGAAUCCAUUGGUAAAAACGCAGUAUCAAUCCCAGCGAGAGCCCCUUCAGCUCAUUUUUUCCUUUCUUUCAAUUUUCUUCAAUCGCCUCUCAUUUUUUCCUCUCAAUUCAAGUGAUUGUGCUUCAAUUUCUCAUUCUAUCUUCAUCUUCAACAUUUAAAAGGUAUGUAUUGUGAUUCUCCUCACUUGUUAUGAUUUUUUAUUUUUCAUCUUUUCUUCGGUUUAUUAACAAUAUUUUUUUUGUGUUUUUGUAUUGUACAUAGAUAAAGUCUAAAAAUAAACACAUUAUUAAGGUAAGCGUUUUUCAUUUCUAAAGUCUAUAGUUUUUUUUAUUUAUUGCCUAUUUUAUUGUUUCUAUUGCAAUAAUGAUUGAUUGUUUUGUUGAAUUUUAAUGGAUUAUUGUUAAAUUUUCCAUAUAAAUGUUAAUUGAAUAUAUAGAAUUAAAUUUAAUUGUUUUUCUCUCAAUUUUAUUGUAUAUAUUGCAUAAUAGAGUGUUUGAUUAUUUUAUUGAAUUUUAAUUGUUAUUGUUAAAUUUAUAUAGAUGUUAGUUGAAUAUAUAGGAAUAAAUUAUUUCUGGUAUAAAUAAAAUAAAAUCAAUUGGUUUGUGGCAUAAAUCUUGUUAAUAUUUGCAGGUUUGAAUAAUUUGGGUAGUCUCUAGUAAUGGGGAGGUGCUCUCGAAUAUUUUUAAAAAAAUUCAUAUUUUAUUAUGUAAUUAUUCAUCAAAUUUAUGUAGAUGCGUAGAACAAAAUCAACAGUAAGUCGUGAGCACAUGGUUGCAGCUAGUUCUUUUAGCAGCGAUGAUGACAUGUCAUUAGAUGGCGACCAAUAAAAGGCACCUGCUGCGACUCAUGACACUACCUCUUUCAGCACGGUUCCACAACGUAGAGGCGGUGUGCCUUCACACCGGGUCAAUUCACCCACAAGUAUGAGGCACAUUGGAAGGACGACCUUUCAAUGUAAGUUUGCUACGAAGUUUGUAUUGAUUUGAGUUUUUUUUUUCUUCUUUUAAUGUAAUUUGUGAACAACUAAUUAAUUUUGUUUUAAUUUUAUUGAUUUUCAAGUUCACAAACAUUGAGGUCGCCUGAGUAAUAACAUCAGUGUUUUAAUCAUCGAUGGAGAUUCUAUUGUUUCAAUGGAGUCAGGUUUCCAGAAAUCCUAGUUGGAAACCUUAUAUCGAUUAAUGGUUUAGAAGAUUUGAGGAUAGUGUUUUUAAUAAAUUUUAACUAUUUUUAUGUUAUAUUGUAAUUAUUGAUUUAUUUUUAAUAAAUUAUUUAUACACAGUACAAAUUUGAGUGGGAUAACGCGAGUGACAAUGUUGUGAAGAGGGUGUGAGAGAAUUACGCGGCAACUAGGUAACAUAAAAAACGAUACGAUAUUUUUUAAAAAAGAAAUUAUAUAUUAAAAUCUAAUUUGUCAUUAACUAACAUAAAGUGGUAUCAGCGCGUGGUUGCAUUCUCGGUAGGACAACAAGAUCGUUUUGUAGGCAAAGAUCAAAGGACAAAUCUUACUAACAAAACAACGGAUAGUUUCAUGUGACAAGCCAUCGUUGGAUUAGUUUGUGAAAUUGUUGGCUUGAAGUCUUAUGCUAGCUGGUAUGGAGACUAUUCGGGAAAGGUUGCUUCAUCUAGAGGGCUGGAUGGGGGAUAUUCUUAAUGAUGAGGAUCGUUCAAUUCAGGAUCGACUUGACUUGGCUAUGGAAAUCGCUGACAAGGCUGCUGGACAGUAUGUAGAACUUACGGUAGAGAUAAGCAAAAAGUUGCAGGUUGUCGACGGAGAAUUGGUUGUCUUUAAACAAGCAGUCGCGACUGCAUCAGGGGGUGUAGGCUCUUCUAAGCCUAAAGUUCCAAAACUAAAAGCAUUUGGCGAUGCUAGAAGUUCCAAGGAAUUAGAGAAUUUCUUGUGGGAUAUGGAACACUAUUUCAGUGUUGCCAAGGUCGGGUUGGCUGAACAAGUGAACAUUACGGUAAUGUACUUAUCGAGUGAUGCAAAAAAAUUCAUCAGGGGUGUAGGCUGAAGAAAACAAGGGUUGUCACGGACAUUGGUAGCGCAAACAUUGGCAGCUUGUACGCAGAUGCGAAUUCGGCAACGUGCAACAGCUUAUGCAAGUCAUGGGCAUGACUUGGAACGAUCUGAAACUUAGACGAAGGACUAUCUAAGGCAUGCAAGAGACGUGGCAGCAACAUGGACAGCAAGGAUGAGCAGUUAAACAAGUGGUUAUGGGCGGUUACACCAUGAUUGUUAGUGGGGGAAGUUGUCUAAAAGCAUGGGGGAUGUGCUGGAAAAUGCUCUCAACCCACUAAAAUCUUGGGAGAUCAUGGGGAUCAUGGGGGAAAACUACCCACUACUUGUUAGAUAAUAGGGUCAUUAUGUUCAUGGGUGAACAAGGGUGAGAUAGUGUCCCAAUACUUCCUUAAAUGUAGGAAUGGAAGUUGGGCCUUGUAAAUGCUUGUCUAUAAAUAGUUGUUGCAAUUCUUGGUUGUGGGGGCAUGACAUGGGGGAUGCAAGCUUGGUGUAGCAUGCGAUAUUUAUGUAUAGCACACAUACGGAUUUAUGUAUAGUGUAUUCCUUUGUUUAUGAGAUUAAUAAAAUUUGGGAAAGAGUUCCCGUAAAGCUUGUUGUGCACUUUGAUUAACUUAUUCUACUUGUGUAUCAUGUUUGUCUUCUAACUUGGGAAAGUGGGGAAAACUCUUGGGUGAGGGAAACACUUGGUUACUAGGCAAACACGAGUGGAAUUGAUGAAGAUAGGUUGAGUCUAGUGGGGACUAAGUUGCCGCACGGGUUUAUUUGUGGAGCAAAAAAUUUAAAAAUACUUUGGAUACCACGCACACUGGCAGCUCCGUUCUAUUUGUUACACAUGUGAAGUGGAUGGUAAGAUUAAUUUUAAAUGACAUCUAGGAUUAAUUAAUUUUUUUACAGGCUAUGUCUCUUGGACGUGAGCCAAGCCCAAUGGAGUUUUUUGUCGAGAGGACAUGCGGAGUGAAGACUGCCAAAAGAGGGUGCAACAAUUCGUCGAUAACCGCGCUUAAUAUUUUGUGGUAUGUUCGUUCAACCAUUUUAUUUCAUAAGUAAUUAUUUUCUUGAAUUGAAUUUGAUGAUUUCUUUUUUAAUUUUUAGGAGACAUAUAACAGCUGAUUGAGGAAGAGAUACGGGGACGAUCUUUCGACCCACCCGAGUUUCGAUCCGGAUUUGUGGAUGGAGGCAGGAUCAUUUGGUGGACCCAAUAAAAAUCUGGUGUACGGACUCUCCAACACUACAGCCGAGAACUUGCAGGUGGCUCAUGGUGUCUCAAUCGUUAGGAGCUCACAAUCGAUAUCGAACACCCAGUCUUAGGAGUUCGUGUCUUUGUAACAACACACGGCUCAUCUCACCAAAAAAUAUAAGUGACUCUCGGCGGAUUAUGAACAACUCCGUCAAAUGUUCAUGGACAUGAAAUCACAUAUUGGUGGUACGUGUACACCCCCUUUACGGUCAUAUGGUCCCGGGAACGACAAGCCUUCUUCUUUUCUAGCGCCGUCAUUGUUCUAGUUUAAUUUUUACUUGUACAAAUUAUAUUUUAGUGGGCAAAGCAAUCUUCGCAUAAAUUUCAUUGCUAAAUACAACUGGGAAAAACAUCUCUGAACAUUCAAAUUAAGCUGUCACGAUUUUUAAUUUUUAAUUUUUUGUAUCUUGCUAUAAAUAUUUCAUGUAAAAUGCAGAAUUCAUAAUUAUCUACCUUAUUUAUUAGGACUUGUGGUAGUGAAUUAAGGGACCUCUCCUCGUGUGGAAAUUUUCGCUGAAUGAAAUUAUUGGUUGCUUAAUCUUGCUGUCCAACUGUGAAAUGGAUUGGACAUAAGAAGGUGAAGAUGACUUUGUUUAUCAACUUUUUAUUUCAAUUAUGUAUAUAUAAUCCCAUAAUUUAAAUUAUUUUUUAUUUAAAAUAGAAAGGGGAAAAAUCAAAGUAUAUCAAUUGAAGUAAUGGAAAGAAUUUUUGUGUGCUCAGCAUGCAAAGUCUUUCUCUCCUUCAAUUCAAACAAUCGUAAUUUUGCAUUAGUAGUUCUCUUUCAACACAAAAGAUCAUAAGCAUAUUUUUAAAUUUAUAAUGGAUAUAAAUCAAAAAAUCUAGUAUGCAUACUAAUAAUAAAAUUAAUUAUAUUUAAAUUAAAAUAAAAAUGAUAUUAAUUUUAUUGUCAAUGAUGAGUUAUUUGUUUUUAAAACUUUAUUGCUCCUCAUUAUCUUUGUUAAGAUGUAUUUUUAAAUAAGGUAUUUAAAUCAAAUAUAAUGCGACUCAAAUAUCUCUUAAUAAGAUGAAUCUAAACUCUAGAGUGUAAAAUCUAAACACCCCCCCUACAAUGAGUUUUGUUUAUAUGAAAAAUCAAGAAAAUUAUUUUUUAAAAACAAUAUAUUACUAAAUUAAGCAUGGUCGAAAUUUGUCAAAUAACUCUUUAAUUAUUUUGAAUAGUAAAAGGAUUGAUUAAUUUUAAAAACAGUCAGCAACCCCUAAAAAAUUAUUUAAUCUUUUUAGGAAAUCAAUACUAUCAUGUUCAUUUUCUUAUUCUUGCCAGUCAAUAAAAUAUUUAUUUGGUAUUGUGGUAACUUUUAUAAUUUAAAAUCUUCAAAUAACUAUUUUGUUAUUUUUAAUACUAAAAUGAUUAAUUAAUUUGAAAAAAAAUAGCAACCUCUAAAACGUUAUUUAAUCUGUUUAGGAAAUCAAUAUUGAUUUUUUUAAGUUUAUUUUUUUAAUUUUAUCCACCGAUAUUUUGUUUUUUUUUUUUGUAUUUGUUCUAUAUGAGUUUUUUCUAUAAUUUUGAAAGUAACAAAGAUUAACUCGGACUUUUUUAUUUCAUCUUGAAUCAAACUUUUUAAAAAUAAAUUUUGUUUUUUAAUUAAAUUAAAUUAAUUUCAGGAAACAGAUUUUGUUCAAUUUGGAAAAACAUCUCUGAACAUUCAAAUUAAGCUGUCACGAUUUUUAAAUUGUUAUACUUUUGGGUCAGGAGAAACGAUAUAUAAGUGCAAAGUCAUUGCUUUGCGUAAUUAUUAUUUUUAAUUAUUACUUUGCCAAGAAACAACAAUUCAGUUUGCACAAUUUGAAGUCUGCACAAUUUGAAGUCAACAAGGAAACUUGUUUGAUAUACUUUGCCGCGUUUCCAUUAAUUAAUUAAGUCAAUGGAGUAUAUUUGGCAGUGUGGUUACGGGUGCUUUUCAAAUAACUUUUCGUGCUAAAAUGCAUGCAAAUGAUGUUUUUUUAUUUUUUAAAAAUCAUUUUUGAUAUCAGCAUAUUAAAACGAUCUAAAACAUACAAAUCAUAUUAAAUUUUAGUAAAAAAAUAAAUUUAAUUUUUUUAGAAACACAGGUGCAGCUGCAGCCGCGUUUCCAAACGUGCUCAUAUUGCCGCGUUUCCAACACUCACUCACUCUUGUACUUGAGAUUUGAUUUCGUCUUUACAUGUUUUACACUUCCUAUGUCUGUAUACAAUCCAAGAUUAGUUUGUCUAUAAAUACUACUCAUAAUGUCUUUCUUCAUUCCUCAUCUCUCCCAAAUAUACUUUGAAUCCUGUAACGCCAGCCAAACAUGGGGUUUUUACCGCUGUCCCUCUCUCAAUCUCUGUCUUUCAUUCUGUUUCUCUUCCAUUUCCAUUCAACAAUUUCAUCUCCACUCUCCUCAAAUUACCAAUCUCUUUCUCUCCUUCAAUUCAAACAAUCUUUCUCCAUCAGUAGAUCUGCUUCGUCGGAGGACUAUUGUCAAUAUCCCUUUCCAAAAACAGAGUCAUGGAAAGAGGGUACAGGCUGCUGCUUGUGGGAUGGGGUCACUUGUGACCUGAAAACCGGGCAUGUCACUGGAUUGGACCUCUCUUGCAGCAUGCUUUACGGCACCCUCCUUCCCAAUAAUUCUCUCUUCUCUCUCCAUCAUCUUCAGAACCUCGACCUCUCUUUCAAUGAUUUCAACUCCUCUCAUAUUUCUUCUCGAUUUGGCCAGUUCUCCAGUCUAACACAUCUUAACCUCAGUGGUUCAGUUCUUGCAGGCCAAGUUCCAUCAGAAGUCUCUCACCUCUCCAAAUUGGUUUCUCUUGAUCUCUCUUUGAACUACGGUCUAAGUCUAGAACCAAUUUCUUUUGACAAGCUUGUUCGAAACCUAACCAAGCUUAGAGAACUCGAUUUGAGUUCAGUAGACAUGUCACUACUUGUUCCCGAUUCCUUGAUGAAUCUGUCUUCUUCUCUGUCAUCACUCAAACUCACUGCCUGUGGAUUGCAAGGAAAACUCAUAUCCUCAAUGGGGAAAUUUAAGCACCUGCAGUACUUGGGUCUUGGAGGGAACAAUCUUACUGGUCCAAUUCCACAUGAUUUUGAUCAACUCACUGAGUUGGUUUCACUUGAUCUCUCUGACAAUGUCUAUCUGAGUCUAGAACCAAUUUCUUUUGACAAGCUUGUUCGAAACCUAACCAAGCUUAGAGAACUCGACUUGAGUUGGGUAGACAUGUCACUACUUGUUCCCGAUUCCUUGAGGAAUCUGUCCUCUUCUCUGUCAUCACUGAAACUCAUUUACUGUAGAUUGCAAGGAAUCCAUUCACUUAGUAAUCUCAUACAGCUCACCUAUUUAGACCUUUCAGGUAACAAUUUGAACGGUCAAAUCAUAUCAUCACUCGGUAAUCUCACACAGCUCACCUAUUUAGUCAUCUUAGGUAACAAUUUGAACAGUCAAAUCACAUCAUCACUCGGUAAUCUCACACAGCUCACCUAUUUAGACCUCUCAGGUAACAAUUUGAUCGGUCAGAUCCCAUCAUCACUUGGUAAUCUCACACAGCUCACCUUUUUAGACCUCUCAAAUAACAAUUUGAGCGGUCAGAUCCCAUCAUCACUUGGAAACCUUGUACAACUUCGUUACUUGUGUCUCUCUUCCAAUAAAUUUAUGGGUCAAGUUCCAGAUUCUUUGGGUAGCCUAGUCAAUUUGAGUGGUCAGAUCAUAUCAUCACUUAGUAUUGUCACACAGCUCACCUUUUUAGACCUCUCACGUAACAAUUUGAGCGGUCAGAUCCCAUCAUCAUUUGGAAACCUUGUUCACCUUCGUUCCUUGUUUCUCGGUUCCAAUAAAUUUAUGGGUCAAGUUCCAGAUUCUUUAGGUAGCCUAGUCAAUCUUUCAGAUUUAGAUUUAUCCAAUAAUCAACUAGUAGGCUCUAUUCAUUCUCAAUUAAAUACCCUUUCAAAUCUACAAUCUCUAUAUUUAUCCAAUAACUUGUUCAAUGGAACAAUACCAUCCUCUUUUUUCGCUCUUCCUUCUUUACAAAAUCUUGACCUUCAUAACAAUAAUCUCAUAGGCAAUAUAAGUGAAUUCCAACACAAUUCUUUGAGAUUCCUUGAUUUGAGCAAUAACCACUUGCAUGGUCCGAUCCC